rnacentral:lncRNA from 1 species
UCUUCAAUCUUUCCAAGUGCCCACCUCUUGCUUUCUUUCUCCUUGUCCCUAGUUGAGGAUGAAUUAGCACGUUGUCUCCACAUGCUUCGAGGUAUCAUUUUCACUUCCCUUAUCUGUUCCCCAGGCAGAUGUGAUAGACGAAGAGGAAGCAUAAGAUGAUGAAGAUGAGUACUCGAGAGCAAGGCUAGGUAAGCAAUCAGGAAGGGGUUCUAGGCAGUUGGUUCCAGAUCGGAAGAUUGAUACCAAGUGCUGGCUGAUUGCUCUCUUUCUCCUUGUCCCAAAACAAGGACAGGGAGAAGGACAGGGAGAAAGCAUGAUAUGAGAUACUCUUGCUUUCAACCUUCAUGAUAUGAAAUACUUUUGCUUUGGAUGAGUUGUUUGCAGAGGUACCCCAAGGAAUAAGGAACACUGAGUGACUCGAGAGGGUUUGUUGGAAAGGCAUUCUCGGAGAAGAAUGAAGGGUUAUGUAUGUCUGCCUUGCAAUGGAGGGUGAAGGGUGACAUUUAUAGGAAUUAAUAAUCCGGUACUAUUCUUUCACUCUUGUCAGCAACCGUUGGAUGAUUUAAUAGUAAACUUCACGUGUUUUUCUACUUCACAAGAGAUCUUCGACAGAUUGCCCGUAAUUUUCCGCAAGGCUGAGUGUGCAUGUGUGUUGGCGCUGACACAUCUGGAAAAGCGAGUGCCUCUUCGAUAUCUGGAAUCGGCGCUUUAACAAACUGCCUGUGAUUUCCGUAAAGCUGACUCUGCAUGUGACAGAUGUUGACACGUCUCGAAAAGUAGAUGGUUGGAAUCGGCGCUUCGACAAAUUGCUCGUGAUUUUCGCAAAGCUUACUCUGCAUGUGACAGAUGCUGACACGUCUGGAAAAGCAGAUGCCUCUCCGAUAUCUAGAAUUGCCUCUUCGAUCUUUGAAAUCCCGUCGAGUGCAGAGGUUGCAUGUGACAAGUGCGGACAAAUCUGGAAAAGAAGAUUGGUCGUGGUUUCUAAGCAAGCCCAGCUUUUGAGAAAGCUAGCGCCUCUUUGAUUUUUGAGUUGGCCUCUUCGAUUUCUGAGCCCACCUCUUCGAUCUCUGAAAUCCCAUCGAGUGCUGAUUUUUAUAGAUGUACGCAGGACGUUCAAAGAACACUUGAAUUUCUGCUUAUAGAAACUCCCUUCUUGCACUUCUACGAUCUUGACUUGUCCGACCUCUUCUUUCUUUAACACCUCUGAAAAUGUCUGGCCCUUCCGACCGUCGUUUUGACUUAAACCUUGGUGAAGAGGCAGUCCCGCCUUCUCCAGACAACAUAUGGCGCCCAUCAUUCAUAUCCCCUACUGGUCCUCUUACCGUUGGGGAUUCGGUGAUGAAGAAUGACAUGACCGCUGCGGUGGUGGCCCGGAACCUUGUCACUCUUAAAGAUAACAGACUGCUUUCCAGACGAUUUGAUGAGUUGGCUAUUAAGGAGUCUCUGGCUCUUAGUGUGCAAUGUGCGGGUUCUGUGUCCAACAUGGCCCAACGCCUAUUUGCUCGAACCCGUCAAGUUGAAUCAUUGGCGGCUGAAGUGAUGAGUCUCAAACAGGAGAUUAGAGGGCUCAAGCAUGAGGAGAUUAGAGGGCUCAAGCAUGAGAAUAAACAGUUGCAUAAGCUCGCACACAACUAUGCCACAAACAUGAAGAGGAAAAUUGACCAGAUGCAGGAAACUGAUGGUCAGAUUUUACUUGAUCAUCGGAGGUUUGUGGGUUUGUUCUAACAGCAUUUGCCUUCGUCUUCUGGGGCUGUACCGUGUAGUGAAGCUCCAAAUGAUCAACCUUCGAUACCUCCUCCUUCUGUGGCCCCGCCGACUACUGAGGCUUUGCCGACUACUGAGACUUCUCCCAAACAGCCUUUGUGAAGGCUUCCUCUUGUACUUUUUUGCUUAAUGUUCCUUUUUUUUUAUGAAUGUAAAAAUACCUUGCAUAUCUGUCAAUGUUUCAAAAAAAGAAAGAAAUCCAAACCCAAAAAUAAUUAAAUAAGCAACAACCAAAUAAAUUAAAAAAAAAAUUGACAAUCAGGCAAAAUGAAAAUGCAGAAAAUGGAAGGUUUUUAGAAACGCAAAACUGCUUAUGGAGCGAUUCAAAAAUCUUCCUCAUUUGAAUACAUGGGUUGCCUCCCAAGUAGCGCUUGCUUUAACGUCUUGCAGCUGGACGAAGAACUCAUUCACUCCUCAUUGGAGCCCACGGCAUGCAGGGAGAUGUCCUCCACGGCAUGCUCCUCAAAGUGCUCUUAAUAGGGCUUCAAUUGGUGCCCAUUCACCCUGAAUUCAUGUCCCGUUUUCAAGCUUUUGAUUUGGACUGCACCAUGAACAAAAACAUUAGUAAUAACAAACGGUUCAAUCCACUUAGAACGUAACUUACCGGGAAACAACCGUAAACGGGAGUUGAACAAGAGCACUUUCUGGCCUAUGGAGAAUGUUUUGCCUCGAAUCAUCUUAUCAUGGAAAGCUUUGGUCUUCUCCUUGUAAAUGCUAGCAUUCUCGUAUGCCUCAUGUCGUAUCUUAUCAAGUUCAUUGAGUUGAAACUUCCUAUGACUUCCUGCGGCAUUUAGGUCCAUAUUGAACUUCUUGAUGGCCCACUGAGCUUUGUGCUCCAAUUCAACGGGGAGAUGGCACGGCUUGCCAUAGAUGAGCCUAAAUGGGGACAUUCCAAUGGGUGUCUUGUACGCCGUACGAUAUGCCCAAAGUGCAUCAUCUAACCGUAAGCUCCAAUCCUUCCUUGUAGGCCCAACGGUCUUCUCUAGAAUUUGUUUGAUCUCACGGUUGGAAACCUCGGCUUGGCCAUUCGUUUGAGGAUGGUAAGGUGUAGAAACCCUUAUGGUUGACAUUGUAUUUCCUCAAUAAUGCCUCUAUGGUCCGGUUGCAAAAGUGCGAUCCUCCAUCACUUAUGAUGACACGUGGCAUGCCAAACCUUGCAAAAAUGUUAGUUCUAAUAAAAUCUGCAACCACUUUAGAGUCAUUAGUCCGGGUGGCUUUAGCUUCCACCCACUUCGACACAUAAUCAACCGCAAGCAAAAUAUACAUGAAAACCAUACGAGGAAGGAAAGGGACCCAUAAAAUCAAUUCCCCAAACAUAAAAAAUUUCAACAUUAAGGAUAGAAACUUGCGGCAUUUGAUCCCUAGCACCUAUGUUACCCAUUAUUUGGCAUUUAUCACAUGUUAAGCAAAAAGUUCUCUAGCAUCCUUAAAGAUACUAGGCCAAUAGAACCCACAUUGUAACACCUUAAGUGCUGUUCUUUAUGUGCCAAAGUGACCACCACAUGCAUAUGUGUGACAAAAACUUAAAAUUGAACGAAAUUCAGAAUCAUGCACACAUCGACGUACAAUCUGAUCCAGGCAAAAUUUCCACAAAUAUGGAUCAUCCCACACAUGCAUCAUGCCUAAGUUUAUCACGUUGGUGCCUAGUGAAAGUGCUUGGAAUUCGUUUUGACACCAAAAAGUUCACCAAAUCGGCAUACCAAGGCUCACUAACCUUUAUGGACAGCAAUUGUUUGUCGGGGAAUGUCUCAACAAUGGGUAGGGACUCCUCAUUAUGCACCAUUCGGCUUAGGUGGUCAGCCACCACGUUUUCACUUCCCUUCUUGUCACGAAUCUCUAUGUCGAACUCUUGUAGUAGUAACAUCCAACGAAUUAGCCGGGGCUUGGCCUUCUUUUUGGUGAGCAAAUACUUCAAAGCUGCAUGGUCAGUGAAAACAAUUACUUUAGUACCAAUUAGAUAUGAUCUAAACUUAUCUAAAGCAAAAACAACGGCAAGAAGUUCUUUUUCCGUAGUGGAAUAGUUCAAUUGUGCAUCAUUCAACGUCCGGGAGGCAUAGUAGAUGACAUGCGGCCUCUUGUCCUUCCUUUGUCCCAAAAUAGCCCCUAAAGUGUAGUCGAACGCAUCACACAUAAGCUCGAAAGGUAGGCUCCAAUCCGGUGGAACAAUGAUGGGUGUCGUGGUCAACAACUCCUUGAGUUGGUUGAAUGAUGUCAUGCACUCCUUGGUGAAUUCAAACGCCACUUCUUUUUGUAGGAGACGGCAAAGAGGUUGUGCCACCUUUGAGAAAUCUUUGAUAAACCUACGAUAGAAACCUGCAUGGCCAAGAAAAGAACGAACCUCUCUAACCGAAGUCGGAGAGGGUAAGUGACGUACAAGAUCUAUUUUUGACUUAUCAACCUCAAUACCUUUUUCAGAGAUUAUAUGACCUAAAACUAUGCCUUGUUUAACCAUGAAAUGACAUUUUUCCCAAUUAAGAACAAGGUUAGUUUCAACGCAACGUUUUAAGAUCAAACUGAGAUUAUGCAAGCAACCAUCAAAAGAAUCACCAAAGACACUAAAAUCAUCCAUGAAAACUUCAAUUAUUUUCUCUACAUAAUCCGAAAAUAUGCUCAUCAUGCAUCUUUGAAAUGUGGCAGGUGCAUUACAUAAACCAAAAGGCAUGCGACGAUAUGCAAAUGUACCAAAAGGGCAUGUAAAAGUGGUUUUUUCUUGGUCCUCGGGUGCUAUGACAAUUUGAUUAUAACCAGAAUAACCAUCAAGAAAACAAUAGAAAGCAUAACCCGCUAACCUCUCAAGCAUUUGGUCAAUGAACGGCAAUGGGAAGUGAUCCUUCCUUGUGGUGGCGUUUAGCUUCCUAUAGUCGAUGCACACCCUCCAACCGAUUUGAAUGCGUUGAGGAACAAGUUCAUUCUCGGCAUUAGCUACCACUAUCACUCCGGAUUUCUUUGGUACGCAUUGAACGGGCGAAACCCACCUACUAUCCGAGAUUGGAUAGACAACUCCACAAUCUAGAAGCUUUAUGAUCUCCUUCUUCACAACUUCCAUCAUAGGAGGGUUGAGACGGCACUGAGCCUCUCGAGAUGUUUUUAGACCCCUCAUCCAAAAGUAUGCGAUGCAUGCAUGUAGUAGGGCUAAUUCCCUUGAUGUCGGCCAAUGUCCAUCCAAUUGCAGUUUUGUACUCUUUUAGUACCCUCACUAAUUUACUCUCCUCUUGUGCCGUGAGUGAGGAUGAAAUGAUGACGGGCAAUGUCUAAUCCUCUCCUAAGAAAACAUACCUCAAGUGACUAGGUAAUGGCUUAAGUUCAAGUGUGGGUGGCUGCACAACUGAGGGAAACAUUUUAUUAGCCGAAACCGAACUUAAAAUAGGGUAAAAAAACUUACCAGUUUGCGAUGGCAAUGACUCAAGGGCAGCCACCAUCUCAAUGAUAUCUUCACUAGGGGGCACGGCAAUGGAAUCCUCAUGCAUGCCGUGGGUUUCCUUGGUGGCUGUUUCAAUGUUUUUCAUGUUCUUUCCUUGUGCAAUGACCAAUUCAAGUGCAUCGUCCUUCAAAUUGUCAAAAUGGUCCUGCGCCAAAGAGUCAAUUAUAUCAAUAGCAAAACAUGAAUGAUUUUCACUAGGAAACUUCAUAGAAUCAGAAAGAUUGAAAUUAAUCACUUCCCCAUCAAAUUCCAUCGUUAAAGUGCCAUUAAACACGUCAAUCUUUGUUCGGGCCGUUUUCAUGAAUGGCCUUCCAAUGAGGAUGGGUAAUGAAGGGGCAUGGUCCGAUUCAUCCAUCUCAAGUACGUAGAAAUCCGCCGGAAAGAUCAAAUGAUUAACCUGCACUAAAAACAUCCUCCAAAACUCCCUUUGGAUAGGCAUUAGAUCUAUCGGCCAAUUGUAUGAUUACACCAUCAUUUUUUAACUCUCCUAGGUUCAUAGAUGCAUAAAUUGAAUAUGGCAUGACAUGUAUAGAUGCACCUAAGUCUAACAUGGCAGAUUCAAACCUAGUAUUACCAAUGACACAAGGAAUCGUAAAACUACCCGGAUCUUUGCAUUUAGGGGGCAGUUUACGUUGCAAGAUGGCUGACACGUUCUCGCCUACUUUCACAACUUCCUUGGUCGACAUCCUCUUCCUCGUGGUGCAAAGUUCCUUCAAGAACUUGGCGUACCUCGGGACUUGCUUGAUUGCAUCCAAAAGGGGUAUGUUGACUUGAACUUUCCUAAAUGUCUCUAGAAUGUCCUUUUCAGCUUCUUCUUUCUUUGUUUGCUUGAACCUAUUUGGAAAAGGAACAUUCGUAGGAAAAACAUUAGUAUGAACUGGAUUUGACACGUUCUUACCUCUAUUGGACAGAUUGGAUGACUUAUGAUCACAUAGGGCUUGCGGCAAAGGUGUUUCCACCUUUGCCGUGGGUGGUUUUUGUUCUUCCUCUUCAAUCAUCAACUCCUCCACCUCGUUAGAACGUGAUUUGGAGUGUUGGGGUUCAGAUCCUACAUGCUUCCCACUUCGCAAAGUUAUAGCUUUUGCAGAUUCGAAUCCACCUUUUGGAUUGACCACGGUUGAGCUAGGCAACUUGCCUUGCUCUCGAAACUGCCCCAUAAACUCGGCAAUUUGCCCCACUUGCUUCUCCAACUCGUCCACCUUCUUGUCCCUAGUUUGCAUGCCCUGCGCCAUAGAAGUUAGUAAAUUAAAAAUCUGAUCAUUAUCAAUAGAAGAACCUGAUUUUUGGGCGGGUUAUGCUUGGGGUUGAGUUGGUUUGUUGUUGGCCUUGUUGGGGUUCUCGCCAUUUGAAAUUUGGAUGAUCACGCCAACCGGGAUUGUAAGUAUUAGAAAAGGGGUCAUUCCUCGGUUGGUAUUGGUUGCCAAAUCCCACGGCAUUGAGGGUCUCCCAACCUCCAUUCUCUAUCAAUUGUGGGCACUUGUCCGUAAGGUGUCCUUGCAAAGUAGUAAGGUUAGCCAUUUGAUUUUGAAGUUCGGUUAUGGCACUUACCUUAUUCACUUGGUGUGUUGCCGUGGGUUGCUCCUUUGUCCAACACCUUCGUAUUGUUGGGCAUUCAACGCUCGAUUGGAGAUUAAUGCCUUGGCUGCCGUGGGGGUCUUGUCCACCAAGGCUCCUCCUGCCGAGGCAUCUAGCAUUUGACGUUCGAUUGGUAGUAGCCCCUCGUAGAAGUAUUGUAGAAGAAGUUCCUCCUUCAUCUGAUGCUGUGGACAUGAAGCAACAAGAGAUUUAAAACGUUCAUAGUAAGUAGGAUAAGAUUCACCUUCAUCUUGUUGAAUUCCACUUAUCCUUUUUCGUAGGAGGAUGACUCGAGAAGUUGGGAAAAACUUCUCCAAGAAAUCCCGUUUCAUACUCUCCCAAGAUGUGACCGUUCCGGGGGCUAAUUCAUACAACCAAUCUUUCGCCUUUUCCAUGAGAGAAAAGGGAAAAGCCUUCAUCUUCAAUAUGCUCCCGUCAACAUUGAUUGGAGUCAUGCUUGAACACACCACCUCGAACUCUUUCAAGUGCUUGUUAGGAUCCUCCAUGGACAACCCAUGGUACUUCGGAAUGUGGUGUGUAGCAAACUUGACUUCAACUCAAAUUCCUCGGUCUUUCCUUGGGCAGCCACGGGAUAUUGAAUACAUAGAGGUGCGGCAUUGUCUAAUCCCGAAGCCGAAAGCUCCUUGAUUGUACAAUUGUCUUGUGCCAUGGCUUCCUUUACUUCACCCACUCUUGCCGUGGGUUCCUCUUCUUCAAACUCAACUUCGGCUUCUGAAUUUGAAUUUGAUUCACUAGGUUUUGGAUUCUUCCUUUUUUCGUCUCAUUUCUCGCUCAAAAUCGUCGUCAACGUCCAAGAUGUGUCCACGAAUCGGAUGAGAACUCCGAGUCAUAAACUAGUACCUAAAAACAAGAAAACAAAACAAGGUCAGAAUCUGGAAUUCAUUAAAACAACUGAAAUAAAACAAUCCAAGGGAUUAGCAAUGUUGCUAAUCCCCGGCAACGGCGCCAAAAAUUUGAUGUGAAAUAUAAGCACACAAAUUAAACCCUUUUUUUAUCAAUUGUAGCAAAGUAUGUAAGUAGGGAUCGUUCUAGGCCGGGGAUUAGGAGGGAUUGCCAAAUCACUUGAAACUGACUCAAAACGUAAAAACAAAGUUUAAAACACUAAACUAGACUCAAAGAAUGCAAAACUAAACUAUAAAACACCAAAACAAACCAAAAGACUCAAAACAGCAAAUAAACACUCAAAACUGCCUUAAAAACACUUUCUGGGCAGUUUUGAACACCUAACACUAAAUUGGACGAAAUUGGGUUAUGACUUGACUCAAGACACUUAAAAACACAAACUAAAUUGAUUUCUAACUAAUCUAACACUUCAAAAUAAAUGGGGAUUUAGUUUUGACGAAAAUUGAAAACAAGAACAAACUUUGUAAAUUGAACAGAUUCUAAAACGAAUUUGAUAAAAGUGAAUGGAUGGAAAGCUAGCUAAGGGGUUCUUCUCCACACAUGUCACACUUGCAUACAAAACGAUUUCCAAUUGCUUCUCAAUAAACCAUGAAUUCCCAACGCCCCAAAUUAACCGUGAAUUGCACUAAUUAACCCUCAGAUUUUCCUAAAGUUAUCGAAUUGGAUGAAUUGCAUACGACAACCCAAAGCAUUCCUCACAAGUUCCCUGCAUGAAUUGCAUAACAAAGAUACAAGCAAAGAUCAUUAAGUUUUAUGAAAAUCUUAAGCAUUGGCGAGGCACUCGUUACUAUGAAUUGCAUGAAACUUCUGCCAAGAAUUUACUUAACACGAUUGUGAUCAACAACCUUUACUACUUUUGAAUAUAAGUUCAUAACGAUAAGGUGAAAUUCCCUUAUAUCCUAGCAUCAAACUUAUGCAUGAAAAUUAAGCGUGCACUCUCAACCAACACACACAAAUCAGUUUUAAUUCAUGUAGAUAAGUAAAUUGAAUUCAUAACUUAUGAAAUGCAAUUGAAAGCAAUCAAAUCAUAUAGCAAGCAUAAACAUGGUUUCGAAUUCCCCCUAGCCAAGGGGGGUUUAGUUCCUCAUACGUACAAAACAAAGAGUAUAGAAUUUAAACAUUGAAAUCAAAAGAAAGAAAACACCUAAACGCUCCAACGAUCCUAACUUGAAUGGCAUGCAUGUCCAAGGCUUCUCCUCCUUCCUCUUUGCUGCGGCACAAGGUUUUGGGGACAGGUUUGGAUGGUAUAUGUAUGGAGGAAUGGAUGGGAGAUGGUAUGGUGGUGUUUAGGAUGGAUGAGGGGUGUGGCAAAAGAGAGAAAGAUGGCUGAAAAUGUGUUUAUGACGUAGUGUAUGAAUGUGUAGAUGGGUUUGGCUAAAAGAAUGGAUGGAGAAUGGGUGGUGUGGCUGAUUGUGUUUUUGAUGUAGUGUCGUGUCUAGUGUUCUUCCCUUCACUCCCUAUUUAUAGAAGCGCCAAAGCAAAGAAUCACUCAAGUGACUUCAAUAAACAAUACAAACAAAGACCAAAAUGAUGCAAAAACAGUUAGUUUACAUGCUCUUUUAUCAUUGUGUCUUGCCUUUAAGAAAAGGCAAUCAUUCCUCUUUUGCUAAUUCAACUCUUUUGUAGCUGUCCAUGUGCCUUCAUUCUUCAAUUUCUGAUGCAUUUGCCUUGUAUUCCAUCCCUUUUCCACAUGUAUUAGCUGUUAGACAACUUUCACACACAUGUUUUGCAUCAUUUCAUCUUGCAAACAUCAACUUUUGGCCACUUUACACCUCUACACACAUGCUAUGCAUCAUUUCAGCUUGCAAUUAUGUUUGUAGUUGCUGAAAAUGUGAAUACAUCUUGUAAAGCAAUCCAACAAAUGGCAUCUUUCACUUCUUUUCCUUUCAAAUUGUUCCUUAAGUGUAUGUAUCUGCACACUUCCACACUUCAACUUCAUUAUUCAGAUUUUUGCAUGUGUUGAAACCCUUUUUAAAACACCAAAAACGUCCAUCCCACUUGCUCCAUAUGCAUGCAAUCCAUUUUGGCCCAAAAUUGCUCCAAAUUGCACCAAAAUGCACUUUCUUUCCAACUUUGUUAUUAGGACCUACAAACACACAAAAAUAGCUUAAAACACUCUUAUAAGCAAUAACUAACUAAGUAAAUGCAAGAAAACAUGUUAACUAAGUCCCAUAAAUAUGCUCCUAUCAUGCAUUUUACACCAUAUUAUAUAUAUAUAUAUAUAUAUAUAUAUAUAUAAUUGAAAAUGCUAUGACAUGGUUGAGUAUGAGAUUGCAUCAUGGUAUAUCCAUAUGUAUAAUACUUGCUCAUAAUUAUUGUGAACGCUUUGAAGUGCAAAGGUGAACACAUGAGACCUAGGUAAGUUCAGGUGAGUUUUUGGUAUUAGUUGAAAUGAUGAAGUUAUGGCAUGACUACAUGUAUGUUUUAGGCAACUCCGACACUAUCGUACAGGUUGUCCAUGAGUCGUACAUGUUAUGAUAGAUGCAUUUAGAGCUCAUUAUACUGCACCCCGGUGUUAGUGCUCUGCCCGUGGCCAGGGCCUAGCCUUCACGUGAUCAUUCACCUCCUGCACCAAACGCUCACCUUGGGUACAAGGUAGGUGUUAGCCUGUCAUACAUACCACAUUAGGUGGUUCCGACUCGUAGGUGACUUGCGAUACUUCGCACAGCCUUCACGUGAUUGUAGCACUUGAACAUAUUUAUUUACACCAAGCCUGUCGUACAUACCACUUUAGGUGGUUCCGACUCGUGUGCAAGAAUUGAUUGAUGAGAUAUGGUUGAGUCGUACAGGUCACUAUAGGUGACUCUGACUUAUGUGCUAGAAUUGAUUGAUGAGAUAUAGAUGAGUCGUAUAGGUCACUAUAGGUGACUCCAACUCAUGUGCUGGAAUUGAUUGAAGAGAUAUGGAUGAGUCAUACAGGUCACUAUAGGUGACUUCGACUUACGUGCUAGCAUUGAUUGAUAAGAUAUGGAUGAGUCGUACAGGUCACUAUAGGUGACUUCGACUUAUGUGCUAGCAUUGAUUGAUGAGAUAUGGGUGAGUCGUACCAGUCACUAUAGGUGACUUCCUUACGUGCUAGCAUUGAUUGAUGAGAUAUUGAUUGAUAGUCAUAUAGGUCACUAUAGGUGACUCCGAGUUACGUGCUAGCAUUGAUUGAUGAGAUAUGGGUGAGUCAUACUGGUCACUAUAGGUGACUCCGACUUAUGUGCUAGCAUUGAUUGAUGAGAUAUGGGUGCAGUCAUACAUACAUGUCACAUUAGGUGACUCCGACUUGCGUGCUAGUAUGGAUUAUUGAGCACCUAAUUAUUUAUAUUGCUGAUAAGAUGUUGUAUCGUGGUAUACUUCUGGAUUUACUGAUAGUAUACAAUUGAUUUCAUCCUUAUACGUAGUAUGAUUUUCUAGAAACUAAACAGGUGUUACAGCGAGGGGUUAUAACGUUUAGAAGAUCUUUAUUAAAAUUUUGUUUUCAGGCCACUCACAUUUUCUAUUUUCCGCCCCUUCAGGUUUUAGUAGCUGAGCUUCCAUAUCGACGAGGAUGAUUGGCAUAUUGCAAAAUAAGUGACUACCUUUGAUGGUAUAUUUCUUAUCUUACUCUACUGUACUUUACCUAUGCUCUAACAUCAUGUGUGAAGUGGGUUCAUUCCCGUUCACCAGCGCACUAUGGUAUUUAGGCACUUUUAGGUUCAAAUUUAUUCAUAUUUUUCCACGUCAUCACACUUUAUGGCUUCGUCACCUUCUAGGUUUCGCCCAGCACAGCACGUUUCGGAGUCUUUGUGGACAUUUCGGGUUGGGAUGUGUCAAUAUUUGUGGGACGACAACUUGCUCGAUGGAACAAAUUAUGUUGUGCAAAGUAUGUUUGCACAAUGGUGACAACAAAACUUCACGCAAAGAUAUUUUGCGCGACGUCAGCUUUCGUCGCACAAAACAGUUUUGCACGACGUCAGUCUGCAUCGCACAAAGUCAACAAAUGUUUCCACAUCACUUAAUCAGUUUGGGAGGCAAAAACUGCAAACCCAGUUGCAGAAUCUACCUCCCUCCCCCAUCUCUCUUCAAAACCUUCUCCAACCCUCCCUCGCUCUUAAACUCAUCAUACAAAUAUUUCAUCUCUCUUCUCCUCCAUUUCCUUUCCCUUCCUCAAUCUAUUCCCAUCCGGUAAGCGAUUUGAUUUUGUAUAUGUACCUUUGCCUACUUGCUAUGCCCUUUUUUUGGUAAUGGUGGAGUUUUGUGGGAUUGAAUUUUUAAUUAAUCUUUGUUAAUUUUACCUAUUAAAAGGAGGGAGAUUGUAGAUAUAUUGCUGAAGACUUGUUUAGGCUUCAUUUGGAAUUAGCAUUUGAAUACUUUAUCGGGGUUAACUUAUAUAUUUACACGGAACAAAUUGUAAGAAAUGUUGGUUUCCCAUUGAAAUUUCCUUGAUUUGUGCUAUACGGUUGAACUGAGGGUAAAUCCAACGCACCGCAAGUAAUUAAGAAUUAUAUAGAAAACCUACAUAAGACAUGAUCUUCAAAGCUAAUCUUAUCCUCACUAUUAAAUUCUCAAUUCUAAGCUAUUGACAAUAGGUUUUAGUUCAAUUAUAAGCGGGUUGAUUUUUGUGAGCAGAUGCCAUAUUUAUGUAGAUAAACAAUGGCUACGAAUCUCCUAUUAAAUCCCUUUAGAAAAUCAAUAUCGUCUUCCAAUUUUAAUACAAGUUAGUAAUUCAAGAUUCAUUUGUCUCAAUCCUUGUAAACUUGAAGACAACCAAAACAUCUUUCAAUAAGAUUUUUCGUUUAUAACCAUAAAAAAGUUUUGUUCCGUUACUUGAUCUCUGAAUGUUUGUUUUUUGCGAUUUUUUACGUAUUCGAUCUCGAAGUAUUUACAAACAAGUUCGACGGUUGCAUUGUUGAAAUUAUUUUCAUAGAAUGUGUAUCCCAUCAAGUUCAAUGAUAUAUAUAUUUAUUAAGUAGCUUUAAAUUUAUUUAUUUUGUUAUAACACUUAAGAAAUUGAAUGGUGUAUAUAUUUAUUAAGUAGCUCUAAAUUUAUUAUUGUAGUUCGGAUCGGGUUUUUGUUAGAAAAAUAUAUUAUUGUGUUUUAUGUAAAAAAAUGAAUUUGGAAGGAGUAAAGUCACAUUUUCAGUAAAUUUUAUAAUAAAUUAAAAAAAAAUAACUUGCACGACAUCACAAUUGGGUCAUUGAGCAAAAACACUUUGCUCAACGCAGCAACCAAUGCGUUACGCAAAGAAUGUUUGUGCGACGCAACAACCAAUGCAUCACGCAAAGGUUGUUUGCGCAACGAACAAACUACAUCGCACAAAGUGUUUUUGUGGUCCACUAGUGUAAAUAUUUCAAAUUGACGAUCGAAUUAGUUCAUUUUAUUCAUAUAGGAUCAAUGAGUGUAUUUGUAAAAAAUCAUCAAAAUCGGAGUUAAAACUAUAGUUAAAUUGUGAUUUUUCAUUUAUAACCGUCAAAAAGUUUUGUCUCGUUACUUAAUCUCUGAAUGUUUGUUUUUUGCGAUUUUAUAGGAUCUCGAAGUAUAUACAAACAAGUUUGACGGUUGGAUCGUUGAAACUAGUUUCGUACAAUGCGUAUCCCAUUAAAACAAUAGAUUCACUAAUACUUGGAGUUUAUUUAUACUUUCAUUAAGUAUAACAUAAGAUUUUGUGAUAUCCACUAUUGUAAAUAUUUUAAAUUGAAGAUCGAAUUAGUUCAUUGUAUUCAUUUAGUGUCACAUCCCGGGCUCAACUCUACCGUACUACGAUAUUGUCCACUUUGGGCCCCGACCACGCCCUCACGGUUUGUUUCUAGGAACUCACACGAGAACUUCCUAUUGGGUCACCCAUUGUGGGAUUGCUCUCGCGUGAACUCACUUAACUUCGGAGUUCCGAUGGAACCCGAAGCCAGUGAGCUCCCAAAAGGCCUCGUGCUAGGUAGAGAUGGGAAUAUACAUAUAAAGCUUACAGGAUCCACUCCCCUGGACGAUGUGGGAUAUUACAUUUAGGAUCAAGGAGUGUAGCUGUAAAAAAUCAUCAAGAUCAGAGUUAAAAUAACCGUUAAAUCAUGAUUUUUUUGUUUAUAAUCGUCGAAAAGUUUGUCCCGAUACUUGAUAUUUGAAUGUUUGUUUUUUGCGAUUUUUGGGGUAUGCGAUCUCGAAGUAUAUACAAACAAGUUUGACUGUUCGAUCUUUGAAACUAGUUUCGUAGAAUGCGUAUCCCAUCAAAACAAUAGAUUCACUAACAUUUGGAGUUUAUUUAUACUUUCAUUAAAUAUAACAUAAGAUUUUGUGAUAUUUGUGACAACCCGUCCCUAAAAUUUCGUUUUUAUUUAUUUUAAUCGAGGGAAUUGACGAAAAUGCCUAGAAGCAGGGAUUUUGAUUUUUGUUGACCAUCGUCUAGAGGAAUGUAUGACUUAUUCUUUCAGUGUAAUGGUGUAGUAUUCAUUGGUACAAAUGCAUAGGCGAAAGCCAUUUGCGAGUUCGGAUUUUAUCGGUAUAGUUAUGAAUGUUUGAAAUUGGUUAUUUGAAGUUUAAUUAUAAAUUAAAUUGAACUUCCAUCUUGUGGGAGUGCUAACCAAUCGGUUUUUAAGGGAAGGGAAGGGACCAAUCAAUAAAAAGAAGGGUUGACCAAUCAGAAAUAAAAAAAAAAUAAAAAAUAAAAAGAGGGGGGGAAAGCCCAGCCUUCCCAUCCAUACACCUGUGCACCCACCCAAUCUAAAUUCCGGCGAUUUUUGCCAUUUCUUCCAUUGAACCAUCACCAUAUAACACCUGCAACCUCUUCCACAACCUUCCUUCUUCCACCUUCACCCAAAUUCAUGGGUUUUUAAGCCCAAAAUCACCAAGAACAGUGCCGGAGCACCGAAGGUGUUUGGAGUCGAUUUCAUCAUUCCGGUGAGUUUCAUUACUCACCACCACCCUUAGUCAAUUCCCCUUAGACUCAGGAAUAAGACCCAACCAAUUGUAGGGGUGUAGGAACACCGAGGAAGGAGAAUCGAAGCUCACCCAUUAUAGGGUUUCAAACGGAUCUAGGGGAAUUUAAGGUGUUUCUUGGCCAAAUUGGCCUUGGCCACAGGUAUAAAAGUUGUUCCUCUCUUUGAGAUCUUCAUUCCUAUAAAUUUUGGUAAUUUUUAGAAAUAGUUGAAUUUUCUGGCAAGUCGAGGCAGCCAACCGCCACUUGCGGCGGCGUGUUGGCUGAGGUACCCCUUCACAUUCCUAAGUUAAAUUUGAUACUCCAAUUCCAUACGUGAAGUCCGGUUAACGAAAUUUCAGUCAUUUGAACCUAGUUCCAUUAAGGUCCACCACUUGAAUAUUAUAGCAACUGACAAUCCGACUGUUGGAUCGUCACCAAACUUUAUUUCAUUAUAGUAAAUAUUUGAGGACCAUAGAAACUUACGGAUAGGGAAUCCGAUGUACGGAUUUUCCCAAAUUGGAUUUGUAAGUUCAUAAAAUAAAAUGUUGACCACCAUUUGGUUUUGGCAAUUUGCGGAGAUUCGACCAUUGGAUCGUAAUGAAACCUUAGGACGUUGUUCUAUAAACAUAAUGUGGAUCCUUGGAAGUAACGAAUCAGAAAUCCAUGAUGCAGAUCUUCCGAAUUGAAUUAUGUAGGGAUGUGUUUUAUGUAAAUUAUGUAUUCUAUCGGUAAGAACUCUGAGAUGUGAUUUGAUAAUUGUUCUAGACGACGAUGGUUCGUGAUGUCUUAAUAUUUGUGCUAGGGAGUCGUAGCGCGGACCUAAGGUGAGUGGGUCUUUUCCUUUCUAUCGUAUAUUAUAUAUAUAUAUAUAUAUAUAUAUAUAUAUAUAUAUGAUUGACAAUUCCACAUAUGUUUAUAAAUUGAUUAUUGCAUUAAUUACUGUGAAUGCUUUGAAGUACUAAUGUGAACUAGGAAUGGCUUGAUCCUUAUUUAGGGUACAUAGGCAGUCUAACGAGACGUUAGAUGCAGCCAUACAAGAAGUGAGAUUAAAUAAUUGAGGCAAUAGCCUUGUUUAGGGAAUUGAGUAAUGUGAGGGACAUUGGUGGAAAAUUUGAGAGUAACCUUAUGAUUUGGUGGUUAAAUGUUGGUCAUAAAUCAAUGUGUGAAGAAUAAAAAAUUUGAAGUAAGGAAACGUAAGUAAUGAUAGUUAAUUAAACUAGUGUCUAGUUGGGCUUAUCACCGAUAAUUAUUCCCGAAAAUAAAUAGUUCGGAUGUAGGGCGUUACAGCUUAUGCAUUUCUAUGCCAUAUUAUAUAUAUAUAUAUAUAUAUAUAUAUAUGUAUGUAUAUAAUUGAAAAUGCUAUAACAUGGUUGAAUAUUAGAUUGCAUCAUGGUUUAUCUAUAUGUAUUUUACGUGCACAUAAUUAUUGUGAACGCUUUGAAGUGCAAAGGUGAACGCAUGACACCAGGUAAUUUCAGGUGAGUUUAUGGUAUUUGUUGAAAUGAUGGAGUUAUGGCAUGACUACAUGUAUGUUUUAGGCAACUCCGACCUUGUCUUACAGAUUGCAAUGAUAGGUAACUCCGACAUUAUCGUACAGGUUGCCCAUGAGUCGUAUAUGUUACGAUAGAUGCAGUUAGAGCUCAUAAACCUACACCCUGGUGUUAGUGCUCCCACCCGUGGCCAGGGCACAGUCCUUCACGUGAUGUUCACCUCUCGAACCUUAUGCUCACCUUGGAUCUAAGGUAGGUGUACAGUCCUGUUGUACAGACCACUAGAGGUGGUUCCGACUUGUAGGUGACUCACGCUUAUUCGCACAGUCUUCACGUGUUCGUAGCACUUGAGCCUACUUAUUUACACCCAGUCUUGUCAUAUAGACCACUAUAGGUGGUUUCGACUCGUGUGCAAGGAUAUGUGAUGAGCUAUGGGUUCAGCCGUACAGGCCACAAGAGGUGGAUCCGGUUGACAUAUUACAGGGAUAUGUGAUGAGAUAUGGAUAAGUCGUACAGGUCACUAUAGGUGACUCCGACUUAUGUGCUAGCAUUGAUUGAUAAGUCGUACAAGUCACUAUAGGUGACUCCGACUUAUGUACUAGCAUUGGUUGAUGAGAUAUGGGUGCAGUCGUACAUGUUACCAUAGGUGAUUCCGACUUGCGUGCUAGUAUGGGUUAUUAAGCACAUGAUUAUUUAUAUUGCUAAUGAGAUGCUGAGUAGUAGUAUAUUUCUGGAUUUAUCGUUAGUAUACAUUUGAUUUCAUACUCCUACGUAGUAUGAUUUUUUGGAAACUAUACAAGUUUUAUGGCGAGGGGUUACUACCUUUGAUAAUUGAAAUUAUUUUGAAAAUCUUUGUUUUGCCCACUCACACUUUCUAUUUUGCACCCCUCUAGGUUCUAGUAGCAAAGUUCCAUAUCGACGAAGACUUGUGGCACUCCCAGUUCAGGUGACUCCUUAUGAUGGUAUAAUUAUCAUCUUACCUCACUGUACUUUUCUUAUGCUUUGUAUCACGUGUGAAAUGGGUUCAUACCCGCUCACCGCGCACUUGUGUAUAUAGGCACUUUUAGGUUUAAAUUUAUUCACAUUUUACAAAUUAUCACAUUCUAUGGCUUUGUCACCUUCCAGGUGUUGGCCAGCAUAGCUCGAUUCAGAGUUCUAGUGGACAUUUCUGGUCGGGGUGUGUCAUCCACUAGUGUAAAUAUUUUAAAUUGACGAUCGAAUUAGUUCAUUGUAUUCAUAUAGGAUCAAGGAGUGUAACUAUACAAAAUCAUCAAAAUUGGAGUUAAAAUAACCGUUAAAUCGUGAUUUUUCAUUUAUAACCGUCAAAAAGUUUUGUCUUGUUACUUGAUCUCUGAAUGUUUGUUUUUUGCGAUUUUUUUACGGUUCAAUCGUUGAAACUAAUUUCGUAGAAUGUGUAUUCCAUCAAAACAAUAGAUUCACCAACACUUGGAGUUUAUUUAUACUUUCAUUAAGUAUAACAUAAGAUUUUGUGGUAUCCACUUGUGUAAAUAUUUUAAAUUGACGAUCGAAUUAAUUCAUUGUAUUCAUAUAGGAUCAAGGAGUGUAGCUGUAAAAAGUCAUCAAAAUCGAAGUUAAAAUAACCGUUAAAUCGUGAUUUUUUUUUAUAACCGUCGAAAAGUUUUGUCUUGUUACUUGACCUCUAAAUGAUUUUUUUUUGCGAUUUUUUGCGUAUGCGAUCUCGAAGCAUAUACAAAAAAGUUUGACGGUUCAAUCGGUGAAACUAGUUUCCUAGAAUGUGUAUCCCAUCAAAAUAAUAGAUUCACUAACACUUGGAGUUUAUUUAUACUUUCAUUAAGUAUAACAUAAGAUUUUGUGGUAUCCACUUGUGUAAAUAUUUUAAAUUGACAAUCGAAUUAGUUCAUUGUAUUCAUAUAGGAUGAAAGAGUGUAGCUAUAAACAAUUAUCAAAAUCAGAGUUAAAAUAACCGUUAAAUCGUGAUUUUUCGUUUAUAACCGUCAAAAAGUUUUGUAUCAUUACUUGAUCUCUGAAUGUUUGUUUUUUGCGAGUUUUGGCCUAUGUGAUCUCGAAGCAUAUACAAAACAUGUUUGACGGUUAGAUCAUUGAAACUAGUUUUGUAGAAUGCGUCUCCCAUCAAGUUGGAUGGCAUAUAUAUUUAUUAAGUAGCUUUAAAUUUACUUAUUUUGUACGUAUACCACUUAAGAAAUUGAAUGAUAUGUAUAUUUAUUAAGUAGCUUUAAAUUUAUUAUUGUAGUUCGGAUUGGGUUUUUGUUGGAAAAAUAUAUUAUUGUGGGUUUUAUAAUAAUUUUUUUUUAAAUAUAACUUGCGCGACGUCAUAAUGUAUACAUGCGUCGCGCAAUGUGUUAAAAAUUUGGUGGUAGUUUUGUAAAAAUGAGGUUUUUUUUUUUAAAAAAGAAAAAUUUCCCAAAUUUGGACAAAAUAGGAGUGCAAUUGAAAAAACAACCGGUCUCUCUUCCCUCUGUCUCUCUCUCUCUCACUCGGUCUCUCUCUUCCCUCUCGCUCAUCUCGUUCAGUGACUCCAUUUGAAACCCUAACCAUCGAUCCCUCAUCCCUAAUCCCUCUAUCUGUAUGUGUCUAGACACUCUCCUCUCCUUCCCAGCCUCCGCUACUCUGCGCACCUAGGACCAAUGACCCACGACUUCCUCUCGCCGUUUCGAGUCUCGACCCACAACUUCCUUUGCAAGUUUAGUCUCAUGGUAAAUAAUUUUGUGUUCUACAAAUUUUCUUUUCAAUUUCAUGGGUUCUGCAUAUUUUAUUUUCAAUUUCAUGGGUUUUGCGAUUUUCUUUUAGUUUUAGUGGGUUUUGCAGAUUUUGUUUUCAAUUUCAUGGGUAAUGUUGUGAUUUUCUUUUAAUUUUAGUGAUUUUUUGCAACCUUUGUGUUGGAAUCUUUCUCUAAUUGCAUUGGAUAUACAUCUUGUUCUUGAUGAAUUCAGUAUUCUAUUUUGAUAUGAACGGUUUUGUUUGCAGAUUUUAUGUUUUUGUUGAUAAACGCCAGCACAUUAAUGACAAAUUUAAGUGUUGAUUCCAAUUUAGAUUAAUCCUUUUAAUAGACUCUGUGUGUGUGUAUUAUCAUAUGCAUUCUUGUUAAACAUGAAGUUGAGGGUUGCGUAUAUACUGGUUGUAUACAUGUGUUGCUUGGAAAGCCUACCAUGUCAAAGUUGUUUGGGUUAAUAUUUGAACUUUGGGCUACAAGUGUGUGGAAGCCCAAAGAUGCCAAGUUAAAAGAAGACUUGCCCGAAGCCUGGCAUCAAGCCCAGAGACAAAUUGGUGCCUUCCCAUUAAUGCAUAGGCCAUGUGCCUAUGAUUUAAAUAUCGAGUGAUAGGGACUAACUCACAAUCAGCCAAAAAACACUUUUCAGUGGCAAUACAAGUAAAAAGCUAAUGACUCACUACCCUCCAAGUGCUUUCGGGCAAGAGCAACGUCACUGUAGUUGGGCUAAUCUAUCUGCCUAUAAAAGGAGGAAGAAGCCCCAGAGACAAGGACACUUAACCAAUCAAACAAACAAACAUACAAACUCUGCUCUCAAGCUAGAUUUGCAUCUAAAGCUGUAAUUAGCCCAGAUCUCAAUCCUUUUCAGGAUCAUUCCCUACAAAAGCCAUAUUUUGUCUAGUUUAGAAGCUCUGCUAUCACCCCUAGUAUAGAUUCCCUUGUGUAAACUUGUUUGUCAUCGAUCCCUUUUUAGCAUAUAAACCCUGUAAACUCAGAAGAGAAGUGAUUGCAAGAAAUUCAACCUUGCCCGACAAGGUGAAAUCUUGCUCAAAGCUUUUUGUUUGUUUUACAAGUUAAUAGAUCUACUGCUUAAUGUAUUCUCCAACAUGUAUUCAAGUCAUAUCCAUCUGUUUUCCUACUUUAAGAGUCUCAUUUGCAUCUAGAUAUGGUCACUUUAAUGGAUACGUCUUCAUUUAAAACCAAUCAAGAACCAAACAAAUGACUUAAGGGAUUUGGACUCCCCUCAUUCGAAUAUACAAGACUAUGAACUGAAAGUCCUUGUUCGCAAGGCAAGAAAAAGAACUUAAAGUGGACUUAACCCAUCCACGACAAUCCUUUGAUAACAAGAAGUCCGAAUAACUUGGGGGGCAAGUAAUCGACUAAACACAAUCUUGUUCUACAUCUGCUAUAUUGAGAUAGUAGUGGCACACCUAGUAUUUCAUUAGUUUUAAUUGCGAGCCUCAAGGCCUACAUCUAAGGCCCGACAAAGGCAACUUUCAAAACUUACUCUGUCCUCUUCUUGCAGCACCCUAGCAAGCAAGAGACCGACUACACCUCCAAAGUGCCAAUCUUUUGGAGAGCUGUGCUGAGAGCCGAGGAGUCCUCUCCGGAGAAAUCUUCGCCUGAACAAAAGUAGUUCUAUCUUCUUGAGUUAGAAAGUGAAAGUGCUGUUCAAGUUUACCAUUGACUAUUACUUUUUAUUGUAACUAUCAAAUCUGGUAUCAUAUAUCAUCUAAUAUUUUCACCCAGUGACUCUCCCUCUCUAGAAAUUUUAAGGAAUGUAUCACCAUUCCAACUGUCCUUGUUCCCAGAAUAAAAAUCUUGAUGUUGCUCAAUGGGAGAUUGUGUUUCUGCUCUUUGGUCUUUAACUAAUAGUUACAAUAUGCCAGCCACCAUAGUAUGGUGGUUAUCUACUGUUUUCCUGGUAGGGAAGGAUUAUUUCAAGGAAGUUAGUAAGAUGGAUCAUUUUUGUUUGUGUUUUGGAUCAUGAAUUUGCAGUACCGAGCAAGUCGUGCUUGACUUUUGUUUGUUGCAUAUUUUUGCUUUCCCUGUUGUUGUAUAGCGCAAGUCUAUGCAAUAAUUACAAGGCAAGCUAUAAGGAAUAACCUGCCUUUCUCCUAGGAGGGGUGUCAGCUAGAUCAGUCAAAGUGAGCAAGUCAGGGUUAAUGACUUGUUGCGUUAGGAAAUUCGUACGUUGUUGAAGCUUUUUAUUACCCAAAAAGAACAUAGCUUUAUAUUUUUUUUGGCUGCUAAAUUUGUGGUAAGGUCUGAUUUCACAAACUGUGAAAUUGCAACAAGCUAAUUGCCAUGUUCUAUUUAAGUAAGGAUUGAUAAUGACUAAUACAGUAUCAAUCCGUACCAAAAAAAAAAAAAAAGAAUCAAACAGAAGUUCAAACCUCAAGAGAAACCAAAGAAAAACAAAGAAUCAAAAUUCGACCACAACAACCCCAAAAUCCGAUAGCAUGCAGCAACAAAGUCAACCAAAAAAAAAUCCUGGAAAUUUCUUGGUUUGGUUCCUGCAAAUAUACACACUAAACAAACUGUUUCACUUGAUCUUGAUCAAUGUGGAUUGCAUGCAUGACAUGGAGAUAUAGUCCAAUCUCACAGCUGGUUGAAUUCAAACUGAUGCUAGCUAUGAGAUCCUGAGAGAGGACUAACUUCACAUUCACAAUCAGUUUCACCGUCUUAUUUCCAAAUUUGUCUACUCACCGCCGUCAAGUUUGCGGGGGAGUGUUAGGGAGUUACAAACUUAAUCACCAUCUCAAUGCCAUUUCAUUAUGGUUUGUAACCACUUUCGUUAUGCCAUUCAUUUGUAAAUUUACUCUAUCAAUAGUAUAGGACUGUUACUAUUGUAACCCUUGUAUAAAUAUUGUACUACUACUCAUUUGUUAAUUAAGAAAAAUCAUUUUCUACAGGGGAGGACCUUUCUUUCUCUUUAUUUGAGGCUGUAUCUGUGUGCACGGUGAUUGUACAUACUGAGGGUUUGUCUUAAAUCUUCGAUAAAGAAGUAGGUAAUUGACAUGUAGAAUGAAUGAUAUGAUAUUUUAAGCUUGCUUGAGAGUUAUUAGAGGAGGGGUGUUGUCUCUUAUUUGCAAUGAACUUUGGUAUUGCCUUUGUUCCCUAUAUCGUCUUAUUGCCUUUGUUUCCUAUAUCGUCUCUGCAACCUAUUGGAGUCUAAGUGAGAAAUGCCUCAUUUCUUACGUUUUAUCACAUGGCAACUCAUAUUUAGAACAAAGAGGGUGUGCUUUACCACAAGGAUAUUUGUCUUGCAACUAUCCCAUCCAAAAGUUUGGUACGUCUUGGAGUCCUCUCAUGUUUUCAAUUGCUCUAAGUUAUUAUUACUUGGUCUUCUUUGAGUUCUAUUUCCCUCCAAAUUGCUAGUGCUUUGCUUUCUCAUGUUUUUUGCUUCGAACAUUACUAGUGAACAACGACUGAUUCCUGAACAUUUCUUCAACUAUCGAGGGGGGCGCUUAAGAGGGUUUGACAUGUAGGUGUAGAUAUAUGUGGUUGAGAGGUAUUGACAUUUAAAGCCAUGGAUUGCAAAUGGCUUUUAAGAAGGAAUUUUAGGAUGGGGUAACUGCAUCCGAAUCUAAUUACUUUUCAUGCUAAUAACAUUUCUUACUUUUUUAUGCAUCGAAGGUAGAAACAAUACUACUUUUGAAUUAGUAUUGUUCCUACCUUUGCAAUACUGCUUUAUAUAUAUGUGAACAAAUGCAAGAAAGGAUAUGAUAUUACUUUGGCUGCGAAUUCAAUAGUUUCAAAUGCAAGAAAGGAUGAGUUUGUAAUGUUAUAUUUUUAUGGUUCAAAAAGUGUAUAGAUGUUGCAGUUGAUCACUCGUCGUCGGAGUGUGACCAAUGCGCCUCCCGCAUUAUCCGCAUUUAUUGCUCCAGGCGUGAGUGCUCCAUUGAAUAGGGAGCCUACACCCUUUACUGAGGCUACUCCUACGGCUUCCCAGGUGCCUGUAUCAUCGACGUCAUCAGUGUCAGUUCAGUCGCUCAGUGCACGACAGCCUCAUUGGUGCCGUCGCGAGCCGGAGCCUUCUAAUCACACUUCCUCGGCAUCCAGAAUCGAGGGUGGGGCCUCCCAACCAGGUAGUUUUUUCUAAUUCUCAGUUCGCUGUAUUUUUUUGUUCAUUUUAAAACUAUUAUUUUUAUGAUUGUGAAAAUUUGCUAGAUUGUGAAAAUGUGUUGCGAGUUGUGAAUUACUGUUAUUUUACUGUUUUAAGGUUUUGGGAAAUGAUAUACUAUUAGGGGAGGUUUUGCCGAAUUUUCUAUACAAAUUUAAGCUUAGGGUUUUCAACAUUUAAGUUUUUAUGGGUAGCUAAAAAAAACACUAGGGGGUCUAAUCGAAUGCUAAAGCUGGCACAGAGCAUACGUCAGUCCGCUUCCUUGAUCAAGAUUGCAUAUGACUCACGACAUCGUGGAGCGGCUACCUCAAGCAUAGUAGCGUUGCUACUAGCUAUGAUUAUGUUAUUCGGUAUUGUUGUCCUAUGCAAUGGGAGUCUUGGGCACAAAUUCCUGAGGAGACGAAGAAACUGUUGCAAGACAAGUUGUCAGUUAGUAUAUUAAUUUUUAGCCUUUAUAAUUUUUUAAUUUUGUUUACAAAUAUUAUAAACCAAAGUAUAUUAUCUUAAUAUUAUUAAAUUUCUUACUAUUAUUUGAUUGUUUUUCAUAUUUGUAGGUCAAUUAUGAUCUUUAGGACAUAUCCCCCAAGGCCAUGGCUUACUUAGAGGAGACCUUAGCAACCCGGUACAAAAAUUGGAAGAGCGAUCUUCAUGCACUUUUUAAGCUAUGGGAUGAUCCGGAGAUUGCUUGCCUAGAGGGUUGCCCAACUGAGUUGGAGGACCGGCCGAAGGAUUGGGAGUGGCUCAGCAAACAUUUUACGGACCCAAAAUUUGUGGUAUGUACAUAAUAUUUCAAUAAUAAUUUAUUAUUGUUUUAGUUAUUUUUUAAGCUUUUUUUAAUAAUUUCUUUCAAAUAGUCGAACUAACAUGUAUAUUGUGUGUUUAAUUGAAGAAAUCUGUUGCUGACAAGAAAGCUUGGGAGUCAAAGACAUUUCUCCACUAUUCCGGUAUAGGCUUGAGGCAUGACGUCAGGUAAAAGUAUAUUAAUUUUGAAUUUUUAUACAAUUUAUUUUUUAUUAUUGAUUAAUAAAAUUUUCUUAAUGUUUUUUUUUUUUCUUCAGGAGGGUUCUAAGUUCCCAAAGAUCGACCUGUUCAAGGACGUUUAUGUUCGACUCGGUGAUGAGACCACUGAGCAGCUUCAUGUAAGUAUAUGUAAUUGUUAUUAUUCUUAUAUUUAUGAAUCGUUCAAAUAUUAUUUAUAUUUUGUUCUUAAACAUUAUAUGUUUUUCCUUUAUUAUUACAAGUUGUUAUGGUGGAAAAGUGUAAUGCUGUUCUCUAAGAAGCAACAUCGCAACUUCCCCCGGAUACCCCGAUCGUGGACGUCACUAUACCCGAUGAUGCAGGUCUUCAGAUCCUGACUGAGGUCCUGGAUUAUAAGUUCGGUCAUCGUCACGACAAGGUUGUUCGGUGUAUGGGGAAGGCGCGGGUUCGUGAGACGGGUGCCUUGUCACAGCCAGUUUCGAGAAUAAUUUUGGGCGAUGUGAAAAGACGGAAUUACCCUUGAGCGUUAGUGGCGUUGUGUGACUAAAUUUUGGUUUAAGGACCAAUUUGAUAAGUCCCUAGUAUGUUGGACCCAAUUGCUAGUAAGGAAAAUAAUUGGUUUGAUUGGUGGGUGGACAGAUGAGACCACACACACACAUCCACAUCACCUUCUCUCUCACUCCCGUACUCUCUCUCGGUUUCACUCUCUCUCUUUCUCUCCUUGCUAUAUGUACGGACAAGAGCAAGAACGCCUCAAGCUUCACAGAUCGAAGGUUUUGAGCACACCAUUGUGUUCAUUAUUCCAUUUCGAGUUCAAAUGUACCCAUUUCAGGUAAGAACUCAUCCAAUAUCACAUUGAAAACUCAAGCUCCGAGUUGAGCACUAUUCAUGAACUUUUGAAUGGUUAUGUUUUAGGACAAUCCAAACUCACAGCGAGCCCUAGGAGGUUCUCACGAAGCUCGGAGUGCUUCGUUGGCUCGGUUUUGACAUCAGGAUCACGAGGUUCGAAGGUGGCCGGUUUUGGUAGGAUUUUCUCGACAAGUUUUCGAGGGAUUUGAAGCUCCAAAGAGGUAUAAGCUUCUUCCUCUCGUAAAUUAUGGCAUUUUGGUGAAAUUUUUGUGGAAAAUGGUGAAAAAAUGAGCGAGAAAAAGGAAGUUGCAGGUCUGCCCAGAAUCCGGUGGCGGCGACACUAUUUCGGCGUCUGGAGGUUGAAGAUGAUGCGCGUGAGGCCGUGCCCUCCCUGGCACGUGGGGCGCGUAAGCCAUAGAAAAAUUAUUUUAAAAAUAGCACGAUGUUCGUGAGGUUGUGUAGGUCACGUUGGUAUAUUCAAAUAGCAAAAUUGAGCUUUGUAUGAGAAGUUAUUAGCUAGUUUUGUGUAUGUGCUUUAAAAUAACGUUUUUAUAGUUAAUUCGCAUAUAGGUGAGACUUAUCCCGAGGACGAGCGUAUCCACGAGUGACUCAGGGGUUACGACCCAUUGACAUACCAGUGAGUGGGCUUUUGGUUUUCAGUAUAUAUUAUAUACUUGAUAUUUUCUCAGAAAUAUGUGUUUAAAUGAUAGUAUGCCAUAAUGCCAUGCAUAUAAGUUAAUAAUUCAUACAUGAAUUGGUAUGUGAUGAUUUAUAUAUAUAAAUAUGGUGUUGUGGACGCUCAGGUAAGCUCAGGUAAGUUGUGUUUGGUUAUGUGAAUCAUCGAUGAUGCGAUAUGUGGUUGAAUAAUGUUGAGCUCAUAACACUGCACGUAGGGUGAUUAUGAUUUAGCCAUAGAUAUGGCACAUGCCUGUUUAUUAUGUCACCUCCCGCACCAUAUGCUCAUAUUGGGUCCAAUUUAGGUGCAUAGUCCUGUCGUACAUACCUAUUUAUGGUUCCGACUCAUAGGUGACUAGCGAUUUAUCGUCCAACUAUUAUGUGAGAGUAGUAUUGAGCAUGAUUAUAUUACACCCAUUAUUGUCGUAUAGACCUUUUUGUUUGGUUCCGACUCUUGUGCAGUAUGUUGCCGUAUAGGUCAUAGUAGUGACUCUGGAUAGAGUGAUUUUUGAGCUAUAAAUUCAACCGUACAGACUACCACAAGGGUUCCGGCUAACAUGUUAUAUUUCUAUGAAAUUAACCUUAUCUGAAUUGCUUACUCUGUUAUAUCUUGGCAUGGCAUACAUAUGAAUAUGAUUAUGUGAAGCAUGAAUUGAAUUGAUAUGAUUUCAUAUAUAUUUAUGUAUAUGCUUAUAUCUUGAUUCUGGGAAAAAUUAUACAUGUUUUACAGCGAAGGGUUAGAUAUGUUGAUAAAUGAAAUGGUUUUGUAAAACAUUUGUUUUUGCCCACUCACGUUUUCUGUUUUGCGCCCCUCCAGGUUUUAAGUAAGCUUGCUGUUGGUGGCUUGAGGACGUCGGCAGUUCAAACCUAUUUAAAUAAUAGUAGAACAUUCCUAGUACUGUAUAACUAGUACUUGUCCUACUGGACUACACCUAGACUUAUUAUGCUCUGAUUAGGAGUGUUUACUUUUGUAACUAACUCCUAUCACUUCCUGUUUAGUAGUGCACUCUAGUAAUUUGGUUUUUUAAUUAUUCGUAUUGUUGAUGCACAAAAUCCGUGAGGACUUUGGUACAACAGAAAGUGUCAAGUUUGUGACCUUCGCUAGAUUGCUUCAGUCACUAGUGUGGAUAAGUAUAUAAAUGGAUGGGGACAGGGAAGCAAACACAAGAUGUACGUAGUUCACCCAGAUUGGCUACGUCCACGGAGUAGAGGAGUUAUCAUUAUUUGUGAAGGGUUUACACAAGUACAUAGGUUCAAACUCUCCUUUAGUGAGUACAAGUGAAUGAUUUAGUACAAAUGACAUUAGGCAAUAUUGUGAGAGAAUGAUCUCUAUUUAUAGAAGAGAGUUUCUAGUUUCAUUCUGACAUUGACAUGUGUCGUGUUGUGAUUGGCUUCUGAUGUUGACACGUGUCACGCUGUGAUUGGCCUCCUGGUUAGAGGGAAACUCUUCUGGGUCUUUGACGGUAUAACGUUGAUUGGUGCUCAGUAGUUUUGGGAUUGGUCAAGUAUGGUACAAACACUGCUCCCCUAAGUUCCCGAGUGAGGGAAGCUCCUCGGUUGGGGACUUGCAAGAUUCAAGCCAUUGAGUAAUCACGAAACUUCUAAGUACCGAAGUGUGGUAUCAUUUUCACUUGCCCUAUCUAUCUAAUACGUAGAUGUGGCAUCUUCUCUGGAAGUACUUUUCCUCCAUCCAGGGGUGGUAUCUUUAACCGAUGAAGAUGCACAAGGUAAUGUAUCAAUUUCACUUGAAGCUUACUUGUAGUUUCGGGCUUGGUCAAGUGCGAUACAAACCCUAUAGUAGGAGUCCCCCAAGUCGCCGAGCUAGGAGAUUUGCCGAAUGAGGUAACAGACAAGGUAAGCAAUCAGACUUCCAAGCAAGCAACCUGGAUCGGAGGUUUGACUUCGGCUUCUGGUUGAUUGUUCUCCUUCUUCUUGUGUCGUAAAUAGCACUAAGGAUAAGGAGAAGUAAAUGGAGAAGAGAUGAUAUGGGAUACUUUUGCUUUUGAAGAAGUAAUUUUCCACAGGCUUAUUCUUGAACUGGGCUGGAGGGUUUUUUGGUUCCUUCCAAAGUAUAAGGCCGACUCAAGAAUUUGAGGGUCAAAACAAGUCCAUCAAAUCUAGAGUAGGUUCGACCCUGAUGAUAUGGGGUACUUUUGCUGUUGACAAAGUAGUGGAUGUAUCGGUACGUGUUCUGUUACGCUUGUCUCCACAUGCUUCCUUGUAUCCUUCUCACUUGCCCUAUUUGUUCCUCAGGCAGAUGUGGUAUCUUCUCUGGAAGCAUAAGAUGUUCAAGAUCAGUACUCGAGAGCAAUGCCAGGUAAGUAAUCAGGGAAGGGGUUCUAGGCAAUCAGUUCCUGACUAGAAGCUUGAUUCCAAGUGCUGACUGAUUGCUCUCUUUCUCCUUGUCUUGCAGGUAAGAACAAGGCCAAAGGAAAAGACAGGGAAAAAACAUGAUAUGGGAUACUCUUGCUUUGAACCCCGAUUUUUUAGAACGCAAUCCUGUUAGAAGUCUGACUCUUGAGAUUCGGAGAGCAGUGUCUCUUCGAUUUUUGAGAAAGCAAUCUUGUUGGGAGUGUUUUCUCGAAUGUGAGUAAAGGUUGGGCAUUUUUGCCAGUCUGCCUUGCCACGGAGCAUGGAGGUUGACACACAUUGGGACUUUCUAGUUAUCAAGCAGUGGUGUUGUUCCUUUACCCUUGUGGGUAAUAGUAGGGUAGCUGGACCUUCAAAAUUUAUGUGUCUAAACUUUGUCAGAGAUCUUUGGCAAAGUUAUUUGUGGUACCCGAGGAGCUGAUGUUGCGUGUGGAAAGUGGUGCCUCUUCGAAAUCCGGAGAGUGGUGCCUCUUCGAUUUUUGAACCAACGGCCCUGUUGCCCUUUCUUUUAUAAGGGCACCAAUUGUGUGCAAGGAGUACAUUCAGAGAGUUAUUGCUUGUAGGAAUUUUCCCCUUACUUAAGAGAUUUAUUGCACCUCAUUUCUCCUUCAUCAUUUCUGAGAAUGUCUGGCCCAUCCGAUCGUCGUUUUGACUUGAACUUUGGUGAAAAGGCAGCCAUGCCUUCUCAAGACAACAUAUGACGCCCAUCCUUCUUAUCCCCUACUGGUCCUUUUACCGUUAGGGACUCUGUGAUGAAGAAUGAUAUGACCGCUGCGGUGGUGUCCAGGAACCUUCUCACUCCCAAAGAUAACAGAUUACUUUCCAAACGGUCUGAUGAGUUGGCUGUUAAGGAUUCUCUGGCUUUCAAUGUUCAGUGUGCAGGUUCUGUGUCUAAUAUGGCCCAACGCCUAUUUGCUCGAACCUGCCAAGUUGAAUCAUUGGCGGCUGAAGUGAUAAGUCUCAAACAAGAGAUCAGAGGGCUCAAGCAUGAGAAGAAACAGUCGCAUAGGCUCGCACAUGACUAUGCUACAAACAUGAAGAGGAAGCUUGACCAGUUGCAGGAAUCUGAUGGUCAGAUUUUGCUUGAUCAUCAGAGGUUUGUGGGUUUGUUCCAAAGGCAUUUAUUGCCUUCGUCUUCUGGGGCUGUACCGCGUAAUGAAGCUCCGAAUGAUCAACCUUCGGUGCUCCUUCUGGGGUUCUGCCCAGUACUAAGGCUCCGAAUGAUCACCCUUCGAUGCCUACUCUUUCUGGGGCUCUGCCGACUGCUGAGACUUUUCAUGAGCAACCUUUGUGAAGGUUCCCUCUUGUUUGUUUAUUUUGAUUCAUGUAUAUGUACAUAUUUGUAACUUAUCGGAGAUAUUAAUAAACAAGCUUCGCUUCAUUUCAACAUAUUGUGUUAAAUACACCAAGGCCUUCUUCACUAAGUUCUUUGAAUUUUUUCUUUUGUUGAAGUUUGUAUGUUGAAGCUUUGAGAGUGAAGCAUGUAUGUUGAGGUUUUGUGAGUUAAACAUGUAGGUUGAGGUAGUGCUCCCUUAAUUUCCCAAGUGAGGAAAACUUCUCGUUUAGACUUCCGAGUAUCAUGGUGCAGUAACAUAUGGUAGGAGUCCCCCCAAAUCUUUGGUCGAGGGAGUUGACGAAUGAGGCACUUCCUUUCUAAGUGAUAGCCCAAAACUCCUUCUUCAUAUAUAUUUGUUAUGAAAGUUGUUAGGCCCAAAGAAGAUGAGGCUUAGGCAAUUUUUUUUCUUUCUAAUUUUCGAAUUUUCGAAUUUUUGAAUUUUCAAAUUUUUGAAUUUUCGAAUUUCCGAAUUUUUGAAUUUUCGAAUUUCCGAGAAAAUAUAUAUAUAUUUUAAAGCUUUGUAGGUGAAGCUUUGAGGUUGAAGCUUUGUUGGGCACCAUGAAUUGAUUUUGCUUCACACUAUCUUGAUCAAGAUAGUGUGAAGCUUUUGUAGGUGAAGCUUUUGUGUUGAAGCUUUGUAGGUGAAGCUUUUGUGGUGAAGCUUUUGUGGGUCAAGCUUUUAUGGGUCAAGCUUUUGUAGGUGAAGCUUUUGUGGGUCAAGCUUUUGUGGGUCAAGUUUUUGUGGGUCAAGCUUUUGUGGGUCAAGCUUUUGUGGGUCAAGCUUUUGUGGGUCAAGCUUUUGUAGGUGAAGCUUUUGUGGGUCAAGCUUUUGUGGGUCAAGCUUUUGUAGGUGAAACUUUUGUGGGGUGAAGCUUUUGUGUUGAAGCUUUUGUGGGUGAAGCUUUUGUGUUGAAGCUUUUGUGUUGAAGCUUUUGUAGGUGAAGCUUUGGAGUUGAAGCUUUGUAGGUGAAGCUUUGGAGUUGAAGCUUUGUAGGUGAAGCUUUGAGGUUGAAGCUUUGUUGGGCACCAUGAAUUGAUUUUGCUUCACACUAUCUUGAUCAAGAUAGUGUGAAGCUUUUGUAGGUGAAGCUUUUGUGUUGAAUUUCCCUUUUUUUUAUUUUUUUUAUUUUUUGGGAAACUAGAAAUUUGAAAAUGUGGGAGAGACAACAUAUACAAAUUUUGCUUCCACACUGUUGAGCAAGAGAUUGUGAUGCAAGCCACACCUUGUAGUAGUCAAAGGUUUGGAUGAACCAUAUAAAUUGAAUUUGCUUCGGACAAUCUUGAAUUUGCUUCGAAGGUUUGAGAAUUGUAGUUGCCCUCCAUUGAUGAAGCUUUUGUUGGCACCAUAAAUUGGUUUUGCUUCACACUGUCUUGAUCAAAAGUGUGUGAAGCUUUUGAGAAUUGUGGUUGAACUCCUUUGAUGAAGCUUUUGUUGAUACCAUAAAUUGGUUUUGCUUCACACUGUCUUGAUCAAGAGUGUGUGAAGCUUUUGAGAAUUGUGGUUACCCUCCAUUGAUGAAGCUCUUGUUGGCACCAUAAAUUGGUUUUGCUUCACACUGUCUUGAUCAAGAGUGUGUGAAGCUUUUGAGAAUUGUGGUUACCCUCCAUUGAUGAAGCUCUUGUUGGCACCAUAAAUUGGUUUUGCUUCACACUGUUUUGAUCAAGAGUGUGUGAAGCUUUUGAGAAUUGUGGUUGCCCUCCUUUGAUGAAGCUCUUGUUGGCACCAUAAAUUGGUUUUGCUUCACACUGUCUUGAUCAAUAGUGUGUGAAGCUUUUACGAAUUGUGGUUGCCCUCCAUUGAUGAAGCUCUUGUUGGCACCAUGAAUUGAUUUUGCUUCACACUGUCUUGAUCAAGAGUGCGUGAAGCUUUUGAGAAUUGUGGUUGCCCUCCAUUGAUGAAGCUUUUGUUGGCACCAUAAAUUGAUUUUGCUUCACACUGUCUUGAUUAAGAGUGUGUGAAGCUUUUGAGAAUUGUGGUUACCCUCCUUUGAUGAAGCUCUUGUUGGCACCAUAAAUUGGUUUUGCUUCACACUGUCUUGAUCAAAAGUGUGUAAAGCUUUUGAGAAUUGUGGUUGUCCUCCAUUGAUGAAGCUCUUGUUGGCACCAUAAAUUGAUUUUGCUUCACACUCUCUUGAUCAAGAGUGUGUGAAGCUUUCUACGAGUUGUAGUGUUUGCAUUGUUACAGUGGGGAAAUGUUUGAAGCAAAUGCAAGAGGGCUGAAUAGCUUAAUCUUCGUAUGCUAUGCACUGAAGUUGUUGUUGGCUUGCAAUAAGGCUUUGUUGGUGACUAUAACUCUUGUUGGGCAUAAGUGCUCCCCUAGUUGAGUUGUCAAGCUUGAGGAUUUUUUAUUAUUUGUGAAUGCUAUGAGUUCACAUGUACAAGUUGUACCACUCGUCUUCUGGUAGGUGGAAUGAAUGGUGAGUUGCUUUCAUCACUUGGUUGGUGGUACGAAGGUGAGUUCUUUUUUCCCCUGGUUGGUGGCAUGAAUGGCAAGUUGCCAAAUGAUAUUAGAGUACGGGUUGUACAUUUCAUCACCUAGUUGGUAGCAUGAAGAUGAGUUCCUUCUUCACCUGGUUGGUGGCAUGAAGAUGAGUUCUUUCUUCACCUGGUUGGUGGCAUGAGUGGGAAGGUGCCAAAUGAUAUUAGAGUACGAGUUGUACAUUUCAUCACCUGGUUGGUGGCAUGAAGGAGAGUACGGGUUGUACAUUUCAUCACCUGGUUGGUGGCAUGAAGAUGAGUUCCUUCUUCACCUGGUUGGUGGCAUGAGUGGCAAGGUGUCUAGGCACAUUGUAGCAAGUGUCGAAUGAAACAAAAUAUGUUGAACCCUUUCAAAGCACAGUUGGCUUAUUUAUGAAUGUGUUGGAAUGUAGGAUUGGACGAAUAUACUGUGAAGUUGUUCGUUUAUUUGUAUAGUCUUGUUGACAUAUACUUAGACUUUGUUUCAUGUUGGAAGCAUUCAUGUUGAACUUUGAACCCAAGGGUUUCAUUGCUAGGAAUGUAAGAGGAUUAGGAUCAAGUUGUCUAAAUCACCUCUUUAUUGAAUUCAUGCCAAAUAGUCUUCGUUACAUAGGAUGCCGAACGGCUGAAGCUUAACAUUUGUACAAUGUGAGUUUACUUGUAAUAGUACUUCAAGUGAUCAGCGUUCCAUGGAUGGCCAAAGAUCUUGCCAUCGGAGCUUCUAAGCUUGUAGGAGCCAGGGCGACUGAUGCCAACAACUUCAAACGGUCCAUCCCAGUUUGGACUAAGUGUUCCUUCACUCGGGACUCUGUCGCAGAGUAAUCUUUUCUUCAAUACCCAGUCCCCCACUUUGAAAGAACGAGGUUUGACCCUAGAGUCAUAGUAGUUGGAAAUGCACUGCUUGUAGGCGACAUUCCUCAAGUGAGCCUGGUUUCUGUGUUCCUCUACUAGAUCUAAGUUGAGGGUGUUUGUCAUUUUCACUUUGCACGUAGUUCUGGACUCGGAACGUUGCUUGCUCAAGCUCAACUGGGACAACUGCCUCUUUACCAAAGGCAAGUGAGAAUGAGGUUUCUCCUGUUUAUGUCCGAUACGAAGUGCGAUAUGACCAAAGAACUUGGGGUACAAAUUCUGGCCAACAACCUUUAGCCUUGUCCAAGCUGGUUUUCAAAGUUCGCUUGAUUAUUUUGUUGAUAGCUUCAACUUGUCCAUUAGACUGGGGAUGAGCUGGGGAGGCAAAACAUAAGUUGAUGUUGAACUUAGAGCUACACAUCCUGAACUUAUUGUUGUCGAAUUGUCGCCCGUUGUCAGUGACUAUCGCAUUAGGAAUGUCGAAUCUACAAAGGAUGUUCUUCCAUACGAAGUCUUCUAUUUUUGCCUCAGUAAUGGUUGCCAAGGGUUCUACUUCGGCCCACUUUGUGAAGUAGUCAAUUGCAACGAUUGCAUAACGGACCUUGCCCUUCCCUGCAGGCAUUGGGCCGAUCAAAUCAAGUCCCCAUUGGGCGAAGGGCUAAGGGCUGAUCAUGGGAGUGAGCGGCUCGGGAGGGGAGUGAAGAAUAGUUGCGUAGUGUUGACACUUAUCACAUGAACGGGAUAUUCUGAUGGCAUCUUGGUGGAGUGUUGGCCAGUAAUAUCCUUGGCGAAAAGCUUUGUGUGCUAGGGAUCGAGAUCCAGCAUGAUCUCCGCAGACUCCUUCAGGUAUUUCCCGAAUGACAGUUUCUGCCUUUACGAGCGUAAGGCAUCUUAGGUAUGGUAGGUUAAAACCCCAUUUGUAAAAUUGGUCAUUAAUGAUCAAGUAACGGGUAGCCUUGUAUCGAAUCUGCUUAGCUUGAACUUUGUCAUUUGGAAGGGUACCAUAAGCAAGGAAUCUAUAAAUCGAGGUAAUCCAACUAUCCCCCUGUUGUAAGUUGCACACUUCCGCAGCCAUGGUGUUGGUGCUGCCAACAAUUCGACUUGAAUUUUUCUCCCAAUCUUGUCUUCCACCGCUGAGGCGACGCGAGCCAAAGCAUCUGCAUAACUGUUUGCCGCUCGAGGAAUUUAGGUGAUCUGGUAGUGGAAGUGUUGGAGCAACAAUUGUGUUUGUGCCAGAUAUGCUACCAUAGAGUUAUCCUUAGCAUCAAAGUUGUUGGUGACCUGGUUAACCACCAAUUGGGAGUCACUGAAGAUAUCAAUUCGUUUAACCCUAUGGUGUUUAGCCAAACGUAAGCCUGUUAAGAAGGCUUCAUAUUCGGCCUCAUUAUUCGACACCUUGAAUUUGAAACGAAUAGCAUACUCCAUCGCCACUUUGUUAGGGGUCGUAAGGACUAGUCCUGCUCCACAACCCUGUUGGUUGGACGAGCCAUCAACAUAUAGACUCCAUGCUGGGGCUGUUGGUUCUAUUUUCUUAGCUUCCGAGGGUAAUGAAACCACUUCUUUAGGCAUAGAAACAAUGUCAACAGGAUAUGUGAAGUCGGCGAUGAAGUCUGCCACUGCUUGGCCCUUCUUAGCUGGCUUUGGUUGGUAGGAGAUGUCAAACUCACCCAAUGCUAUCACCCAUUUGAUCAUUCGCCCGGAAGUGUCAAGACUUUGGAGUAUCUGUCGAAGAGGAUGAUUGGUAAGCACGAUGAUGGAGUGUGCUUGAAAGUAAGGGCGAAGUUUUCGAGCAGACAUGACCAAUGCUAGAGCCAAUUUCUCAAUGUUGGAGUAUCGUGUCUCCGCAUCUUGUAAGGCCUUGCUAGCAUAAUAGAUAGGCCGUUUGACAUUACCAUCCUUUCGAAUGAGAACGGAACUUACUGCUGAAGCUGAUACCGACAGAUAGAUAAUGAGAGUGUCACCAACCUCAGGUUUGGAGAGCAAAGGGGCUUUACUCAUGUAGUCUUUGAGGUUCUUAAAUGCCUCAACACAUUCAUCAGUCCAUGUAAUGUACUUCUUACUUCCCUUAAGUGCUUUGAAGAAAAGAGCACAUCUGUCGGUGGCCUUAGAGAUGAACCUAGUUAAGGCUGCCACCUUGCCAGUAAAGCUCUGGAUGUCUUUUAAAGUUACCGAUUCCUUCAUGUCAAGGAUUGCUUUGAUCUUUUCAGGAUUAGCCUCAAUGCCUCGUUGGCCUAUCAGAAAGCCUAAGAAUUUGCCAGAGCCUACGCCGAAGGCACAUUUGUUGGGGUUCAACCUCAUUCGAUACCUCUUCAGAAUGGUGAAAGUUUCAGAUAGGUUGGUGAUGUGUUGGUCAGCAUGUUUGCUCUUGACUAGCAUAUCAUCAACAUAAACUUCCAUGCUCUUCCCAAUUUGUUCAGCAAACAUUGAAUUGACUAGUCUCUGAUAAGUCGCUCCUGCAUUCUUUAGGCUGAAAGGCAUGACUUUAUUGCAAUAUAGUCCUCUGUCAGUAGUGAAGGCUGUGUGUUCUUGGUCCGGAGGGUUCAUGAGGAUUUGGUUGUAUCCUGAGUAAGCAUCCAUGAAGCUCAGAAGUUCACACCCUGCCGUAGAGUCUAUAAGUCUGUCUAUGAGAGGAAGAGGAAAACUAUCCUUCGGGCAUCCUUUGUUUAGGUCGGUGUAAUCGACACACAUUCUCCACAAGACCUUUUGGAGUAGGAGACUUUCCUUGGUCAGAUUCUUCUUAACAAGGACAACAUUUACUACCCGCGUUGGAUAAUUGACUUCGCGGAUGAAGCCUAUGCCUUUGAGUUUUUCAACUUCUGCCUCAGCGUCAUAAGAUCUUCGCUUCUGUCUCACUGGCUUGGUCUUGGGGUCAAUACUUAAGCGAUGACAGAUGAUAUUGGGAGAGAUGCCUGGCAUGUCCUCGUAUGACCAAGCGAAGACCUUAGUGUUCUCUUGCAAAAAAAAGAUCAAUGCCAACCGAAUAGGUGGUGACAAGGUGGUGCCAAUCUUCACCAUGCGAUCUGGAUAAUCUUUUGAGAUAGAGACCUUCUCCAACUCUUCAGCGGGUUGUGCUUGCUGGGUGAAAGAGUCAUCUCGAGGAUCGUCGGGUUGAUUGUUGCCACCGUGAAAAUCCAAGUUGGCUUCGUCUGGGCUGGUCUUUAUGACUUGGUCAUGUAUAGAAAGGGUUUCCUUGGGCACAGGCAGGUGUUGUUGCUUGACCAAAGUGUUGUAACAUGAUCGUGCACUAAGUUGAUCUCCUCUGAUGUAACCAUUGCCAUAAGGGGGUUGGAAAUUUCAUCAACAACAUAUGUGUGGAUACCAUGGCCUUGAGAUCAUUGAUGCCUGUGCGUCCAAAGAUGACAUUGUAUGCCGUUGGGCAAUCAACCACCAAGAAGUUAGUGGUAAUGGUAGCUGUGUAAGGGCAUGUACCAAUGGUGAAAGGUAAGUGUAUGCUCCCCAAAGGUUGCACGAUAUCACCGGAGAAGCUUAUUAGAGGGGAAAUCGAGCGAUCGAGCAAGUGUUCAGCUACAUUAAGUGCCCUGAAAGCUUUAGCAAACAUGAUAUUGACCGAAGCCCCCGUGUCUACCAGGAUUCGCCGUACUUCAAAGUUGGCUAUGUGAGCUUCCACGAUCAGUGGGUCAUUGUGAGGGUAGAUGAUACCUCUUUCUUCCUCAGGGUAGAAACAUAUUGGAUCCCAGUUAGGCUUUUGACACUUGCCUCCCCUAAUGUCUUCCACGUGAAACACUUGGUGACCAGGCCUUAAAACUCGUUCGCUGUUUUUCAUGGCUCUAUUGGACGAUUCAGAUAUGGGUGUGCCGCCGCUUAUGGAAUAUAUCACAUUCACUUGGCGUUGGUUACGGUUAUCCCUUGAAGGGUGAAUGAGGAAUUGAUCAAUUUUUCCUUCACGAGCCAAAGCUUCAAUAUGAUCACGAAGGGUGAUACACUUCUCGCCGUCAUGGCCGUUAUGCUCAUGGUAUCAGCAAAACGCGCCCAUGUUCUUCGUGGGCUUGUAACCCGACUGCCUCGGCAUUGGCUUCGGUAUCAGGUGUGCUAUGCUGGGGUAAAUGGCCACACAUGUGGCGUUCAAAGGUGUGUAUGUCUCAUAUCUCAGGGUAAGGCCUGUCCUGACAAGUGCUUGGCCCACUGCGUUGACUGCUUGGGGACGGGCAUUAUCGUGGCGAUACCCUUGGUUAUCGCGGUAGUGUCCCUUACUUUUUUUACUAAAAUGAGACUGGUGAGGAUGGAAGUCUUUCCUUUUGCCCUAAGAUUGAUAUGUCUAUUGACUUGGCAAAGUAUUAAGUAAGGCAGGAGGAGGCACCGCUACCAUUUGGAAGGUUGAGGUAUUCUCAUUUGGUUGGAUCUGGCUUCCACUCCCUACUUGCUGAUAAGGGGUGGUUGUGGGGGGUUUCCCUUGAUAUGUCAUUGCCUCAGCAGAGGCAUGGUUGUAAGCCUGUGCCAUCACCUCAGAGUAAGUCUUCCAAGUGUUGGCAUUGAUCAUGUACUUGAAGAAACAAUCACGUAGGCCUGCCGUGAAGGCUUUGAGGGUAGUCUUGUCGUCUGCCUCAGCACAACAGGAAUACUCAUAGCUGAAGCGGCUAGUAUACAUACGUAAUGACUUAUAUGGCUUCUGGCGAAUAAUGUACAAGUCAUCCGCAGAGUGCAAGCGAUCGGUCUGGAAAAUGUGUUGAGAAACAAACAGUUUCCUCAAUUCUUGAAAUGAGUCUACCGUCUCAGGUGGAAGACGGCAAUACCAGUUUAGAGCUUCACCAGAGAGGGUGGAAGGGAAGAGAAGACAUCGCUCUUCGUCGGUGUGCAUCUGGUAUGCCAUGGUGGACUCAAAGAGGUUAAGGUGUUCAAUCGGAUCCUCCUUUCUAGUAUAGAGUUGCAAGCCAAGCUUCUGCUUUGUUUUUGCUUGGAUGAGGGUGUCGAGGAUCCUCCUUGUAAUAGGGCCAGGCCUAGGUUGGUUCCAAUCAGGUAUCUCAGCUUGUCGUUCGGCCUUCAACUUGUUUACUUCCUUAAGGAGUUGUAGGACAAGAGGGUCCUGAGUGGAGUUAUGUACCACUAGAGCUUUCUUUCGUAAAUCUUCAUCUCUUCUUGGAAGUAGGAAGGUUUGAUCAAGAGUAUGUGGUUUUUCCCUGGACUCGCCGUACUGACUUCCAAGGUAUGUUUGUCGGAACAUCUCUGAGUCCCCUACACCUUCGUGUUUCUCUAGGACUUGUUGCCCUUUCCCCAAAUUGAUAGCCGGCCUGGGACAUGGGAGGGGACCGAGUCUUUUAAAGACCCUUAGGUCAUUGAUUUUCGAGCUUACAUGGAUGGGAUUGUCUCGACGUUACUUUAGGAAAUCUCGACAGUCGCGAAAGACGGCUUUCGAUCCUUCCACUCCUUCUGUAAGGAGGUGUUUUCCUCCACUUCUCCUACUUCGGGUCGAAGCAGCUGGGUUGAGAGAAGUCUCAUGUUGAUCAAUGUUUUGAUGAUUAACUCGCUCCUCAUCAGGGAUACCCAUGUCGAAUGAAGGCGACCCUCCGUGUUGGGGGGCACCUAGAUGAUGGUUGAUGUCCACAGGGGUAAUGAGCUCGCGUGUUUAAGUACGCCUAGUUUCAUGGAGCGUCUCAAAGAGCUUUUCAUACUGCUCUUGGAGGACCUCAUUCUUCAUUGCUAUCUUAUUGUUCUGAGUUUCUAGCUCAUCGACUUUAGCUUGAAGAGCAACCUUCUUUCCUUCUUUCUUUCAUUGCCUCGCACCAAGUGCAAGAGGGGUGUCAUUCUGCGUGCUAUGGCUUCCUUCACUUCCCAUGUUGGAGAGGGAUGCCUGGUCAAAAGAGAGUGUACGAAUGGUGGAAACCAGCUUAACAAAGCUUAAGAGAGUGGGAAUAAGUGUCAUUUCCCACAAACGGCACCAAAUGUUGAUGUACAAAAUCAGUGAGGACUUUGGUACAACAGAAAGUGUCAAGUUUGUGACCUUCGCUAGAUUGCUUCAGUCACUAGUGUGGAUAAGUAUAUAAAUGGAUGGGGACAGGGAAGCAAACACAAGAUGUACGUGGUUCACCCAGAUUGGCUACGUCCACGGAGUAAAGGAGUUCUCAUUAAUUGUGAAGGGUUUACACAAGUACAUAGGUUCAAGCUCUCCUUUAGUGAGUACAAGUGAAUGAUUUAGUACAAAUGACAUUAGGCAAUAUUGUGAGAGAAUGAUCUCUAUUUAUAGAAGAGAGUUUCUAGUUUCAUUCUGACAUUGACACGUGUCGUGUUGUGAUUGGCUUCUGAUGUUGACACGUGUCGCGCUAUGAUUGGCUUUUGAUGUCGACACGUGUCGCGCUGUGAUUGGCCUCCUGCUUGGAGGGAAACUCUUCUGGGUCUUUGACGGUAUAACGUUGACUGGUGCUCAGUAGUUUCAGGAUUGGUCAAGUAUGGUACAAACACGUAUAUUUCCUAUCAUUAUUGCUACCGCAUUGUGCAUAUGGCUACGUCACUCUCAUGUGACGGCCAACAUGCCUUGAUCUCGGUUGGGGUGUGUCAUGCCUCAUCUUCUAGAUCGACCACAUGAGAGGUCAAUGCCCUAAAAGAGGAAGUGACAACCCUAAAAGGUCUGCUUGGUGCCCAGAGCGAGCAGAUGAGUAUGAUUAUACGGGCCUUAAAUAUGUCUGGCCUCCAAAUCUCGAUGCCAACACCUGAUCUUGCUCCAUCUUCAACUUCCCAGCCACUUCGCCCAGCUGAUACCCAAUAGCUUGAUGUAUCAAACCUAGAAGACUACUUGUUGUAGUUUUUUCCUUUUUGUUCGGACAUCUUGUAUGUACAUUUUCAUAUAUUUUAUAAUUAAAUACUUUUUUUGGGUUUAUUAAUUAUUGUUUAGAAUUUAAUUACAAUAUUUAUUAAAAAUUAAAUAAAAAAUAUUUUUGCCAAAAAAAUAUAAAAUAAAAUAAGGGUUUGAGGGAUGAAGAAGUAACCUGCGUCGUGCAAAACUCCUUUGAGCGACACAUGUAUCUACAUCUCACAAAACUCCUUUGCGCGACCCAUGUCCCUCCGUCGCGCAAAGUGUCUUUGCAUGAUGGAUAACCUACGUCGUGCAAAGUAGUUCUGUGCGACAGAGGAACAUGAGUCGUGCAAAGGAGUUUUGCAUGAUGUAGGGACAUGUGUUGCGCAAACCCUGCUUUCAUUGCCUUGGCGCGACGGUUAACGCUCGAUGAAGGUUCGUUGGGCUAAUUUUCAGUCAACGUUUUUUGACUUUGCGCGACAAAGGUACCUGCGUCAUGCAAAUUGUUUUUUUUUUUUUUUUGUACUAGUGAACUCAGGUGAGACGAUUGGCUACUAGAGUUACCCAUACACAAAUAGCUUUGACGGUUACAACAUAAUGAAACUUCGAAGGAUAAUCAAAUAGAAAUGUUUAGGAAACUUGGCUAGGGUUAUGAUGUUGCUCUCUAAGAGGAGAUUUCGGCACUGCUCACUCUGUUGUCUAAUGUGUUGUUAAAUCCCUCACCCAUGAUCUCCUUGUAUAGUGAUCAUCCAAGGGCAUUUUGGAAACUACAGAAUAACUUGGAGAUGAAACUUGUUCCAUAUUCUUACCAAUCUCCUAGAAUAUCCUCUCUAAAAAGGAUAUUAUUAUUGAUUUAUCAAUGAGGAUAAAUCAAAAAAUUAUUGUGGGAUUAAUCAUUCAAUUUUGGGUGGAUCACCGUAAUUAAAUACUUAAUUAUAAAUUAAAUAUUUCUAAUCCUUCUAGUGUCACGAUUGUUGUAGAGCCAAGCCGCAAGGUGGUCAUUGAGAAAUAUGUUCUGCCGAGAAUAUAUAGAUUCUGAGAUCAUUCCUGCAAACCUUUGUCCACAGGUCAACCCUAAUUUAGGAAAACAAUUGCUUGUGAUACAAGAGAAUAAUAAAUAUUACUACUUUUCUGUCAUUGUAUACUUGAGUUCAAUAUUAAUUUCCGUUAAGAGACAAGUAGAUUUUUUAUGUCAAUUUUGUAAUGCCUAUGGAUCCAAAAGCGAUCAUUAUGAGAGAUGUGACUAAAUGGAUGAAGGCUCUUGUAAAUUAUUCCUGUAAACCUGUCAAGAGACAAAUUUCUCUUUCUUGGGAUCAUCUUGAUGGAGAUUGGUGUAAGCUAAACGCGGAGGGAUCUAGAAGGACAAAUUCUAGUCGAAUUGGAGCUGGUGGCAUACUUAGAGAUCAUAAUGGCAACUGGUUAGGAGGUUUUGUUGUCAAUUUGGCGCAAGGGCAGGUUUGUGAUGCUGAAUUAUGGAGUUUAUACUUUGGUUUACAGCUUGUUGUUGAUAAGGGUGCUACUGAUUUUCAUAUUGAGAUGGAUUCCAAGGCUAUUGUUAUGUUGUUGAAGCAAACCCAAGUCGAUAAUUUCCAUCCUCUUGACACAAUUAUGCAUAGCUGCAGAUUAAUGAUGAGACAACUGAGGAGGUGUCAGUUGGAACACAUUUACAGAUAGAAGAAUAUUGUGGUGGAUCAGUUGGCUAAUUGUAGUUUUAAUAUGGAUUAGAACAGAAAAAAAAAAAUUAGUAGCGCAAAAAAAAAUUAUUAAUUUCCCUUCGUUAUUAUUCCCAAGAGAAUUUGGCAUAAAUUAUCAAGUAAAGAAAGGGUACAUACAAAGAUUUAUUUAUAGAACAAACUCACGUAUGUAAUUAAGGGAAAAACUCAGACCGAAAAAAGGAGCAAAAAGAAUUAUAAGCUUGUAGGUAGCACGCAUGGAAGAAUAUGACAGCUCAAUUCCGUUUGUCUAGUCAAUCUUAGUCCAGUCCGAUCCGAACAGUACUAGUUAUUACAUCUUGUCCGGAUCAAUAUUUCGGAAGUCCAAUGUUGAAUGAGAUCUGCGGAACUGAGACAGUGCACUGUCUUCUGUAUGGUUGAUGAUAUCUGUUAUAGAGGCCUGCAAGAGCGCGAAGUUGUUGAUGUUCUUAAGAAUGUCAGGAUUGAUGUUCUUCAAAGCAUUAGGAUGACCUUCGGUGGUUGGGAAUCGUUUUUGAUGAGAACGGAUUAUUGGCGAAAGAGAUGCAUGCAAGUUGUCAUAUAUGCUGUUGCUUCUUCUGCUUGGUUUGAAAGUAGUGGAGGAAGCGCUGCUGCAUGCACUGUUGCCUGUCUCUUGGUCUUGGCCUUGGCUAUGCAAGCUUCCCAUUUCGCUAUGGAUGCUUCCCAUAUCCUGGCUGUGCCAACUUCCCAUUACUUGCCAGUACAUGUUUGGUUCUGCCUUCUUUUCCACCUGCGAAAACUAAACAAGUACAAAAUCCAUAUAUGUACAUCAAUCGUCUUGAGCUAUAUAUAUCAAUCACAUGCAUAUGCAGUACAAUUUUACAACUCCACUUUACAGGGUGAUAGAAAUUCAACGAUAUCUAAGGAUGAUACUAGUUUCAUUUAUUAUGAAAGACAAUGGUAUUCACAUACCGUUUUUCUCCUCAUGCAUACCCUGUUUAAUUCUAACAUUUGGAUCGACAAAAGUAAAGGAAAAUCAAAGGACAGAACUAAAUAGGGUGUGUGUAAGAAAUCAUUUCACUUCUAAAAACUACUUAAUUAGGGAGACACCGCAAAAAAAACUUGUGAAACACAUAACAGCUUAACUGAACUACCCGAAUAAGUGGAACUAAGAAAAGGAUUAAUAAUGGAUAAUUCAAAUGAAAUUUAUGAUUGAAGAUCAGAGAUCUAUGAAGGUGCAAAACUUACCUCGUUAGAAGAUUCGACUUCUCCUCUAACCUCUUGAACCUUUCUUUGAACCAGUCCGCGAUUUGUUUGAGGCAAUUGCUUUGGUUUGGAAGUCCUCCUUACAUAUAAUUAAGAUGGAAAAGCACCCUAUUAGCCAUUGUGGUUUUGGUAGCAAUUAAAUAAAAGCCCUUGCUACAUUUCAUAAUUUCUUGAAGAUUUUAUAAGAUUCAGGACAGUCAUUGUUGUGAGGGUUCCAUUUCUGCAAUUUCUCCAUUACAGAAAACCAUUUUACUAUGAACAUAGUGCACCAUAUCUAAUAUGAAUGAGACAUCGGAAUAUGCCUUCUUAACCACCCGAAAAACAGAAACACAUCUAACGAAUGAUGGAAAAAAUGCAAUUGAUACACUAAUGAAUUUGUAAAGUUGUACGUGAGAAGGAUGUAUUUAAAAUUUACUAAUGUUAUAUUUGCGUUAUGCAAAAUUAAGAUCCGAUCAAAUGUUGAAAACUUUAUAAGAACAAGUUUUAAAUUAUAAUUUGGGCUAUCUUUCCUUCUUUCAGUCUAUUAUUAUGCCUAAAUUAAUCAAAAUAAUCAAUGAAAGUAAAUUGCAAUGUAUUUAGUUGAAAUUUGAAAUAGCAUACUUCUUCCGGUCCUUGGUGUGAGUUCGUGCGUCCUCCUCUUUAUACAUUACUGGUAGAGCUGAAAGGUCACAUGCCGACGGACUUGAACUAAAAAACUGAAACCAGAAAAAAUUUACAAUUUGCAAAUACAUGUUGAGCAUACUAAAAUAUAUAGAUCACUAAGACAUCUUUUACUUUCUCAAGCAUUGUUGUUUCUACACUCACUUUUCUCUUAGAGCGAUCAAAUUUCAUGCAGAUUGCAGUUGGUGAGCUAAAUAAAAGGGAAGCUCGGGACUAAAAAGCAAUAACGGAAAAUAUUGAUUACACGAAGAAAGAGUUUCAUGAUUGUACUCACUUGACUUUGGAGUGCAGAAGCAGCACUGCCACGAGAUGCCGGAUCCAGAGCAAGAAGUGUUGUUAAGAGAUCAAAUGAUGAUGUUGAGAAGUCCCUGAAGAACUCUUCAAAACUAGGUUUGUAAUGUUGUGGUGGUCGGAAGCUUGUUGGUAACUUCAUUUUCUUCCAGUAAUCCUCUCCGGGUGAACCACAAAGCUUGAAGAUCCUAUGAAGUUGCUCAACCUGAACACACAACUUAAUGAAUCUGCCUCUGUAAUUUCUCAAAAAUGAUGGUGGGAUCAAUCGAAGAUUCCUUGUGUGAAUAUAAUUGCGGUUACUGGUGUUGAAAAUGAAGUUAAGACAAAAUCAUUUUACCUCGGUUCUCCCAGGCAUAACUGGCCUCCCAACAAACAUUUCUGCCAAUAGGCAUCCUGCACUCCAAAGAUCAAUACCAACUCCAUAAUCCGUAGAACCUAACAAGAGCUCUGGCGCUCUGUACCAGAGUGUCACUACUCGGCUUGUAAGAGGACGUUUCUUUGGAGGGAAAAAAUUUGCAAGCCCAAAAUCUGCAAUUUUCAGCAUCCCAUUUCUGUCUAUUAGCAAGUUGGAAGCUUUAAUGUCUCGAUGUAAAAUCCCGUUUUCAUGGCAGUGCUGGAGACCAGCAAGAAGCUGCUGCAUAUAGCACUUGACCUGUAUGAAAGAGAAAAUUGAAACAAAAACACCUAAAUCUGUCUGUCUGACCAUUGAGUACUAUGAAUUCCACACCAUUUCUGUUACAGACUCGGUUCAUUUGUACUUACUGCACACGUAUAAGCCCAAAAUCUACAUAACAUAUAUACAUAAAUAAAUUUUUAGGUGUAGGGAUAGAUGACGACAACAAAUGCCAACCUGGGGUUCAGUGAGCCUCUGUCCAGGACGUGAGAUUACUCUGGUCAAGUCGGACUGCAUGAAAUCAAAUACGAGAUAUAGACUAUACUGCAUUCUUGAUGUUGCUAUCCCUUCAAGCUUGAUGAUAUUGGGAUGAUCUAGCUUCUGUAGCAUCGUUAUCUCCCUUGCCAUGAACUUGACACUCUCUGGCUCUGAUGUGUCAAAGCGGACUUUUUUCAAAGCAACAAUCUUUUUGGUGUCCCUGUCACGAGCUUUGUACACAUUGCUGUAGGUUCCCUGCCCUACCUACAAUACCAAAGCCAAAUAUGGAAACCCAAAUUCAGGUUUCUUGUCCACCAAGAAAUCCCAACAUCCUAAUUCAAAAAAAUUAGUAAGUGGAGUCUGUCUGAAGGAGUAAUUAGUUACCUUAGCAAGUUUAUCGUAGGAGUCGGCAGUCUUUGGAACAAAACCAACCAAGAUAUCUGGAGGCACGUUCUCAACCAGCCACUUCGGCCAGCCAUCCACAAUAUCAUCAUCAUCUCCUCCAAUCUUCUUCAACAUCAUCCUUCGCGAAACGUUCCCUCCAUUCUUAGCUCUCUCUGUCUCUCUAACAACCAAACCUCCUCCUCCACCAUCAGCAAUCUUAUCCUCACCAUUGAAUGCCGCCGCCUUAACGUCCUUCCUUGAGUGUUUUAGGGUAACGGGUUUUCCUUCAAUGCUCCCCUUGACAUAGCCAUUGUCCCGUUUCAACUUGUCAAGGACUUGAAGGUCAUGACUUGGGGAGUUGGUUUUCGCCUGAACACAACCCAUUAAGUCAGCGACUGACUUUGGAGGGGACGGUAGCACCUAGGCGGCGACAAUGGUGGUGGUGGUGGUGAGGAAUGACUGCAUAGUAAAUCCGGUGAAUCAAUGAAUGAAGAUGGUUGGUAAUUGGUAAUGGUAAAUAAAUUUUUUAAGAAAAUGAAAUGAGGAAGCCGAAACAAGAGUGAGUGAGUGAUACUGCCGUUUCUUGGCCGGCAUUGCCUUGGGAUUAUACCAACCAUUACAUUGUCUUUGUAACUCCCUCCGCUUUCUCCGCCUUCAUAGUUGGGGUGUGCAUUGGGAAACCAACAUUCAAUAUAUUUAAUUAUUUUGAUUUUGAUUUAUCUUUUGCUUUCUAAAAGGACUUGGAUGGUCACUCAGUACUACGAUCUGACGGUAUUCUUCUUCACUUGUAAGCGAGAUAUUUUAGGUUCAAAUCUCGUGGAUGACGAAUUCAAUACCAAAUUAGAUUGCCUAUGUGUGGUUUAGACGAACUCAUCCGCUUGUUAGUGGAAAAUAUAUUGUUGUGCUGGCAAAAAAAAAAAAGAACUUGGACUGUGUUCUCAAGAAAAUCAGAAGGGCCAGCGCACAACAGUUGAUAGUUGUCAGCUGCCAGCACUCCACAUUUCAAAAUCUGGGCAUUUUCUUCAUUAUUACAGGCGGCAAGGAUAGUUACCCACCCAUUCAUUCCUUCUACCCUUUUCGAUUUACCCAAAAAAAGGAAAACAAAUUUUACAAAAGGGGAAAAAUCUCUUUAAGACUUAUUUGAAAAUGCUUUUCUAAGAAAUACUUAUGUUCAUAAAUCAUUUUAUCCGAAGCAUGUCAAAAGCUUGUUUUGAAGUGGUUUUAUAAUAAACACGUGUGUUCACUGGGGCAAAGCUAGAAAGUUAUUUCUCUAGGGCACAACUAAUUAAGCAAUGGUGGAUGCAUGUCCUCAUGGAAUCCAAAAAACAGCACAUGCAACGCCAAAUUUUUUAAGUGAGGUGUUUUGUUGAGUACUACUUGCCAACCCAUUUCGAUUGUUUGCUUAGAGAACAUCCCCACCCCUCUAUGCCACAUUUUAAUUGUAACUUUAGGUCAAUAUUGUUAUAGUGAGCAGAAAGAUAAAUCAUACAUGCAUAGGGUUAAGAGGUCAAAUUUAUUAUACAUGUGAAGGGACGGAUUGUUAAUGAGCCUUUUAUUAAUGUUAUAUUCGUCUCCUGAUGGUUUUGGAUGAGGAGCGAAUAAUAGAGUUGAUGAUGGUGACGAGUUAAUUAUUAUUUGCCCUACUUCGAUUUGACAUAGCGGUGAGCAAUGGAAGACAUCUGUGAUUUAAGCGGGACCCUAAUUCCUAUACAUAUUGAUUAUUAUUUGCCUCCUCUGGCCGUUAAUAAGAUUUAGCAUGAGCUUUUAUUAAAAAGGGUAAAUCGCCAAAAUAGUCCCUGAGAUUUGCAUAACUCAUCACUUUGGUCCCUGAGAUUCCAAAUCGAUAAAAGUGGUCCCUGAGAUUGUCCACCAUCCAUCAUUUUGGUCAUUUCUUUAAAAACUCCGUAAGUGUCCCGGAGCUCUUGGUCGGAAGUUUGGGCAAUUUUCAAAGCUUCGUAACUCAAUCAUUUUUUAACCAAAUUCGACCCAUAAUAUAUCAAACUGAAGAUAGGAAAGUGUAGAAUAAGAUUAUUCCUAUUUCGAAACCCAAUGGUUGGAGGAGAUUGCCGGAAAAUAGCCUCAAAGUUGACUGGUCCGAGUGAAAACUUGAAAACUCGCCGGAAACUGAGUAAACUUUAAACGUUCAUAACUUCUUCAACACUCAACGAAAUCAAGUAAUUCAAAAACGAAAAUCAUACUUCUCAACGAGACAAAGAGAAUGGUACCUUUUUUGACAGUUAACUCGCCGUGGUUUAGCCGGAAAAUAGCUCGAAAGUGGUUGUCUUGGUCUCAAGUUAGCCACUUUCAAGCCGUUUUCCAGCCAAACCACAGCGAGUUAACCAUAAAAAGGUAUCAUUCUCUUUGUCUCGUGGAGAAGUAUGAUUUUCGUUUUUGAAUUACUUGAUUUCGUUGAGUAUUAAAGAAGUUAUGAAUGUUUAAAGUUUACCCAGUUUCCGGCGAGUUUUCAAGUCACUCGGACCAAUCAACUUUGAGGCUAUUUUCCGGCCAUCUCCGGCAACCAUUGGGCUUUGAAAUAGGUAUAAUCUUAUUCUACACUUUCCUAUCUUCAUUUUGAUAUAUUAUAAGUCGAAUUUGGUUAAUAAACGAUUAAGUUACGAAGUUUUGAAAAUUACCCAAACUUCCGGGACACUUAAUGGAGUUUUUAACUGAAUGACCAAAAUGAUGGAUGGUGGACAAUUUCAGGAACCACUUUUAUCGAUUUGGAAUCUCAGGGACGAAAGUGAUGAGUUAUGCAAAUCUCAGAGACUAUUUUGACGAUUUACCCUAUUAAAAAUUUUGACAUGCACUUUUUAAGUCAAAGCUUUGACGAGCAAAAGUGCUUUAUAGAGAAGUAUUUCCAAAUGGUCCCAAAAUUUUUAACAAAAAUCCAAGUGCUUGCUAGAACAAAACAUUUAACCGUUUCUCCAUAGGAAAAAAAAAAAAAAAAAAAAGAAUCUUUCACAUUAUCAGAAGCUCAUUUGGUUAUCUAAAAGUGCUUUCGGCGGCAAAUGAAGUCAUCGAAAAUUCAUUUUCCCAAGUCGAGCUCGAAUAAAGUCGUUCGCGCUAAUAUAGGAAAAAAAUGAAAAUAAGAAGUGUGAAAGCAAAUAAAUUUAGCAAACUUCCAGAACUGUACCAAAGUAUUGAUCUGAGUAUUCUGCUACUUCACAAAUCCACUGAUGCUGCUUGCACUCUCUCCGGUGAUCAGCUUCCGAGAGACAGGGAGGCCAAGAUCAAACGGCCCCAAGGAAUCGCUCUGUGUCCCAAGGAGUAAAAUUACAACCAUCAGCUAUUUUCAAUUUCACAAACUUCAAAACAAGCAACAAUCACUUCGUUGUUCACUUGCGAACAAAUCAUGAGAGCUGUAUCUGAUUCCUGACAACCACGCUGGUCUUGCGGAAGCUCAGUAACACUGUUAGCCUGCAAUAAACAUCCGACUGAGAUUCUUCUUGUUUUACUUCAACGGCUUGAAAGGGCCAAGCGAGUCCAUAUCCCCCGGCAAGGAACACAGCUACAUGCUGUUUAAAAUCUUGACAAAGCCUUUAUACUAAUUACUUUGGUAAGAUACUAGUGAGAAUUAUGUAGCCUAAAAUUGCCUCACCAUAUAGUCUUACACAGAUUAAAAAAAGGGGUCUGCUAUCCACACACCAUUUUUUACUUCUCACACACCCCUUGUUAGUUUAUGUCUUUUGAUCUUCUUUAAUUUAGUUGACCCGAUGGCCGCAAAUUAAGUGGGUGCGUAUGAAGUAAAAAGGGGUGUGUGGACAGCACAUCCCUAAAAAAAACCCAAGCAAUCUGUUGAUGUUAGUCUUGUUCUGAUCAGUAAAAUUUAGAAAGGUCUACCAAACCAAACAGCUGAUUAAGGUUCUUUAAGUCUUAACAAUAUAAAAAAGUAAACGACGGAGAAAUUUGAUAACUCAGUUAACCAACACAUCAAAGGUUAUAACACCCUUCAAUGUCGAGACAUUCCGAAACUUUCAACACUUCAAUAUACUAGAGAUUCAGCACAGUUCAUUCAAGACAAGUUCUGACUACCAAUUAAAACAAUUUCAUAUUUAUUUAACAUCCAAAUUGUAAUAUUUAUAGAAUAGGACGAUCUAUUGUCAUACCAAUCCAAAAUCUGGUAUUCAAAUCAUAGUUAUUUAAACGAGACGGAAGCCACAACUGGUUAAACAGCACAGUUGCAAUAACAGAAUGAAAUGAACUAUUAGAACUCAGCAAACCUUGGCUUCAUCAGGGAACUUGAAUAGUUUAGAAACAGGAUUCUGGUUGAAACAUCCACGACUUCCACCAAACCCCAGAACAUCUUUUCCCGACGAAGAGAACUUUUGAGAAGGAAAUGCACGGCACGUUUCUUUGGCGUCAAAAAUAGAUAAGCAUGAGUCAUGAGUGGAUGGCCUUUGACCUUGAGUUGGUGGCAAGCCUGCAUUGCUCUCAACUGGUUGUGCAUCAGAUCCAUUGAGCUUGCCCUGCAAGGAUGCUUCAGACAGGAGGCCACCAAUGCUCAUAGAUGGACAAUCCCACGACACAAAUGACUUUGAAUCAUUUUUUAUUUCAGUAGGAUAAAAGCCUUCAUUUUUCCCAAUUUGUUUUUCUUUACUGCUAUUGAACUUGGCCUGUAAGGAUGCUUCAGAAAGUAGGCCUCCAACGCUUAUAUUAGUUACACUGUCAAUCAAAAGUGGUUCCUGAGCAUGGUUACCCAUCCUCCUCUGAAUAUUGUCCUAAUUACAAUAAGAGAAACUUCAUACAAUCAUUAAAACCCAUGAAAGAAACAUGUUGCGUAAAUCUUCAAAAUGUCUACCCAACAAAUUUUCCAUCUCUGCUUUUAAAUUUUGAAAAACAAAGGAAAGAAUAUUUAUCAACGCUUGUAUUCUCAAUCCGACAUUUCAUCACGUCUAUAUAUUGCAUUCCCAGCUUAACGCAAUUCAUUAAAGUCACAGUCACCAGAAACAACGAAAAUUCAAACUCAUACAAGUAAAUUUAAGCUUAACCCACUAAAGGUGUGUGAGCGCGCACACACACAUGUGAAUAAAGAACAAUCAAAUAAACAGAGAAAGAAGCAGCAGAAAAUUUUACCCUGGGAUCAACAGCUCCAGUAGAAAUCUUCUCAGUAUCUGCAUUUAUUGUUUCACUUGCAUCAUUUGAUUUGAAAUCUUUUGUUGCUAAAGCAGUAUGUUUCCAUAAUUCAUCAAUAACAUUCUCUGUUGCGGGGCUUCUACAUCUCUGCUCGCCUUCAGAUCGUAAGUCAUUAGCUGAUGUAGAAGGUUGAUAAGCAGUUUUAGGUUCAGUAGAGAACCAGCCAUACCUUAAGUAGCAUAUGAAGUCAGAAAAAUUAAUAACACGUUGAGUAAAGAAAAUAGAGGAAGAAUUAUACCUUAAGCGAAAAACUGCAGGGCUUCCAAAAGCUGCAUAGACCGCUCCGGCACUAAUAUUGCCAUCAUUCAGUGUCCAUCUUCUGUUACUAGACAUACUGUCGGGCAUCUUAUAUGGGAAUAGAACUCAAAAGCAAUGCUUGAUCUGCCCCACUUAUCAUUAAGGUGCUUUAGUACAGAAGUAAUCUUCUUCCGUGGUCUAAGAAUGAGUUCUAAAUAUGGAUGAUGUCCAUCCUAAGAAAGAAAAUGACAUAAAAGAAAAGAAAGUUAGAAAUUAAAGCGACAAACUUUCUAGCUUGCAAAUACAUAGUGCUGUUCUAAUUUUUCAAAUCUUCAUGAUUUAUGAUCUACCUUUUCCAAUCCUAUGCGGGUGGCUUCAUUUACAGGGAAAAGCUGCAACUUGAUCUUUGACUGCGGAAGAAGUUUUUGCCCUUGAUAACACUCAAGAACAGGCAGUCUCUUUAUUGUUCCUAAAAAGGGCACACCUAUGUCAGGAAGCUCCAGACACAUGCCUUCGGGAUUCUCGUCCAUUUCAACCAAGAAAUUGCCACCUUGCCCUAAGAAAUAUAAGAUGCGACUAACUUAAAGGAAUGCCCAAGAUCGGGGCAACUAAAAAUUCAAUGUCCAUAACAGCUCAGGAAAUGAACAGGCUAAUCAAAUCGGAAGAGAUCUGUCUAGAAUUACUUGGUAAGCUAAUAUAAUGUGGCAAAACUAGUACGUGCAAGAAAAUACAAGAAUUAAUGGUUGAAGUUAAAAGCAUUCAAGCAUAAUACUCAGAUGAUUUCCAACCUGUUGCUUUGUGGCAGACUCGGGUAGUUCUCCCUGUAAAUCUCUGUUCUCUCAUGGUACUUCCUAUACGUGCUCUUCCCUCUACAGGAAUCUUGAUCACCUUCCUGUUUGUUUCUCUAGAAGCUUUCAUGCUGGUUUGGCUUCACCGAUCUUUAGCCUACUGUCACACGGUCCCUCUCGUAAGUAAGACAAUAAUGCAUCUUUUCGGGCUUCAACAAAAUAGGAUACCAAGAAAGAACUAAUUAACUGGUGUAAGCAAAAAAAUAUACAUAUUUUUAUCACACCAGGAGUAUUCCAACUUUUUGUAAUUUUCCGUUUCUCGUUUUCUUCCAUAUGAAACAAGAGACUAUAUCGUUUGAAUAACACGAAAGCUACACUGCCCUUUCUCACACAUAUUAUCCAAAUUGUUUCCAGCAAUUUUCUACCCAAAACAUAGAUUUCAUAAUAACCUGAGCAAAACAAAACCCGAAACACAAAUGACCAGCCAGUUAAAAUUCUGCACCACACUCUCGUCAGUUCAACUCUUCCAAAUUGACAAUCCAAUUUCGAAAAUUUGAGAAUUCUCCGGGUUAAAUUAAACGAAUUUGACCUUGCUCCUUGAGAAUUUGAGAUUUAAUAUUUGAAGCUCAACCAACCCUUUGCCAGAAUUACAUAUCAAGAAUGUGAAUCCCGGUAAUUCCAGGAUCUAGGGUUUCGAGCAAUACCCAUUUAAACACAUGAAAGUAAAUUCAACGAUUCUGAAUGCAAUAUUGUGCCCUAAUUUCUAGUAAUCGAAACCCAAAUAUAGAGAAUAAAAUACACAAAUGAAUCUGUAACCAUAUAUAGCUCUUGGAUCUAUCACUUAACUAUAAUUUAGAAGAGAGAGAAGCGUACCUUAAUCGAGAGAGAGAGUGAGUUUGGCGGGAAUAAAUCUGGAAUUCAGAAAGCUCUGUUUGAGAUUGAGUGGGCCCCGACCUAUAUAUAUAUAUAUCUAUUGCCGCCAUAAAGCGUACCCAUUCAAUUAUUUACGGGGCAUCACGUUUUGUGUUCAAGUAGGCCUAGUAAAGCACUUCGUGUUGGGCGCUUCUGCUAACUGGUCUUGCUUUCAUUUCCGUUUUCAUUUCCGUUUUGGGUUAAUUAAGGCCCCGUUUGAAAGAUAAAUAAAACGCUAGUUUUUAGUUUUACAAGAGUCAAACUUAUCACCGCUCGUCUACGAAGCAAUUCACAUGACACUAGUAUAUCGUCACAUGUUAAUCAAUGUCAAUAAAAAAGAGCAUAUGGGUAAAAACUUACACAUGUCUUUAUUUCAUUAGUAUAGGAUCCCAUCGUGGCGGUGUAUAGUGUCACAUAAGUCUUUCUCCCCACUUACAGAUCCGUAAUAGUGAAUUAGUCUUAUAUUUUAAGAUUUCAUCAAUGUGACUCUCUUGUUAUUAAGACUCAAACAAUCUGCUAAUUUAUAACGUGUCCAUUCAAGUCUCACUUCUUUUUAUGUCUGUAUGAUGAUACAGUGAUCCGCGUAUUAUUUUAUGGUAAGUUAUAUGCAUUUAGUACUUUGCAAAUUCAAGUGGAGUAUAUAUUUGGAUACUCUUAGAAGUGUGAAAUAUAGUCUAUUUAUGGCAUUUUACCCUUGGUUUGAAGGGUUAGGAACAAUGGACAAACUUUUUCACAAAUAUUUUUACGCUCUUUCCUAGCUUUUAGAUCUGGUAACAUUCAAGGGUCCUAAUUAAGAGUGAUGUCAAUUGUUUUAAUAAUUAAGUGACAUGGAGGAUAAUGUGUAUUGUAACUUGAAAAAAAUAAAUUAAAAUUUAAAAUUAAAAUAGAAUAAAACCUGAGGUAUAGAAAAGAAAAACAAAAAUGUAAACCUGCAAACGUGCAGGUAGGGUGAAGACUUCCAUUGCUACAUGUUGAGAAGAAAACGCUAGUUUUCUCUCUAUACAUUGGAAUUUUCCCUCCAUUCUAUAUAUAUAUAUAUAUAUUAGAGAACUUGUUAUGGUAACUUAUUUCAUCAAAUAAAAGCCUUCACUGAGGGUUUUACGGCCUACCAGAUGAAGGCUGGGAACACCCGGCCAACGAGUUUCUGGGAAGGAGACGGGACAUGGGAUCCUCUGCCACGUGUUCCAUGGUCAGUGCUAGCAACUAGGGAUGGGCAAUGGUUAUGACGGACGAGUAACCGCUGUUAUUUACCCAUAACCAUUUAUACUCGCACCCGCAUAAUCAUUUACCCAUUGGGUAAUUGCCUAAACGGUUAUACCCAUACCCAUAACCAUUUAUAAACGGUUAACCAUACCUAUAACCACGUACCCAUUUAACCGUAACCGUAUACCAGUUUAUCCAUACCCGUUUACCCGUUUAUCUUUUUUUUUAACCCAUUUACCCUUUUUUGAGCCUAUUUACAUAUUUUUUUAACCGUAACUGUAUACAACUCUAAUAAUUGAAAUAAUAAAGACGAACGAUAGUUUUAAUCAAUCAAGGUAAUAUAAUAUAUUUGCUAAUAAUUGAUUUUUUACUAACAAAAUACCUCUCAUUACUUAAGCAAACAUAUUGGAAAGAAAAUUCAUGUAUUUUUGACAUAUUUUUCUUCCAUACCCAAGCAAGUAUUCAAUUAUAACAUCCAUAUGAUUACAAAGUAAAGCUUCUAAAAAACUCAAGGUAGUCAUUAUCUUGAAUACUAGAUGAUUCAAAGCUCCAAAAUAUUUCAAAACUAAACACUUUCGAACACUAAUGCUUUAAGCACAUUCAAUCACAAAGUCUCAUCGACUCGUUGUCACCAAAAGAGGCCUACAAAAGAAAUGUAUAAAUUGAAUUAGUAUCCCAAAAGAAAUGUUUUUAACUAGAGGUGUUGGCAUAUAGGAGGAAAUACGUAUGAAGGAUAAAAAAUGAUAGCUAGAAGAGAACGCAUUAAGUAAGGUAUAACUAGUGAAUGUGACCUCAGAUUAUACAUCAUAUUCGUACCACAGGUCCACAACUAGUUCCCAUGGCAGCAAUUUAAAAGUGAAUUAAACAACCAGUCAGAUUCAUCACGUAGCUACUUUGAUGCACAUCACCAUUAUAGCCCAAAAUGUCAAAUCUAUACCAGUCAGAUUCCUCAAUGCAACGUUAAGAGAAACAGAAAUUUAAAAUCUUACGGAUUAGGUUUUUUGUUUUUUUUUUUAAAUUUUAUAUAUCUAUUAAAAUAAACGGGUAAUCGUUACAACCGUUGUUAAUACCCAUAACCGCCCAUUUAAAUUUUACGGGUAAACGGUUAUACCCAUAACCAUUUAAUUAUCUAAACGGUUACACAUAACCGUAACCGCGAAAUUUAAAUGGGUGGAUAACCGUGGUUACCCAUAACCGAUGGGUAUUUGCCCAUCCCUACUAGCAACACACAUACGGACCUGACACUUGUUGUCCAUAGGGACAUAACAUUUCCUGCAAAUUUCAUGCCGCCUACAACUGCCACUUGUGAUAUUGCAGACACCUGUGAGCAAGGGGUAUGGUGUUAAGGGGACCAAAACAACACAUGGCCUCACCUUGCUUGACUAUGGACACAUGUGGCAUCUUGAUAGUUUUGGGACCAAUUCUCUAAGGUACCAUUUGGUACAUGGGAUGAGACGGAACGAAGUGGGACGAGGUGUUCCGUCUCACGUUUGGUGCGCCUAAAACGGGUGGAACGCUCUUCCAUGGGACAAAUUUUGGGUGAAUUUUCAUUCCGCCUCACCCUCCUAGAACAACUCGUUCCACAUCCGUGAAACACAAAAUUAUAACAUCUCCGUCUCCUUCUUCUUCCUCCUUGUUUUCAUCCGAGGGCAUCUUUGCUCCCUCUCCGUUUCAUCCCGUCCCAUUCCGUUUCUUCCCGUCCCGUUUGCAUACCAAAUGAUACCUAAUGACACACUAUCUAUUGCAGUGAAUGGGCUUUCUUUAUCCAAAGUUUUUGGCCUUUGAUAAUGUGGAUGGGCUUUUACUGGCCUCGGACAGCUUACUGGCCGUUCCAACAAACUUUUCUCUUAAGGAUUGUUUUCCUUCUGGCAAUGACUUAUCUAUGACUGGUGACCUAAGCCCGUCCCAUUCCUAGCCUAACAAAUUAAGUGUUGAGCCGACCUCUGUGUGUGUGACUUCUCCCUCGACUACUAAAGAACACCCUUCUACAAAGAAGCAAAAACUCGUCUAUAGUCCUAAGAAUAGCCGCCCACUCCACCUUACAAAUUUCAACCAUCGUGGCCCUAAAACUAAGUCUUUUGAUCGCAGCAAUCGAGGGGGAAAUCAAAUCGGAAGGGCAUACCUGCUUCAGUCUUUGAAAUUCUUAGGGUAGAUGAAUAGGAUGAGGCACUCUGUGAGGUGAUGGUCAGCCCACCCAAAGAGCUGGAAGACUGGAGGCGCACUGGUUUCUAUGGGCAUUUUGUCAUUAUUAGAAGAACUUUAUCUUAGAACCUCCUUCGCCACUUAUCUGUGAUGUGGCAGAAACUAACACACAAAUUAAACCCUAUUAAGAUAGUUGUAGUAUGAGCAAGUAGGGAUCGUUCUAGGCAGGGAUUAGAAGGGAUGUUAAUCAACACUAAUUAGACUUAAAAACUGAAAACUAAGCUAAACUGACACUAAACAUAAGGGGGGGGAGGUUUUUGGACGAAUUCUAACUUCAAACAAGUAAAUUGAAGAAACAAAUUAAGUUUGGUACGAAAAUUGGGUGAAGGGCUAGCUAGAGGAUUCUUCUCCACACAUGAAACAUAUGCAUACAAAUCGAUUUCCAGUUAUUAUUCCUAUAAACCAUGAAUGACAAUGCCCCAAAUUAAUCAUGAAAAGCACAAAUAAACUUUCAGAUUUUCCUAAAUUCAUUGAAUUGGACUUAGCAACGCAACCAAAUUAUUCUUAUCAAGUUCCCUAUAUGAACUGCAUGAUAGAGAUACAUAUCAAAGAUAAUUAAGUUUUGUGAAAAUCAUAAGCAUUGAUAAGACAUUCAUAACUAUGAACUGCAUGAUACUCCUGCUAGGAAUUUACUUAACACAAUCAUGACUAGUGACUUUUACUACUUGUAAAUAAGUUCAUAACGAUUAGGUGAAGUUCCCUUAUAUUCUAGCAUCAAAUCCCUGCAUGCAAACUAAGUGUGCACCCUUAAUCAACACACAAGAACAAGUUCUUAAUAAAACAGAUAAGUAAAUUGCAUUCACUGUUUAUGAAACAAUAACUGGAUGUAAUCAAUUCAUACAAAACAUGUGAUCAUGGCCUUGAAUUCACCUCUAGCUAAAAAGAAAUUUAGUUACGCAUGUUCGUCAUAACUAAAUAAAAACAAUCUAAAUUAAACAUUGAAAUCAAAUAAGGAUAGAAAGAACUCUGAGACACUCCAGCAAUGGCAGAUUCAGCUCCUCCUCUAGAUGGCAGAAUUGGCUCUUAUUCUCCUUGCAAGCAUGACUCUAAAUCUCCUUUUCUCAUCCAGAAAGCUGUGACACUCUCACCAAUUUUCUCUCUAAAAACUCCUCCUGAAAGCUGCGGCAAUAACUUGUAUUUAUAGGGCUAGGGCACGACCUACUUUGUGGUGGAAAAGGAUUGAGUUGUUUGCAGUGUUUUAGGACUCCUUAAAUCAAAUUAAGUGGUUGAAUGUGAUAAGGAACCCCCCUUGUAGUUAGAGAUAAGGUAGGAUUAUGAUAUGAUAAGAUAAGAUAAGAUAAGGUUGAGGUAAAACAGGACUGGAUAAGAUAAGGUAAGUUUGGAUAAGGUUUCCUUGUUUUCAGCUGAUUCCUUGUCUUGCAAGCCUUAAUUUAAUUUUUCCAGAUUUGUAGCACAUUUUUAGCAUCAUUUGUCACCAAAAACAUCCAUCCAUUAUGCUCCAUACGCAUGCUAUCCAAUCCAAGUCCAAAACUGCUCCAAAUUGCUCCAUUUAGCCAUUUAUUGUCAUCUUUGCCAAUUGGACCUCAAUUCCUCACCGGAUAUACUCUCUAUUUUCAACAGAUUUUCUGACUACACUUCUUAUACUAAGUAUAUGUGAAAAGAUUGAUGUAAAAAUGUAGACUAGCACUCACAUACGUUAUAACAAAGAAGGCACUUUCUGGAAUUAUUAAUAUAACAUGUAUAUGAUCUCAUGAACGAAAUGCCACUACUUAGAAGUAAGAACUAGGGAUUCCAUAUGCUCGUACCAAUUCCAAACUCCACAUAUUGAACACAUAACAAUCAAGAUAAAAGUCGAAGGGUUGUAAUGGGGCUAAUGUAUUGGCUAACAAAAGAAUGGUUAAGGAUAAACAAAGGUUCUUAAAGUGAUAGUAAACAAAGUAAUGAAAUCAACACUUAGAAUUCAACUUUUGAUUGCAGCAUCUAACUUUAAACACAAAGGGGAGAUUCAUACAACUUUAGGGUUAGAUUCACAUUUUUGGACCCUUCUUCAACAACCAAUACUUGUGAACUCAUUCUCACUUAUUUUCAACCUCUUUUUUUUCACUUUCACUUUCACUUUUCUUUGAAAUAUAAAACAUACACAUUACUUCACCAGAUUCAAAAGAACAAAUCCUUCCCCCACACUUAUUUCUCUGCAGAUCGUAGAUAAAAAGGAAUUCCCAACAAGUCAUGCUUCACUAUUCUUUAAGAACAAGGGUAUGGAUAUUCCAAUGCUAGGCUAGGUAGGGAUAAUGCAGGCUAACAAAGAAAAUAGGCUAAAUAAGGCUCAAAGGGGUUAAACCUACAAUACAUAUGCAAGGGAUAAGGCUUUUUGGCUCUGGUGGUAACUAAACAACAUCAUCUUGUUAUUUGUUAUGCAAUCAAUUUUAAGCUUUGAAUGAAACUGGCAUGAGUUUUAGUAUUUGGAACUAAAAUGAUGAAAAAGCAUUCCAAGUAGCAACCAAGCAAAGAAAUAAUGAGAUCAUGCAACGACUUUAGAAAGCAAGAAUAUCACAGAUUUUGAGUUCCUUCCUUCAAGCAUGUUACAAAAAUUGAUUUUUUUUUUCCUUUGUGAUUACAUGUGAAUUCAUUAAUGACAACUACAACUAAGUAUUAACCAAAGAGCAUAUCAAACUUCCACCCAUGUUUGUAACUUUCUUUAACAGUCAUGCAAUUAAAAACCAAAUCCUCAUCAUUGUGUUGGAAGGUACCCUAAGACACAAACAAGCAAAACGACUCUUUUUGGUUUUUUCAAACAUUUUUUUUCUGAUUUUUUUUUUCAAAAUUUUCGAAAUUUUUUCAAAUUUUUGUUAUUAUGACACUAAAACACUUGAAAACAGUGAGUAACAACAUUAGAAGUGAUAGUUGAUGAAAUUCGAAGAUAAGUCAUGAAAAGCAAUCUGUGUACCCCCCUAACAGUUAAACCAAACAUUGUCCUCAAUGUUUCAAAAAUAAAACGAAACAAGAAAGCAAUAAAAGACAACUAGAAAACGAGACAAUCAUGGCAAAGUAAAAAUAAGAAAGAGAAGGGUAAAAGAGAGCAAAUCUGGUUGUAGAGCCUGGAGAUUCCAAAGUCUUUCUAUUUGAAUCACAUGGGUUGCCUCCCAAGAAGCGCUUGCUUUAACGUCUUCCAGCCGGACAAUACCUCCAUUUAAGCUUCACUAGGGCCCACGGCAUGGAGGGGUACAUCCUCCACGACAUGCUCCUCAAAACUUCCAUGCAUUGGAUCUAUGAACGGAAGAGCAUAGUGAUCCUUCUUGAUUGUGAUGUUGAGCUUCCUAAAGUCAAUGUAAACUCUCCCACCAGCUUGAAUCUGAUUGGGCACCUGAACCAAAGAAGGUAACAACCUAUUAGUUGAAAUGGGAAUUGGAAUUGGAAUAGGUGGCUCACCAAUGUAUUGCGAUGAGGACUUUAAAGUAGCAGCACUGUCAAUAAUUUCAGAGGUGGUUCUCUCAGCCUUGGGUUCUUUGAGGGCAAUGGCUUGUCCCGUGUGAUCCACUCCAAUUCCUUUUUCAAUGGUGGCUCUAAAUACAUCCAUCUUGAUAGGUGUUGAACAUUCCUACCCUAUAUUUUUAUUCACAUCAAUGGCAUAACAAGAACGAAUAUCAUUAGAUUCUUAAUAGAUUCAGAAACAUUAAAUUUAGUCACAUCGCCAUCAAACUCCAUAGUUAACGCUCCCUUGGCCACAUCAGUCUUGGUUUGGGCUAUAUUCAUGAACGGUCGUCCAAGUAAGAUUGGCAAUGGUGGAGAGUGGGCUGAAUCCUCCAUCUCAAGCACAUAAAAAUCUGCCGAAAAAAUCAAAUGGCCUACCUGCACCAAAUCAUCUUCCAAAACUCCUUUCGGAUAUGCAUUAGAUCGAUCAGCCAAUUGAAUAAUGACACCAUCAUUUAAGCUCUCCUAGAUUCAUAGAUGCAUAAAUAGAAUAUGGCAUAACAUUAAUGGAAGCACCUAAAUCUAGCAUAGCUUGUUCAAACCUUGUAUUACCAAUAACACAAGGGAUAGUGAAACUAUCUAGAUCUUUGCAUUUAGGUGGCAGCUUUCGUUGCAAAACUGCAGAGAUAUUUUCACUUACAUGUACCACCUCUCUCUCCAGAAUCCGCUUCUUUGUUGUACAAAGCUUCUUUAAAAACUUAGCGUACUUUGGAACUUGCUUUAUAGCAUCAAGAAGCGAGAUAUUGACUUGCACUUUCCUGAAAGUCUCUAGAAUGUCUUUUUCAUUCUCUUAUUUCCUAGAUUGCAUAAACCUGCCAGGGAAAGGCACAUUUGGUGGAAUAGAGUUAGAAGGAAUAGAAUUCGAACCAUGGGUGUUCUUCCCUUGCCGUGACUCUGUCCAACUCUUCUUCUACUUGCAGCAACUUUUCAUCCUCUUUUUGGCUUUGUUUGGACUUUUUUUGGGCUGGUUCCAAUCUCCUUGCAACUUCUUAAUGGUUCUUUUCGAUGCAUGAGUUGUACCCUGGCACCUUACCACAUAGUUUCCAGCUACUUGGCCGAAUCCUUCGACGGUAUUACAUUUGAACAUAUUUCCCGGAUUCAUAAUACCGCUGCGGACGAGUUGGCUCAAAUCACCUCCGGGGCACAACUCCUGAGGGGCAAGCUUGGCCGAGAAAUACCCGUGUUACGACAGCUAUACCUGGCCUUGGUUAACCAGCAAGUCCUCCGACGCGACAAUGUGAUACGCACCAGAGUCAUGUCCUUACCGUUGUUGUUAGACCGACAAGACCUUAUAGAAGUUUACGCUGUCGAGGCAAUACCGGAUGGUUGGAGAAAACCCAUUAUACAGUAUCUUGACAAUCCCAAUGGCAAACACAGUCGCAAGACAAGAGUUCACGCCACAAACUAUGUCACGUACCAAAACGAGUUAUACCGAAAGGGUGAGGAUGGUUUAUUACUGCUAUGCCUCGGCCCCCAAGAGAGUGCUCAAGCAAUCACAGAAGUCCACGAAGGGGUUUGCGGAGCUCAUCAGUCCGGACGUAAAAUGCAGUGGUUGUUUCGACGACACAGUUAUUUUUAGCCAAGAAUAUUAAAGGAUUGUAUCGAGUUCGCAUGAGGGUGCAUACAUUGUCAGAUUCAUGGUCCUAUACAACGGGUCCCGGCCGAGUCAUUACAUUCAGUCACUAAACCAUGGCCGUUUAAAGGAUGGGCCAUGGACGUAAUCGGCAAAAUCACACCAUAUUCCGGGGUUGCCAAGCACGCAUGGAUACUGGUAGCAACCGAUUACUUCACUAAGUGGGUCGAAGCAAAAUCGUAUGUCGAGCUAACGUCUAAAGAAGCUUGCGACUUUGUGGAAGAACACAUUGUGACCAGAUUCGGCGUACCAGAAACGAUUAUAACUGAUAAUGGCACAAUCUUUACAGCUGAGAGGUUUAAAGAAUAUACGACAAGUUUGAAAAUUCAGCUUGAACAGUCUACACCAUAUUAUCCACAAGCAAAUGGGUAGGCCGAGGCAAGUAACAAAGUGUUGAUCAUCAUUCUCGAGAAAAUAAUAAAAGAGAGGCAUGGCAUGUGGCAUUUAAAGUUAAAUGAGGCUUUAUGGGCAUAUCGAACAUCGCUCCGAUCGGCGACUGGGACAAUCUCGUAUGCACUAACCUACGGACACGACGCAAUUGAAGGAUUUAUUUUGAAAAACAUGUUCAUUUGAGCAACAUCAUAUAGCAUGCAAUUAACAAUUAAAGGCGGAAUCAUGCUUGCAUGCACUCAAAAACAAAACAUUACCAUGAAAUUCAAAGCCUAGUAGAUUGGUGAACCAAUAAUCAACUCAAAACAAAGUGAGUUGAAAUUAUUACCUUUGUAGAUUCCUCUUUGCAUAAGCAAAGGCUAAUCACCCAAAGAGAUAGGGCCUUCAUUCCUUGCUUCUUAGAUCCAUGGAUUUGGAUGGAAAAUUAGGUUUCUCCAAGUUCCCAAAAUAGGGAACCUCUAAGUCUCUUCACCAAGGUUUGAUUGUAGAAGAAAUGAGUGACCUUGGAGUAGUAGGAUUGCUAGAUGUACCCUCCAAGGUGUUGGCCUCUUUAGAGAGAAAAUGGAGAGACAAUUCUCACCAAUUUUCCCCCAAAAUAAACCCUUAAUCACUUAAUGAAUAUUUGGCUAUAAAGUCCUUUAUAUAGUCCCUUCAAAUAAGUGACCUAAAGAACCAAAACCCUAAUUCAUCAUACAUGGCCGGCCUACCUUUAGGGAUUUUUGGGCUUUUGGGCUUUGUGAAUCUUUAUUCAUUAAGUUGUCAUACAACUUAAGUCAAUGGGCUUGACGUUCGAAGCCCAUUGGGCCUUAAGGUCAAAAACUAUCCCGAGGUCUUUAACGAACUUAUUCGUUUGAUUAAUUAACAUAUUAAUUAAUCCUUGCCAUAAAUAAAUGAUUAAACCAUUUAAUCAUUCUUACUCAUUUCCGUUUAAUCUUCAAUCUCCACCUUUUAUGGUGUGCGAUCCAUUAGGUUCCUUUUAGCGAGGUAGUGGGCGAUUAAAACCAUUUUACAUCGAUUGUGAAUUGAAACUAUUUUCAAUUCUCCCUUUAGUGAUUACACACGUUUAGGGCUUCCACAAACCAUGAGUGACACCUAGCAGCAUAUCAUGGUUACCCAAGCUAAUCAGAAGAGGUAGAGAACCUAUUCAGUUUGGGAUUACAAAUGCAAUACGGUCCUUCUCUAAUCUAAUACUCUUGACCACAUUGUUUGGUAUUGAUAGUUUAUUUAUUCAUGUCUACUAUCCAAUGUGAUUCGUGUGCUUAUAUGAUUUCCUUGAAUGUGAUUUGGAACGCAUUCCUAAUCUCAUUCAUACUCUGGCCAGAGAUUCCAAAUCAUAUCAUAGAGUAUUCUCCCUCAACUGUUUGAAGGUUAGAGAUCCCUUGUUGCGCAUUCACUUGUCUCCAUAGCUAAGUGGCUUAACCCCAACGAUGCCGUGGACACCCCGAUGGGGGUGACUUUGACAUAAUCAAAGAUCAAGGACUUAACCACAAGACAACUGUGAUGCCUCAGGUCAAAGGACUACUUUGCAUUAUCCCAACCAUGAGUUCUCAUGUGACAUGGAAUAUGAGAACUCUUCGUUGAUCACGUUCAGUGAACUCAUUCUCUAUUGAGCACCUACGUACUUGUCUUGAUGUCACACACACCAAUGACUCGAGACUAGUCACUCUCCCUGAGAGAAGACAUAGUACGUACUGAUCUUAACGGACUGUCAAUGCCCAAUUGGCAAUCCUAUGAUCAGGAACAUUUAGGAUGUGUCUACGAAAGAAUGGUCUCAUGAAUCUAACUUCAUUAGAUUACAUUCUCCCAAUCACAUAUUCCUUGGACUUUAUCGUUUAAGCAUAUAACAUUUAUAUGAGACGGCUCAAACAAUAAUCUUAUGCCCUUUAUAUGUAAAACUAGAUUAGUUUAACAUGUGAAAUGUCCGUAAAGUAUCAUCACAUGAUUGGCUUUAGGGCACAUUUCCAACAAUCUCCCACUUGCACUAGAGCCAAUCAGCUUGGUCAUCUUGAUGAUACCUCUUCUGUAGUCAUUUCAUAAAUGGCUGAAUAGUAGGCCUAGACAGUGGAUAUCUAUAUGUGUUAUCCAUAGAAGCAACCUUGAGAAUAACGACGUCACCAUUAUACAUGAUUCUCAAUCAUGUGGUUCAGUCUCUCAUUUGAGUUCGGAUCUUGAUGAGACCUUGAUUCCCAGGCUUGAGCUAUCGCCCCAUUAGUGUCAUACACUUUCUGGUUGGAACCGAAUAGAGAGUUCAUAAAUGAACUUUCCCAUCCAAACAACAUUGUUGUAAACUUCUAUAUGGCAAUAUAUCUUGCAUUCAUAAUGGAACACACUAAAGUCAUUACUUUAAUGUUUCCAUCCAAAUAUCUCUUUAGUCAUAAUAAAGAGAUAUCUGUUUAUCUCUUCAUUCAUAAUGAAGAAACAUCCAAUGAUGGAUUAGAUUCAUAAUCUAAUACAUUUACGCUUCCAUUACGUUACUUUGAAUUCUUCCUCGAUUCUUUGAGGAAUUUAUCCUUUAGUAUUUCUCAAAAUACUUAAGGACUCACUUGACAGUUGCCAUGGUUCUGAUCCUGGGCUUGCACUGAUAUCAUCUUGUACCGUUCUAGGUACAACUCAUAUCAAUGUUUUUCAUACAAUAUGAAAUACAUAAAUCACCUUUCUGCGUAUGCAUAAAGGAUUCAAUUUACGCAUUAUUUCUUUGGGAGUCAAAGGGUACGUUCCCUUUGAGAAGGGCAACUUGCUAGUCUCACUAGAAUCGUCCUUCUUAUUGAAGUUUAUCAUCAUAUGAGAAACUUCCUAGCAUCCAUUGUCUAUUAUUAGGGAUUGAUAUAAUCCAAUUAUAUCAUGAAAUAUAUCAUUAUAGAUUUCCAUCCCAUGUACAUAGACUAUAUCUCCCAUAUACAUUCUAUCUUCAUAUAAUGUAUUAAAGUCAUAACUUUAACGAAGAAGUAUUAUUUUCAUUUCCAAAAUAAAUAUAUCAUAUAUAUUUAAAUUUUUAGGAACAUGAUUAACUCCCACUAAUCUUUUGUAAAACUAGUAAACAAAAGAUUCAUUUACAUCUUUAUGAGAAAUCAAACGAUUUGAUCCUUUUUCUCAUAAAAUGCAAAUAGCUCCCACUAGCUUGCUAAGAUUCAUGAUGGAUGGAUCUCUACAACUUACAUGUCUUGUGAUUUUUAGUUUUAGACAUAUAUUAUCAAGACUAUCUUAAUAAUGGUUUCGGAAACCCAUAUUAUGUCCAAACAUUGAAUCACCAUUUAGUUGUAGCUAGCAAUCUUCGAAUUAAUUGAAACCAAGACUAUCUCAAAGAUGGUUUCUUCAAAGUCAACCAUUCUCUUUGAUUGUAGUCACCUUAAGCUACCAAUUAGUUUAUGAAGGUUUCAUUAUUUCGGGUCAAAUGGUACUUUACCAUUUCCUUGAGUAUGUAUCAUAUAUAUAUACACUCAAUGUAGUCAUAAGGAUUUUCAUUCUUAUUUCUUUCGAAUUAAGAGGUGCAACUCUAUGACAUAGUCAUAAAGUUCAAACCAUUCAACUGAGACGGUUUAUAAAUCCUUCUCGACUACCUUGGAGCUUUUGGUAUAGGAACUAGGUUGUUAUAUUUGUUGAUUACUUUCUUGUCUCUCAAAGAACCCAUUCUUUGAGUUCUAUCUCUCGUUCAUUUGCUCUUAGGCAAAUCACAUUGUAGGAUUACAAUGAACUUCCCAACAAAACAACAUUUGUUAGUUGGAUUAUAGAAGCGAUAUCCAAAAGUUAAUUUAAGGAUAUCCCACAAGAUUGUUAUCAAACAAAUAUUGCUUAUUAGCACACAACUCCCAAAUCUUAAACAUGCUUAAGAUUUGUCUUUCUUUCCAACUACAUCUUAUGGAGUUAUGAAAAUUUUGGAAGAUCUUCUAAUUGACAAUCAUAUUGUUUUAGAAGUAUAUAUCCUAUAUAUAUGGGUAAUAGAUAACAUCUAACGAACUAAAUCUUAUUCGAGUUCGUUCUUCUCCUAAUGGAGAAAUACAUUAUCUUAUGAUGCUAUUUUCCUUGAUAUCUUUCAAGGAAACUCAUCUAAAGUGUUACCUUUCCUUGGAUCAAAUCUAAGGAGGUAAAUACUUUAGAUAUCUUACUCAUCUAUUUACAUUUCUUGAAUUCUUUGAAACCUUUUGCAAAGUAUUCGGACUUGUGUUUAUUCAAAAUAAACUAUAGUCCAACCGAGAGUGAUCUUCGGUGAAUGUCAUAUAACAUGAGUAGUAUUAUGUUGUGGACAAGUGCCACUAACAUCUAAGUGAGUGAUUAUUAACCUCAACAACUUUGUGAUUCUUUCUUCUUUCCAAAAGAAUAAAGAUUCGAACAUUUCGCCUCUAUACAAUUUUAACAAGAAGGUAUUGGAUCCGGAUCUAACGAUCCAAAAUAUCCUUGUUUCACCAACUCGUAACUUAUGUUUUAGAGGUAUCACAAUUUAGUUGGGAUUAGUCACUACCUUGCAACCUUUUGGGUUUUAAGCAUCAUUAUAUUCUAAACAGUUAACACUACCAUAUCAUCUCUACUAUAGAGACAAUCAAUUAGAUUACUAUUAUCCAAUUUCUUUGGUAGUUCAUAUGAGGAAGUAAGUACUAUCUGCUUUCGCAGAGAUCUAUAUCUUAUUCACGUUCCGUAAUGUGAAGCACCUUUUCUUCUCUCAUAUAUAUCUUCUACUUCUUAUUAGUCACACUUUUACAACGAUUUGUAAAAACAUAGUUACUAAUACGGAAUCAUACAUUCAAGUAGAAGAACCAACUGUUUUGAACUAUUCAAGAACAAUUUACAACACCUUCGAAAGGUGUGUUCUUGACACUUGCAAGACAUUUCUUGCAAAUACCCCUUCCAAUGUCCAUCCUUUCAUAAAGAAAGUUUGUUCCCUUGGAGUUAUUUAUCUUCUUUAUUUGACUUUCACCUUUGACUACAUUAGUCAUGGUCCCUAAACUCCCACUAUCUCUCUUGAAACCUUUUUCAAUUGUGUUAUACACAUCAAACAAUUUGGAGAGUAUGUGGUUAUUGUUCACUACAUAGUUUACCAAUAAACUUAGUGAACCAUUAGGAUAGGGAAACAAAAGGUGAAGUCCUUGCCUAGUUUCCGUCUCGUUAAGUGGUUUAACACUUCAACACUCAAUGAUUCAAAAUCAUCAUAAGUCCAUGUUAAUGGACUAUUUUUGUCAACCAACCAUUAUGUUCUAAACAUAAUUACAAACUUUCAAGAGUUGUACAAGGCAACUUUCAUUUCUUCAUACAACAAAUUGUAAGUGAAGAAUUAUGGCACAUUAAGUGUCCAUGCCUUUGUGCUUUCUUCUCAAGUUCUUUUUGUUCAUUUAACAAAGAAACAAGCACUAAGUGUUUGCAUUGACUAAGGGUUGUUCAAAGCAACUCCUAUUUCUUCAUACAACAAUUUGUAAUUGAAGAAUUAUGACAUUAAAAGUGUUGUCCUCUUUAUGAUAGACCUUUUCUAACAUAUUCUUCUAAUGAUACAUUAUCAAUAGGAAGAUUGUGAGGAUGAGACUACUUAGAUACAUAUGCAAUCCAUUUAAGACAUUCUUUGGGAUUGUGGUACCAAGUCCGGAAACUAAAACAUUCGGUUUUUAUUUGUCAAGUGUUGGAUAGCGUUUGCAAAUAUAUUGGUAAUCAAAUACAUAACGAAUAUAGAAUUGAUUGAUUUUUUAAGCCAUUUGAUUCGGGUCUUUAAAUCAAAAUAGCACCACCCACUAUUUUUGGCAAAUUCCAUAUCCCUCAUUGGAAUUCGAGAGUUUUGGAUGAAACUCUUAGUAGGUUAUGGGAGACUCACUACUUACCAAGCCCACCUCAGAAUUAUAUCAUGUUGGCUAGCGUUAAUAAUAAUGAGAGAGUACGCUUACUCAUUUGCAACAACCUCUUGCAAGUACCCAUCUAGUUUGGCCUCUAGAAAAUGAUGCCUCAGAAUUAUAUCAUGUUGGCGUCAUUGUACUUAGUUAAGUCAUUCCCACCAUGCCUAGUUCGUGUAGGUGUUCAAGCAUAGCCUCAGAAUUAUAUCAUGUUGGCUAAACUCGUUGCCUACCUCACUUCAUCAUGUAUGUAUAUAGAACUCCUCCUGAGUGUAAGCACGCACUUUGUACUCCCCCAUUAUAGGGUGAAGCCGGUGUACGAGUCACAAACGAUCGGAGCCUACCACGGUGGAAGGCCACGAAAGAGUGUUCAAAGCACUCUCCGUUUAUCAACUUAAUAUUGGUUUGAGGGUUUUUAGGUCUCAUCACAUAUAAAUAUACAUUUUAAUCUCUAUUAAAACAAUUUUGGUCCUAUUACAACUAUUGGUCCAUCUCAUUGUUUUAGUUGUACAUAAUACUCCCACUAUGCUUUUAAAACGGUUUUUAAAGCAAGAGUAUAUGAUACUACUAACAUAAACUUUGCAUUCAUUUGAUGGACUAUAUAUAGUUGCCUUAGGGCCUUAGGAUGAUUAUGAACCUUUGUUUAGAUUCAACACGAGCCUUGUGUUGAAUCUCGGUCUAGGGAUGGAGAUUGAUUUUAGUUACGCGUUUAAUCACAUUAAGGCGUGUUGUCUUAGGGGCGUUGGACCCAAUUACUUCAUUUUCAUGCAUAUCAUAUAAAGCAAGAAAGAAAUACUUCAAAGUAAAGGAUGAGCUUAUGCUCAUUACAACAUUUGCAUAAAACAAAUUACCUUAAAGUAAAGAAGAGCUUAUGGCCUUUUACAACAUUUGAUCAAAUCAAAUUACAACCAAAAUCUAAUCUACACAUUCCCAUGGUUCAAACAAAUUUGAAACGCCUUUCACAUAGCUCAAUUAUAUUAGGCUUAGGUUCAUAAUCAUCCUUUAAUUAAUUAACGCUUUAACUAAUUAAUUGAAUGCAACAUUUUCAUUUGGUUUUUGUAUCCAUAAAAUUGAUUUAAAUGGAGCUAAACAAAAUGAAAAUCCAAUUCUCAUUUAAAGAGACAAAACAAUUUUGUUCUCAUCCUAUUUGGGCCAUCAUGCAAUAACCACAACUUUUUGGGCCAUAUUGCGAAAACAUAAACUUUUGGGGUCACUUUGUAAAAACACAAAAGUCACUACUUCAUGUAAAUACAACUAGAACCCAAAAUUUAAAUAAAUUCAAAAACUUCAUUAAAGGAGCAAAACAAUUUGUCCUUUAGCGUUUUUAGGACCUUAAACGUCAAAAACGUAAACUUUCGGGUCAAAGUACAAAUACACAAAAAGUAUCAAAACUUUAUGUAAUUGCAUAAAAGCCCCAAAAAUACCCUAUUUUAUUAGGGUGGCCGGUUUUUAGGGAUAAAAGGAGUGGUGGGUGUUUUGAUUUAUUAGUUUUGUCAAAAACAAUCAAGUAGUGCAUAAGAAAAGAAAUUCUUAUCACCUUUUCUUUUACCUUUCAUAAUGAUGAUAGAUUUUUCUAUUGCUAUUUAAUCAAAUAUCUAACAUUUUAAAUACAUGAUAAAUCAUUUGAAAAACAAAUAACAUAAACUUUAUGAAAUAAUCAAAACUUUGAAUCAAAACACAAAACCUUUUUGUUCUUGGCAAGAACAUCAAGAACAAUGAAGAACAUCCAUGAAAACCCAUAAGAGCUCCAUGAAUGUUUUCAAGCCAAAAAACUCAAAUUUUCAUCAUUCAAAAUGGUGCUAACAUCCUAGGGUACUUAGGGGUUCCAAAAGUCACCUUAAAACAUUUUUAACAAGACAAACAUGAACCCAAAAAAUCACCCUUUGGAUUUGGCCGAAAAUCCCCAAAAUCAUGGCACCAAAUUUUAGCUCCAAUAUUCAUCCUCAUAUGAACUACAUCUACAACAUUUGAGAUGGCAAAUUUUCAAACAAAAUUUACAUUCAAAGAAGCAAGAAUAAAGCUUGUAACAAUUACAACUUUUAAAUCAUAAACUUAUGAACUACAAAACCCAAAAGGAUUCACCAACUACUAGACCUAGGCUCUGAUACCACUUGAAGGAUUUAUUUUUUUUGAAAAAACAUGUUCAUUUGAGCAACAUCAUAUAGCAUGCAAUUAACAAUUAAAGGCGGAAUCAUGCUUGCAUGCACUCAAAAAACAAACAUUACCAUGAAAUUCAAAGCCUAGUAGAUUGGUGAACCAAUAAUCAACUCAAAACAAAGUGAGUUGAAAUUAUUACCUUUGUAGAUUCCUCUUUGCAUAAGCAAAGGCUAAUCACCCAAAGAGAUAGGGCCUUCAUUCCUUGCUUCUUAGAUCCAUGGAUUUGGAUGGAAAAUUAGGUUUCUCCAAGUUCCCAAAAUAGGGAACCUCUAAGUCUCUUCACCAAGGUUUGAUUGUAGAAGAAAUGAGUGACCUUGGAGUAGUAGGAUUGCUAGAUGUACCCUCCAAGGUGUUGGCCUCUUUAGAGAGAAAAUGGAGAGACAAUUCUCACCAAUUUUCCCCCAAAAUAAACCCUUAAUCACUUAAUGAAUAUUUGGCUAUAAAGUCCUUUAUAUAGUCCCUUCAAAUAAGUGACCUAAAGAACCAAAACCCUAAUUCAUCAUACAUGGCCGGCCUACCUUGGGAUUUUUGGGCUUUUGGGCCUUUGUGAAUCUUUAUUCAUUAAGUUGUCAUACAACUUAAGUCAAUGGGCUUGACGUUCGAAGCCCAUUGGGCCUUAAGGUCAAAAACUAUCCCGAGGUCUUUAACGAAACUUAUUCGUUUGAUUAAUUAACAUAUUAAUUAAUCCUUGCCAUAAAUAAAUGAUUAAACCAUUUAAUCAUUCUUACUCAUUUCAGUUUAAUCUUCAAUCUCCACCUUUUAUGGUGUGCGAUCCAUUAGGUUCCUUUUAGCGAGGUAGUGGGCGAUUAAAACCAUUUUACAUCGAUUGUGAAUUGAAACUAUUUUCAAUUCUCCCUUUAGUGAUUACACACGUUUAGGGCUUCCACAAACCAUGAGUGACACCUAGCAGCAUAUCAUGGUUACCCAAGCUAAUCAGAAGAGGAUAGAGAACCUAUUCAGUUUGGGAUUACAAAUGCAAUACGGUCAUUCUCUAAUCUAAUACUCUUGACCACAUUGUUUGGUAUUGAUAGUUUAUUUAUUCAUGUCUACUAUCCAAUGUGAUUCGUGUGCUUAUAUGAUUUCCUUGAAUGUGAUUUGGAACGCAUUCCCUAAUCUCAUUCAUACUCUGGCCAGAGAUUCCAAAUCAUAUCAUAGAGUAUUCUCCCUCAACUGUUUGAAGGUUAGAGAUCCCUUGUUGCGCAUUCACUUGUCUCCAUAGCUAAGUGGCUUAACCCCAACGAUGCCGUGGACACCCCGAGGGGGUGACUUUGACAUAAUCAAAGAUCAAGGACUUAACCACAAGACAACUGUGAUGCCUCAGGUCAAAGGACUACUUUGCAUUAUCCCAACCAUGAGUUCUCAUGUGACAUGGAAUAUAAGAACUCUUCGUUGAUUGAUCACGUUCAGUGAACUCAUUCUCUAUUGAGCACCUACGUACUUGUCUUGAUGUCACACACACCAAUGACUCGAGACUAGUCACUCUCCCUGAGAGAAGACAUAGUACGUACUGAUCUUAACGGACUGUCAACGCCCAAUUGGCAAUCCUAUGAUCAGGAACAUUUAGGAUGUGUCUACGAAAGAAUGGUCUCAUGAAUCUAACUUCAUUAGAUUACAUUCUCCCAAUCACAUAUUCCUUGGACUUUAUCGUUUAAGCAUAUAACAUUUAUAUGAGACGGCUCAAACAAUAAUUUAUGCCCUUUAUAUGUAAAACUAGAUUAGUUUAACAUGUGAAAUGUCCGUAAAGUAUCAUCACAUGAUUGGCUUUAGGGCACAUUUCCAACAGCAAUGUUACCAGUUGAGCUAAGCAUAAAUUCGUUACGAACAAUUGAACAGAGUAGUCUGUUCAGCGCCGAAUAUAAUCAGUCGAUGAGAUAGAAGUUAGAAGACUUAGAAGAAGCGCGACUCGACGCUUAUAACUUGCUGGUGGCACAAAAACAGAUUACCGAGCGAGCAUACAAUCAAAAGGUCCGACAGAAAACAUUUGGUGAAGGAGAAUUAGUUUGGCAAACGGUGUUGCUCGUAGGAAUUAAAGACCCUAGGUUCGGCAAAUGGUCGCCGACUUGGGAAGGGCCUUUCGUCAUACAUAAGGUUCUCGGGAAAGGGACAUAUCAUCUUAGAGACCGGACUGGUUUAGUUCACAAAUUGCCAAUCGAUAGGAAGUUUUUAAAGAAGUACUAUCCGGUCACAUGGGAAAUGCGGGAAUAAAAAUUCAUUUCAUUAAGAUCGGUAAAAGAAUACAUAAAUUGAGUUGGUCCAUUAGUUUACAUAAAUUCAGGGCGAAUAAAGAAGAAGAGUGCCAAGAAGAGCCUUAAGCUCUUGCCACCGCACCUCGCCCAUUAUGAUCUCGGCCUGCCGGUUCUUCUUGUCCAUCUUCAACUGCUCGACUCGUUUUACACUCGCCACAUACUUAGUCAGACAAUCUCUGCCGCCUGACUCGAAGUCUUGUGCAAUAUCGGAAGCAAUAGCUGACCUUCGUUGUCCUAGUUUAGUUAUUUGACGGUCGAGGUCGGCUAAAGCUUCCCCUUUCGCCUUUAAAGCAUCAAUCUUCAGACGAAGAGCAUCUUGGACGGCCAUGGCAGCUUUCAGAUCUUGUUCAGCCCAAAGAGCAUUCUCAAGGACACUAAAAGUCUCCCGAACUCGCUCUAAGGUAGACGACGCCCGAACGAUGGCUUCGACGCUCAUUUGACCAUUUACGCCGAGGUCGUUUAGGCAGGCACCCAACAAAUCGAGGCCUGUGCUUUGAAGGACUUGCGACGUAGAGAGAGACAAAACUUCUUGAACCCGAACCAGGGUAGAUGAAUCGGCGGGGUCAGUUGUAGGGGCCGAAGGGCUAGUCACUACAGCGGUACUUGAUAGAAGGGCUUUGAACUCAACUUCCCAUGAGGCCUGCACACAAAAAUCAGUUUAAGCUCAAGGAAAUCAUGAAAAAGUAACAAGAAGGUUUUGUUUUAAACUUGCCGGGAGGAGACUUCGGCCAUGUCUUUAGGAUCGUUGCUCGAACCUAAAGAACUUAAUGGCCGAGCCCAGUAUCUUAGAUUGCUUCUCAGUUCAUGCGGCCGAUGGAGGUUAUCUACGUUCGAGGGCCACGGAGGCGGCCAAGAAAUAUAGAUAACACCCUUCGGCGCAUAAAUUUUUCGAUGAAAAGAGUGUAUAGGCAUCUGGCAUUUAGUAUUUUCCUAGUUUAGAGUUCUAUGGCAGAGAAAUAACCAAGGAAAGGCGGUAGGGGGUACUUACAGAAGCUGAAGUGGCUUUCUGCGAAGGAAUAUUAAGGUCCUGGUCCUGCGGAUGAACGGGCAUUUCCGCCAUCGCUUUUGGCUCUCUUACAGGUCGUUUGCCACGGUCAGCCGUAGAGGGGCCAACUUGGACAGCCGCCUCGGACACAGGAGGAGGCACCUGACAUUUAUUAUUUUCCUGGUUUAAAGUUCUAUGGCAGAGAAAUAAGGAAAGGCGGUAGGAGGUACUUACAGAACGACUGGGACUGCCGCCUAGGACACGGGAGGAGGUUGACGGGCGGGGUCGAAAGCGACUCGCCAGUGGAACCUCGUCGCUCCCGUCGCUUUCUUCUAGAACGAAGGCCGAGGGUUUUGGAUUUUCAGGAUAAGAUCCCUUGGUCACAGGGACUGCCUCUUCCUGGAUGGAUGCAGCCUCGACCGGCGGAAUAACAACUGGUUCACCGACUUUAGAAACAGGCCUUACUUGGACUGUUUCUUCGGCCGGAAUUGACUGCUUCUUAACCAAAGCUUGGGUGAUGGGGGGAGAAGGGGAAACACUGGGAGUCGUCGCCCCCGUAGUUUGACUGGAGAUAACGUGAAUCUCCCGUUCUCCUUUCUUCGCCAGCUUUUUGACCCGUUUGGCGGGCCGAUGAGCUUCGAUGGCCGGCUUGACCUCUUGAUUAGGUCGUUUGCUCAGCACGGCCUGCACAGAGGUCUUAGCCCUCUUGGAAACGACCGAUUUUUUCUUGAACGCAGCCGCAGCGACCACUUCCACCUUUUUCAAUGGCCGACUACCUGGAAAAGUAAAAGCAAAUCAGCAAAGCCGAUCAGGGCUUCAAAAUUGAAGGAAAAAGGCAGAAAUAAAUUGUUACCUUGGGGUUGGGGGGUAUGAGCCUUCUUAGGUCGAUCACCGAAGAUAUUGUUCAGAACGAUUUCGAUCGGAACACCAAAAAACUGUUGGGUAUACUCUUCCCACCAAUCACCGAAGGUGUCAGUGCAAAGAGGUUCUGGAGUGACCGGUCGAAGAUGGAAUUUUUGGCACCGCUCCUGGAACUCUUUUUUGGCAUCGUUGCAUUUUUUCUCUAAAGAGCCAGGUUCGCGUCCGCGGCUUAGGACGGACUGUGAGGAGAGAAUGGGGACUGGACAACCUUGAAGGUAGCCAAGCUGCCGAGCAAGGAAGUUGGGGUGAUACACUUCCCAACUCGCUCGGUGACCCUCAUAGCCGAGAGGCAGGUCACGGGCAAGCACGAAAAACCCCCAAGAUUGAUGAAGGUCGGCAUCUUCGUCUGCGCCCCACGCUGAUGUAGGGAGUCUGAUCGACGAAGGGUAUUCUCGACGGCGACAGAUCAAGAACUCAUCAUCAGAAAGGUUGUCAAGAGCGAAAAAGUAUCUGAACUCUUCUUCGAAGAGGAGCAAAGUAGACCUGCAGCCAGAGUUAGAAGACCCAGAGGGGACCAUUCUGCUGCGGACCGACCUUAUCUAGGGUCGUUUUGACCAAAUAGCGUAGGAGAUGGGCGAGAAUGGCCGGGCUGAGUGCUAGAGUGUGACCGCUAGCUAGGGCUUCGACCAUUGGCAUAUUCUCGACCAGACACUUAUGAGAUUUGGUACAACAGAUAAAUUUGUUGUACCAAUAGAAGAGGAAAGCCUCGUGUUCUCCUUCUCGCAGAGCCUCUUCUCUUCGGCCGGCAAAAUGGAGAUAGAGGGUGUUAUAGUUGAAGAAGUUCUUGUAAAGCUUGUGAACCUCUUCUUUUGAAGGUAUUUGGCAUUCACCGCUUAGCGUCUCAAGAGCCCGCUUGUCAAAGAGCAUCUUCAAGUUGAGGUUUGAUGGGUACCUAGAGAGGGCAGCGUCGAUUAGGAUUCCAGUCGGGGAAGUCCCCAAGGUGGCAGUGAGAUUAAGGAUGGUGGGGCCAAUGGGGCCGAGAGGGAGGACCAUGGUGUUGGUGGCCGAACACCAGAAGCAUAAAGCAGCUAGGAGGAGCUCCUUGUCCAGGAUGACCUCCAUGGACGAGAGAUGAAUGACGUCGUAAAUGCUGAGGACUUUCCAUUGCUCGCCGAACAGCUUUUCCAUUCGUAUAACCCAUGCUGCCCAGGUUGUAGUGGUCGAGGGCUAAGAGCCUUGGGGCCUUGCCACAUCCCACUUCGGCCAUUGAUGGUUGAUGGUACUGCCACUUUAAAGAGCAAGGGUGACAGACAGUGCUUUUGGAGAAGCCCAGUGAUGGUUGAUGGUACUGCCACUUUAAAGAGAGGACCCAAGAUUUGAUGAGGGGUGCUCAUGUCACUUUUGAACCGUAUGGUUUUGAUUGAACUUCGAUCAAUAAUGUUCUGACAUUGGUCGCAUUCCUUGGAAAGCUUAAAGAUGAAGGAAGCCAUUGUAAGGGGAUUAAAAGAAUGCGAGACGAGAGGAGCUUUUCUGGGUUGGGAGAUUUGAAGACGAAGAUCCGGAGGGAAGGAGUGCACCAGAGAGCGAUGGCAAGAAUUUCAGAAAAUUUGAAAGCGUAAAGUACAAAUGAGAGAAUUUCGGUAUUUAUAGAACGGUGGAAGGAAGGGCAAUUGUUCGAAAUUCAAAAUGAAGGGUAAAAUUGAUCGAGAAAUUCGCUAAUCAUUAUGAACAUUUAGAAAAUCCAGUUGAGAAGACCGAGGGUUUCGUGUUUCGGGGGACGCACGAUUGCGUACAGCGACGAGAUUUAUGGUGAAAGACAUUUUGGCGUCUGCACGAUGCUGAAUGGUUCACAGAUCGAGGUGGCAUGGUUGUAUUCAGCAACGAGGUCAUGAUGAUAUGACGGUUUAGGGAGCCGCAUGCUUUAAACGUCAUUAUUGGGGAUUAGCUGUAUAAAAGGAUGCCACGUGAUGUAUUGGUUAGCAGGAUCAAGAUCGUGCAAUUGUGCUCACUAAAUGCGCCUCGAAAAUAAGAGUAUUUGGGUUUUGAGUUUUAAUUUCACUUCUUCAAGGCCGGAGCUCGACCAGAGGAUUUAGGUCGAGGACCUCAGAAGCGAGGGGGCAAUGUUUGGCCCCAAAAUAUUAGUUUGGGCCGAGUAUAGAAUUAUUCUCAACCCAGCGUUUAGUUCUGGACCAGUUAGGUCGUGGGCUUCCAAACUUGGGUCGGUUAAGCCAUGCUGCAAGAUGAGUCGAAUCCUGGUGCAAUGAGGAGUCUCGGCAAGAUUAAUAACCCGGAAGUGAAUCUGGCUUAAUGAAGGGCUAGGUUCACAAUUAUGGUGAAAAUAGGACUGGUCGAGUUGGUAUUUGAUCAGGAGAAGAAGUCCUAAUUCGGGUAGGGUUGUAACUCGACCUUGAAGGUAUCCAGUGCUAUAAAUAAAGGAGGCUGUACAUCUUUCAAGGCCCUCCAAUUCAACAUACAACUGCCCUGCGCAAACUCUCUCAACAACUUUGAGAUUUGUUUUUCUCUUUUCGCUGACACAUCUUCCGUUGGCAUCAACAUCACUGUGAAAGCAACCGGUGAUAUCUUAAGUCGGCAUAGAUAGCUUUGUCGCCGUAGAAUUAGCCGAUCUCGUAGCAUCUUCCGUUGGCAUCAACAGAACUGCGGCGAGGACGGUUGGUUACCUAUCCAGGUCUUGGUCGAGAAGGAUUUCUGAAUCCUUAUUGAUUGAGGUCAUCUCAUUAGCCUUCUCGGCGAAGUGAGGUGUUACAGUUUACUAAGCUCGGUGCAUUGCACGCUGAGUUAUUUUAUGAUUGGAUACUCUCAAGUGGGAUUUAGAGUUCGGCAUUCAGAUAGCCAAACCACAUUCACUAUUAAGACUUAUAUUCGCUUUGAAUGUUUGUGCCCUUACACUUUGGUGUCGAUUCGGCGUGAGUUUACUCUGACAAAUAACAUCACUGUGACUAAAUUCGACGAUGAUGAUUCGUGAACUUCGUAAGAAUAGUAACCUUGUCUUCAGGUUCGAGAACCCAAGAGGCCGAGACUUGUUCCUUCCUCGGUCGUAAUCGUAAGAUGCAGAAGUCAGCCGCGCACCCAACGUAACAUCAGCAAAUUUACUCCUUGGCCGAGCUCAGCCGACGAGUUGGCACGCCCCUGAAGGAAAAUUUGUGAAAACAAGUUCAUUUAAGCAACAUCAAUAAGCAUGCAAUUAACAAUUAAAGGCGGAAUCAUGCUUGCAUGCACUUAAAAACAAAACUUUAACCAAGAAAUUCAAAGCCUAGUAGAUUGGUGAACCAAAAACUCAACUCAAAACAAAGUGAGUUGAAAUUUAUACCUUUGUAGAUUCCUCUUUGCAUAAGCAAAGGCUAAUCACCCAAAGAGAGGGCCUUCAUUCCUUGCAUCUUAAAUCUAUGGAUUUGGAUGGAUUAAUAGGUUUCUCCAAGUUCCCAAAAUUGAGAACCUCUAAGUCUCUUCACCAAGGAGAGAUUAGAGAAGAAAUGAGUGACCUUGGAGUAGUGGGAUUGCAAGAUGCACCCCCCAAGGGGCCGGCCUCCUAGAGAGAAAAUGGAGAGACAAGUUCUCACCAAUUUUCUCUAAAAGAAACCCUUAAUGAAUUUUAGCUAUAAAGUCAUAUUUAUACCUUUAUUCAUUUGAGUGGCAAACUUGUAAAUAAGUCCAAGUUCACUACCCUAAUCAUCAUGGCCGGCCAUUGGGAUAUUAUUGGGCUAUUAUGCCCUUGUGAAUAUUUAUUCAUUAAGUUGUCAUACAACCUAAGUCAAUGGGCUUGACGUUCGAAGCCCAUUGGGCCUAAACGUCCAAAACUAUCCCGAGGUCUUUUAACGAACUUAUUCGUUUGAUUAAUUAACAUAUUAAUUAAUCCUUGCCAUAAAUAAAUGAUUAAACCAUUUAAUCAUUCUUACUCAUCUCCGUUUAAUCUCCAAUCUCCACCUCUUAUGGUGUGCGAUCCAUUAGGUUCCUUUUAGCGAGGCAGUGGGUGAUUAAAACCAUUUCAAAUCGAUUGUGAAUUGAAACUUACUUUCAAUUCUCCCUUUAGUGUUUAUACACGUUUAGGGCUUCCACAAACCAUGAGUGACACCUUGCAGCAUAUCAUGGUUACCCAAGCUAAUCAGAAGAGGUAGAGAAAACCUAUUCAGUUUGGGAUUACAAAUGCAAUACGGUCUUUCUCUAAUACAAUACUCUUGACCACAUUGUUUGGUUUGAUAGUUUAUUUAUUCAUGUCUACUAUCCAAUGUGAUUCGUGUGCUUAUAUGAUUUCCUUGAAUGUGAUUUAGAACGACUUUUCUAAAUCUCAUUCAUACUCUGGCCAGAGAUUCUAAAUCAUAUCAUAGAGUAUUCUCCCUCAAACAGUUUGAAGGUUAGAGAUCCCUUGUUGCGCAUUCACUUGCCUCCAUGGCUAAGUGGCUUAACCCCAACGAUGCCGUGGACACCCCCGAUGGGGUGACUUUGACAUAAUCAAAGAUCAAGGACUUAACCACAAGACAACUGUGAUGCCUCAGGUCAAAGGACUAAUUUGCAUUAUCCCAAACAUGAGUUCUCAUGUGACAUGAGUAUGAGAACUCUUCGUUGAUCACGUUCAGUGAACUCAUUCUCUACUGAGCACCUACGUACUUGUCUUGAUGUCACACACACCAAUGACUCGAGACUAGUCACUCUCCCUGAGAGAAGACAUAGCACGUACCGAUCUUGACGGACUGUCAAUGCCCAAUUGGCAAUCCUAUGAUCAGGAACAUUUAGGAUGUGUCUACGAAAGAAUGGUCUCAUGAAUCUAACUUCAUUAGAUUACAUUCUUCCAAUCACAUAUUCCUUGGACUUUAUCGUUUAAGCAUAUAACAUUUAUAUGAGAUGGCUCAAACAAUAAUCUUUGCCCUUUAUAGUUAAACUAGAUAAGUUUAACAUGUAAAAUGUCCGUAAAGUAUCAUCAUAUGAUUGGCUUUAGGGCACAUUUCCAACAGCCCCGCAUUCAUCGAAGGACGUAGUUAGCUUAUAGAUUACUCGGCCUGCGCGCCACGUAGGCUUGGUAGUUUUUAGGGUCAACAAAUAGCCUUAGCGGUUUCAAAACCCCCCUUUGGAUUGACAAUGGUUAAACUAGGCAGUUUGCCUUGUUCUCUGAAUUUUCCCAUGAAUUCUGCCAUUUGCCCUAUUUGAUUCUUCAAUUCGCCCACCUCAUUGGCUUGAUUUUGUAAGCCUUGCAUCAAAGAAGUUAGUACUUGAAGAAUUUUAUCAUUAUCCAUUAACGAAUCGGAAUUUGGUUAGGUAGAUUGUGGGUGAGGUUGUGGUGGUGCAAAUGGCCUUUAAUAUAGCCUAUGAGGUGGCUGUCUAUAUUCGCUUUGUUGUUGAGUUUGAGGUUCUCUCCACUUCAUAUCUGGAUGAUCUCUCCAGCCUGGAUUGUAGGUGUUGGAGAAUGGGUCAUUCCUUGGUUGAUUUUGGCCUUGAUAACCUAUGGAAUUGGCACUUUCCCCUCCCCUAUUCUCUAUCAAUUGAGGACAUUGAUCAGUGGGGUGUCCUUGCAUAGAGCUCACGGUACAAGCACUUGUUCCUUGCACUUUGGAUCCUUCAAUAACCUGUGAUAGAAGAACAGAGAUUAGCCAUUUGAGAUUGAAGUUCUGAAAUAACACUUACCUCAUUAGUUUGAUGUUGCCGUGUGGGUUCCCUUUGUCCAACUCCUUCGUAUUGUUGUGCAUUCAAGGCUCGAUUUGCUAUUAAGAUCUUUACAGCAACUGGUGUUUUGUCAACCAAAGCUCCUCCUGCCGAAGCAUCAAGCAUUUGUCUCUCAAUUGGAAGUACUCCUUUGUAGAAAUAUUGAAUUAAAAGCUCUUCCUUCAUUUGAUGUUAUGGACAAGAUGCAACUAAAGUCUUGAAAUGCUCAUAAUACGCUGGAAAGGAUUCUCUUUGGCCUUGUUGAAUUCCGCUAAUUCUCUUCCUCAAAAGAAUGACUCUUGAAGUUGGGAAAAAUUUCUCUAAGAAUGCUUUCUUCAUGCUUUCCCAAGAAGUGACGGUUCCAGGUGCCAAUUCAAAGAGCCAAUCUUUAGCCUUUUCCAAAAGAGAGAAUGGAAAGGUUUCAUCUUCAGAAUGUUCCCAUCUACGUUGAUUGGUGUCAUGCUUGAGCACACCACUUCAAACUCUUUAAGAUGCUUGUUCGGAUCUUCCAUGGGUAGCCCAUGGUAUUUGGGAAUGUGAUGUAGCAAACUAGACUUUAAUUCAAACUCAUUGGUUUUGCCUUGAGCUGCCCUAGAGUAUUGAAUGCAAAGAGGGAUGACAUUGUCCAAUCUAGAGGCUGAAAGUUCCUUGAUUGUUCGAUUGUUUACAGCCAUGUCUUGUUCCUCUUCCUCUUCCUCUUCCUCAAAUUCGGAUUCAGAACUAGAACUAGGUGGAUUGGGUUAUGACUGCUUCAUUUUCCUUCUCAAAGUUCGUUCAAAAUCGUCGUCAAACACAAUUAUAUGCCCACGAACUGGUUGAGAACUUCUAGUCAUAAACUAGUACCAAAAACAAAGAAAACAAAACAAAACAAAAUCAGAAACAUAAGAAAAACAAAAUAGAAACAAAGGGGAGAUUAGCAAUUUUGCUAAUCCCCGGCAACGGUCCCAAAAUUUUGAUGUGGUAGAAACUAACACACAAAUUAAACCCUAUUAAGCCAGUUGUAGUAAAAGAAAGUAGAGAUCGUUCUAGGCUAGGGAUUAGAAGGGAUGCUAAUCAACACUAAUUAGACUUAAAAACUGAAAACUAAGCUAAACUGACACUAAACAUAAGGGGGGAGGUUUUUGGAUGAAUUCUAACUUCAAACAAGUAAAUUGAAGAAACAAAUUAAGUUUGGUACGAAAAUUGGGUGAAAGGCUAGCUAGAGGAUUCUUCUCCAUAGAUGAAACAUAUGCAUACAAAUCGAUUUCCAGUUAUUAUUCCUAUAAACCAUGAAUGACAAUGCCCCAAAUUAAUCGUGAAAAACAAAAAUUAACUUUCAGAUUUUCCUAAAUUCAUUGAAUUGGACUUAGCGAUGCAACCAAAUUAUUCUUAUCAAGUUCCCUAUAUGAACUGCAUGAUAAAGAUACAUAUCAAAGAUCAUUAAGUUUGUGAAAAUCAUAAGCAUUGACAAGACAUUCGUAACUAUAAACUGCAUGAUACUCCUACCAGGAAUUUGCUUAACACAAUCAUGACUAGUGACUUUUACUACUUGUAAAUAUAAGUUCAUAACGAUUAGGUGAAAUUCCCUUAUAUUCUAGCAUCAAAUCCCUGCAUGCAAACUAAGUGUGCACCCUUAAUCAACACACAAGAACAAGUUCUUAAUAAAACAGAUAAGUAAAUUGCAUUCACUGUUUAUGAAACAAUAACUGGAUGUAAUCAAUUCAUACAAAACAUAUGAUCAUGGCUUCGAAUUCACCUCUAGCUAAAAAUAAAUUUAGUUAUGCAUGUUCAUCAUAACUAAAUAAAAACAAUCUAAAUUAAACAUUGAAAUCAAAUAAGGAUAGAAAAAACUCUGAGACACUCCAGCAAUGGCAGAUUCGGCUCCUCCUCAAGAUGGCAGAAUUGGUUCCUCUUCUCUUUACAAGCACAGCUCAAAAUCUCCUUCUCUCAUCUAGAAACUUGCGGCACUCUCACCAAUUUUCUCUCUAAAAACUCCUUCUGAAAACUGCAGCAAUAACUUGUAUUUAGGGCUAGGGCACGACCUACUUUGUGGUGGAAAAUGAUUGAGUUGUUUGCAAUGUUUUAGGACUCCUUAAAUUAGAUUAAGUGGUUGAAUGUGAUAAGGAACCCCCCCUUGCAGCUGGAGAUAAGGUAGGAUUAGGAUAUGAUAAGAUAAGAUAAGAUAAGGUUGAGAUAAAACAGGACUGGAUAAGAUAAAGUAAGUUUGGAUAAGGUCUCUUUGCUUUCAGCUGAUUCCUUGUCUUCCAACCUUAAUUUAAUUCUUCCAGAUUUGUAGCACAAUUUUAGCAUCAUUUGUCACCAAAAGCAUCCAUCCAUUAUGCUCCAUACACAUGCUAUCCAAUCCAAGUCCAAAAUUGCUCCAAAUUGCUUCAUUUAUCCAUUUAUUGUCAUCUUUGCCAAUUGGACCUACAAACACACGAAAAUAGCUUAAAUCACUAUAAUAAAUAGAAACAAACUCACUAAAUGCAAAGAAACAAGCUAACAAAGUUGUAUAAAUAUGCUUCUAUUAAUCUGUUCAAUCUUUUAUUCCCUGGGUGGUGGGGGAGGGGGCAAUUUCAACGAACUAUUGCAUGUCUAUGAGAAGGAUGGAGGCCCAGUGAGGCCUAUUAAUCAGAUUCUUAGUUUCUAAGAAGCCCUCAAUGACUACAACCUUAAGGAUUUGGGUUUUGUUGGUAUUCCCUAUACCUGGGUUACAACUCGCCAUGGCGGAAUUAAGGAAAGGCUUGAUAGUGUGGUUACCACUAGUGAAUGGAAGAAACUUUUCCCUAAUUUUUCAAUGAUUCACUUGGAUCUGAGUAAAUCAGAUCACACCCCUAUCAUCCUGCAUAUUGAUGGAGUGGCUUUCCAAAAUAAAAAUCUGAGACACUCUUUCCGUUUUGGAGAAUUUUGGUCGAGGCAUGAUGGGUGUGCUACAGUCAUUAAAGCAGCUUGGGAACAACUUGUCAUUGGUGUUCAUGAGUUUUGUUUGGUGCAGAAAAUCAAGACCAUGCGGGUUGCCCUCAUCAAAUGGCAACGUGGGGAAUUCCAAUCCCAAAAAGUGUAAAUCACUCUUAUUCGAUCCAAAUUGGGUUUUAUCUUGGCCUAACCUUUGUUUGACGUAUCCAUUGAUGAGAGAUCCUCAUUUGUAUCACAAUUAGAUACCCUUCUCGGUGACGAUUAGACUUUUUAGCAGUUAAGGUCUAGGGUUAAUUGGAUGAAAGAUGAGGGGUCGUAACACCUAUUUUUUCCAUUAAUGGGCAAACAAUCGUAGGCCCAAAAAAAUCAAUUAUGGGUCUUAACAACAAGUAUGGGGUUUGGACUGACAGUGAUCAGGGGGGUUGAGAACGUCAUUCUAUUGGAAGUAUGCCCACAAAGCCACUCAUUUGAUGUAAUAGCUUUUUGGAAUACUUAUUGUAUUAAACUUUUAUAUGUUUAAUGAAGGGCAAAGCUUAUUGUUAAUCACUAUUUAUUGUAUCAUGUGUUUAAGCAAUAAGGGAAUCCAAGGAAUGUAUUUGUUCUAAGAGAGAAGUGAUCUAAUGAGUUAGAUUAUCGAGACCUCUCUCUUAUGUUCAUUCCUAAAACGUUCCUAGCCAUAGGAUUGCCAAUUGGGCAUUGACAAUCCGCUAAGGUUAGUAUGUGUUAUGUUGACUCAAACGUGAGUAUGAACUAGUCUCAAGUCAUUUGGUGUUGGACACUGAGACAAACACAUAGGUGCUCGAAAAGAGUAAUCGAGUACACUGAACGUCGAUCAAAAGAGAGUUCGAAACAUACAUGUCAUGUAUGAACUCUAAAGUUGCAAUAUGCAAAGUAGUCCUUUGACCUGAGGCAUCAUAGAUGUCUAAUGGUUAGGUCCUUGAUCUUUGAUCAUGUCAAUGGCAUUCCUUCGGAUUGUCCACGGCAUUGUUGGGGUCAAGCUAUCUAGUCAUGUAGGCAUAUGAAUGCACAACAAGGGAUCUCUAACCUUCCAUGGUGGAAGGAGAAUACUCUAAGAUAUGAUUCUAAAGUCUUUGGCCAAAGCAUAUGAAUAUGACUUAGGAAGUUUGUUCCAAAUCAUAUUCAAAGGAGUCAUAUAGGAAAGUAUCACAUUGGAUAGUAGACAUGAAACAAACUAUCACUUAAACAAUGUGAUUAAGAGUAUUGUAUUAGAGAAGGACCGUAUUGCAUUGUAGUUGUAACUGGAUAGGUUCUCCAACCAAUUCUACUUAGCUUGGGUAACCAUGAUAUGCUGCUAGGUGUCACUCAUGGUUUGUGGAAGCCCUGAAGAUUAGCAAACACUAAUCUUAAGGGAGAAUUGAAAUGUGGUUUCAAUUCACAAUCGAUCGUUAAGAGUAACAUCGCCCACUGCCUCGCUAAUUGGAACCUAAUGGAUCGCACACCACAUAAGGAUGUUAGUGAAGAAAUUAUAUGAAAUGGAUAAGCAAUUAAAUGGUUUAAUUGAAGAAUGGUCAAGAUUAAUUAAUUAGUUAAUUAAUUAUACGAAAAGUUCGUAUUGGGCUUAUAUGUUGGUUUUGGGUUUCGGGGCCCAAAAGUGUUUUGGUCCACAAGGCCCAUUAUGUUUAAGUUGUAUGACAACUAAAACAAAAUGGGCAAAUUAGCCCAAUAACAAGGAGAGGCCGGCCAUUAGGGUGAAUGGGCAAGCUUGCUUAAUUACAAGUUUGCCACUCACCAAAGAAAAUGUUAUAAAAAGGAACUUUAUAGCAAUUUUCUCAUUAGGGUUUUCUAAUAGAAAUUGGGUGAAACAUUUUCUCUCUUUUUCUACAUAGAGGCCGGCCACUUAGAGGAUUUUUACUAGCAUCUAAAAUCUCUCUAAGUCAUCCAUAUCAUCUUCACAAUAUACAACAUUGGUGAAGAGACUUAGAGACAUCAAGCUUUUGAUGUUUUUGGAGAACAAAUCCUUUUUCCUCUAAUCAUCAAAGGAGCACUAAAGGGAGGAAAACACAAGGAGGAUUCAAGGAGCUUGGAGGUGACUUGAAGGCCCUCCACUUGGGUGAAUCCCUUGUGUAAACAAGGAUGAGCUUCAAGGGUAAAGAAUCACUAAAUCUUUACUUCUCUUUAAUUUUGUUAAAGAGUAUAUUUUGGUUCACCAUAUACUAGGCUUUGAAAGUCAUGGGUUUUAUGAAUUGUUUUUGGAUGCAUGCCUACUUUAAAGUGUUGAUAGCUUGCAUGUGUAUUCAAAUGUUCAUACUUGUUCUUAGCUAGGACAAAAUUUUUCCUUCACAUUCUGGAUUAUUUUUAGGAGAUUUUUUCUUUUUCAUCCACUAAAGGCGGUUAGGAAGUUCUUAAUGCCAUUGAACCAAAGCUCUAUGUUGACAUGGUUGCCCACCUUGAAAAAAAGAUUUUUGAUGAUGAAGUUAAAUCAGUCUUGUUUCAAAUGCAACCAAACAAGUCUCGAGGCCUGAUGGUAUAACACCCAUGUUCUUCAAAAUUUUUUAGGACAUUGUUGACACUGACAUCAUUAAUGGGGUCCAAUCUUUCUUUGCCUUUAGGAAAUUUCUUAGACAACUUAAUUACACUUAUGUGUGCCUCAUUCCCAAGCAAAAGAGAUUGAAAGAAAUGUCCCACCUGAGACCCAUUAGCCUCUGUAGUGUGCUCACAAAAUUCAUCUCUAAGGUCUUAGCAAAUCGCCUCAGGCUACUACUACCGAGUAUCAUAUCCCAACACCAAACGACUUUCGUCCCAGGAUGCCAAAUCUUCGACAACUCAAUCAUUGCUUGUGAGAUUGCCAAUACUCUGUCUAAUAGACGGAUGGUGAAGAAUGGUUUUCUAUCUUUUAAGCUCGACAUGAGCAAGGCUUAUGACCGAAUUGAAUGGCUCUAUUUACAGAAGGUUUUAACCAAGAUGGGUUUCCCACCACGUUAGGUCAACCUUGUUAUGGCUGCGGUGACUUUGGUUUGCUACUCAUUUUUGGUUAAUGGAUGUCCUAGGGCAGUAUCCAACCUUUAAGGGCCCUUUGACAAGGUGACCCUCUCUCUCCUUACCUUUUCCUCUUGUUUGCUGAAGGUUUCUCUGCCUGAUUGCCCUGAAAAAAGGGCAGGGUUUAAUCCGGGAUCUGUCUAUUAGUUAAGGUGCUCCUCGCACCUCUUCUUUACAGAUGACAAUUUCCUCUCCACCUGAGCCCGUAUGGAGGAUUGCAUCCAUAUCACAAAUAUCCUUAGUUCCUACAAUCGAGCCUUUGGUCAAGUCAUAAAUUUGCUGAAGAGUGAGGUUGGUUUCAGAAAAAACAUUAAAAGGUUGGAUAAGGCUUAACUAGCUGCAGUGCUCAGAGUGGAAUGUGUACCCAAACAUGAUAAGUACUUGGGUUUUUCUACGAUCGUGGGUUGGAACCGGGGACAAUGUUUUGGAUUCAUAAGGGAACAUCUUUGGAAAAGACUUCAAUGCUGGAAAGGCAAUUUAUUGAGUGAAGAAGGUAAGGAGUUAUUGGUGAAGGUUGUCACACAUUUAAUUCAUCUAUAUCUUAUGAGUUGCUUCUUGCUCCCUAAGCACUUUUAUGAUGACCUGAAUAGAUUAGUAGCCAAUUUUUUUGUGGAAUGGGAGUGAUGGUGAAAAGCAAAUCCAUUGGCUUUCUUGGGAGAAACUAUGUUCAACUAAGUCGGAAGGUGGUUUAGGUUUCCGUAAUCUAUACACCUUUAAUCUGGCUUUCUUGGCAAAACAAGCUUGUAGGAUUAUCUCGAAGCCUCACUCUCUUCUACCUGUGACCCUCAAGGCUAAGUAUUUCCUUCAUCCUCUUUAUUGGAUGCUCAAGUGAAACCCAACUGCUCUUAUUGUUGGAUGAGUAUUUGUGCAUCUAGGGAUGUGAUUAGGAGUGGGGCUUGGUGGAUGAUUGGCAAUGGGGAGUUCGUCAACAUCUGGUUAGAACCAUGGAUCUUUUUUCCCAAUUUGUUCAAGGUUUUUUCCCAAAACAUGUUGGCUGCCAAUUAGAGAGGGUCUUCGAGCUUAUUAAUCCCGGAUUAAAAGAUUGGAAUUUGGAAGUACUUGCCUUGAUUUUUUUUUUCUAAUAUGGAAAUGAAGUUAAUCAUUUCCUUGCCACUUAGUAUUAGAGAUGUUAGGGGUUUUCUGAUUUGGCACUUUGGGAAAAAAGGCAUUUUUCCGGUUAAUCUAGCUUACCAUUUUGGUAGAAACUUGCUACUUCCACCCUCGAUUAUUGCUUCUUCCUUAUCCCAAAGUCCCAUUUUGAAACUUUGGACUGUCAUCUGGAAGGCCAAUGUUUUGCCUAAGGUUCGUCUAUUCACAAGGCGUCUCUGUAGAGACCUUCUUCUUAUGAGACUCAAUCUUGUAAAGAAACGGAUUGCAACUGAGCUAUCGUGUGUGCUCUGCAAUUCUACGGCGGAAUUCGCCUGUCAUAUUUUCAGGGAUUGUCAUUAUGCUUGGUGCUCUUGGAUAUGUUCACCCAUUGGAGUUCCUCUGAGGUCCCUUGACCCUAUGUCCACAUCGGUUUGGUUUUUCAAGAUUACUGAUACUCUCUCCCCCACCAAUCUCUCAUGUGACAUGAUGAUAUAUUGGACCAUUUGGAAUAGCAGGAACUCGAUGCUACGGAAUGACAAAUGUGAUGCGCCGAAUUUGGCGGUGACUCGAGCAAUUUGUUGGUAGCAGAAAAAAAGUAUAAAGCUUUAGGUCCAAAAUUUAUUAUUUUUUAAUCGACUGGACUAUGGGCCAGCCAGAAAAAAAAAGGGUUAAUAGAACCCAAGCUCAAAUAUGGGCUAAUAAAGAAAAAGUGAAAACUAAAUCCUGAUUAUAGGAUUUAGGGUUUCGUAUGGGCUAAGGUAAAUAGGCCCGAAAGAAAUUUUUUUUUUAUUACUUUUGGACUGCAGGUCUAUAAAGGAAAAUUGAGUGAUUGGGCUAAAAGCCCGAAGGAAUCACAACCCAAAUCUGGACUGAAAUAAAAAAAACAAGAAUUUCUUAAAAAAACUUGGCCACAAACGGGGGGACAAAAAAAAAAACAAAGCCUAAGCCCAAAUCAUGGGCUGGGUGACGCGGGCCGAGCGCAAGGGAGAAGGCCAAAAAGCCUUUGGUGUUUGGAGAUCAACCUAGUGAUGCUGAAUGUGGGGGUCAGUGACAUUCAUCUGAGAUGCGCCUUCUCAGUGGUGACGACAUGCAGGUCGUUAGACUAAUGUUGUUCGGUUUUGUUGCCCUUCCAUCAUAUAAAUAGUGUGGAAUAUUUCAUAAACAAUGUGAAUUAUAUUGUUCUAGUUCUAGAAGCAGUGUUUAUUUUGUUACAUCUCAUAAAUAUUGGGUGUUUUUUUUUUUUUUAUCAAUUUCAUAAAAUAGUACAGGUUAUUAUGCUGUAAUUCCAAAAACACCAUUGAUGUUUUGUUCUACUUCGAGAAAUAAUAUGCGUUGUGUUAAUUCAUGAUCAUAGAAAGUGUGGGAUAUUUUUUUGUAGUUCAUGGACUAAUGUUGAUUUUACUCCCUUCAUAAACAAAAUGGAUUGUUUUGGUUUUGUUUUGCUCCCUUUCCUUAUAAAUAGUGUGAGAUAUUUCAUGAAUAGUGUGAGUUAUAUUGUUCUAGAUCCAGAAACAGUGUUUAUUUUGUUACCUAUCAUAAAUAUUGGGGGUUAUUUAUUUAAUUUUUUUUAUCAAUUUCACAAAAUAGUACAGGCUAUUAUGCUGUAAUUCCAUAAGCACUAAUGGAUUUUUGUUCUAGUUCGAGAAAUAGUGUGCGUUAUGCUAAUUCAUGAUCAUAAAAAGUGUGGUCUAUUUUGUUGUAGUUCACGGACUAAUGUUGAUUUUGUUCCCUUUUAUAAACAAUGUGGGUUGUUUCAGUUUGGUUUUGCUCCCUUUCCUUAUAAAUUGUGUGAGAUAUUUCAUAAACAGUGUGUGACACACCCCGACCCGGAAUGUCCCCUAGGACUUCGAAUCGAAUUGUGCUGGCCAACACCUGGAAGGUGAUGAAGCCAUAAAGUGUGAUGAUGAUGAAAAAAAUGUGAAUAAAUUUAAACCGAAGAGUGCCUAAAUACCAGAGUACACCGGUGAGUGGGAAUGAACCCACUUCACACGUGACUUUAGAGCAUAAGCAAGUAUAGAAGAGUGAAUUAAGAAUCGUACCCUCGAAAUAAUCUCCAAUACUAAGAAUCACCACGAAUCUUCGACGAUGAGAAAGCUCAGCUAAUAAGACUUGGAGGGUGAAGACAAGACAAAGGCGAGUGGCCCUGUAAAUAAAAUUUUAAUAGAACCCAUAUGAAACAUUAUAAUUCCUCGCUACAACACUUGUAUAAUUUCUAGAAAAUAUUAUAAAUAUACCAUAAUACAACAUCUCGUCAACAGUAUCAAAUAAUCAUGUGAUUAAUAACUCAUACUAGUACACAAGUCGGAGUCACCUAUGGUGACCUGUACGACUUACCCAUAUCUCAUCACAUAUACUAGUUCAUCACAUAUUUCAUCACAUAUGCUAACUUAUUGCAUAUUCAUCACAUAUGCUAGGUCAGCAUCAUAUAUUCAUCACAUUGCUAGCUCAUCACAUAUUCAUCACAUAUGCUAGCUCGUCACAUAUUCAUCACAUAUGCUAGCUCAUCAUCAUAUAUUCAUCACAUGUGCUAGCUCAUCCCAUAUUCAUUACAUAUGAUAGCUCAUAAGUCGGAGUCACCUCUAGUGACCUAUACAACUUAUCCAUAUCUCCUCAUAUAUCUCAUUAAUCAUUGCUAGCAUAUAAGUCAGAGUCACCUAUAGCGACCUGUACGACAUAUUUGUAUCUUAUCGCAUAUGCAAAUGAUAUUGUAAACACGAAAAUUCCUGCGAUGAAUGAGACAAGAACUGAUGUGAAUAUAUAAGCACACAAAUUAAACCCUCUUUUUGACAAUUGUAGUAUAGAUGUAAGUAGGGUAUCGUUCUAGGCCGGGGAUUAGGAGGGAUUGCUAAUCUAUUGUAAAUUAAUUUAAAAAUAUUAAAUAAGACUCAAGGACACAAAACUAGGCUAAAAACUCUAAUAACUCGAAACACACUUAAAAUGACUCAAAAUAAUGAAAACAAUUAAAUUAAACACUAGGAACUGAAAUGGACGGAAAUUAAAUUAAAAGACUAACAAUAAAGAAAACUAACUAAAUAAUAUAAUUUAAUAAUGGAUGGGUGUUUGGUUUUGAUGAAAAGUAAAUUAAACUUAAUUAAAUUACAGAAUUGACAAAAACAUAAAAUUAAGGUAAAAUGAUAAAUGACGGACUAGCUAGAGGGUUCUUCUCCACACAUGACACAUAUGCAACCUAAAUUGAUUUUCAGUUGUUCUUUCAAUAAAUUGUAAAUCUCAACGCCCCAAAUUAACCGUGAAUUGCACUAAUUAACCCUCAGUUUUUCCACAAGUUAUUGGGUUGGAUGAUUGCAUACGACAACCCAAAACAUUCCCUACAAGUUCUCUACAUGAAUUGCAUAAUAGAGAUACAAGCAAGAAUCAUUAAGUUCUAUGAAAAACAUAAGCAUUGACGAGGCACUCGUUACUAUGAUUUGCAUGAAACUUAUGCCAAGAAUUUACUUAACGUGAUUGUGACUAGCAACCUUUACUACUUGUGAAUAUAAGUUCAUAACGAUUAGGUGAAAUUCACUUAUAUUCUAGCAUCAAAUUCAUGCAUGUAAAUUAAGCGUGCACUCUCAACCAACAUACACAAAUCAGUUUUUAUACGAACGGAUAAGUAAAUUGAAUUCACAACUUAUGAAAUCACAACCGAAGGUAAUCAAUUCAUAUUACAAAUAUAAUUAUGGCUUUGAAUUAACCUCUAGCCAAAAUAAAUUUAAUUACACAUUAUUAAAACCGAAAUAAAAUAGAAGUUUAGAGAGAUUAAACCGAGAGAAGGCUUCUGCUUUCUGUGCUCUGACCAACUCUUGCUGUGCUCUCCUCUCCAGCUGCCAAGGCAGCAAUUCACGCCCUCAUCACCGUCUCUCGGUCCUCACUCUCUCCCAUCUUCUGACUGUCGCACUUUCCUGCGUCUCUGCAAGCUGCCCAAAGGGCAGCUCCCUUCUCCCGCUCCAAGACCCCCCUGUGCGUCCUCUCCUCUCUCCUUUCUUAUUCUUUUCUUUCUGGCCGUUCUCCUCUCUUUUAUUAUUUUAUUCCCUCUUUUCCGCACUACUGCUGUCCGUCCCUUUUUCCAUCCUCCCACAUGCUGCUUCUUCCACGCUCCAAAGGCAGCGUUCCCCACUCCCACGUCAGUUCCCUUUAUUUCCCUGCUGUCCAUGACCUGGUCCUCACCUUGCUGUCUCUCCAGCUCACGUUUUCUGCCUUUGCUAUCUUUCUUUCAUGAUUAUGCCGUCUGCCUUCAUGCCUUGGAUUCUUCUUUGACAAUAUAGUACAAAACUAAUUUGUAUCAUAAACUCUAAAUUAGUAGCAGUUGGGAAUUAAGAACAAAUUCAAGUAACAAAUCCAAAACCAAUAUUCUUUCUGUCUAUUAUUUAAAACUCAUUUGUGCUAUUUUUAUUUUCUUUGCAUAACAAAUUCUAUAAACACAAAAAUAACGUAAAUAGCUCAAAAUAUAAAGAACUAACUAAGAAAAGACGAGUGAAUUUGAAGUAAAAAUAUAUAUAAAUAUGAUCCGAUCAAAUACCCCCAUACUUAGCUUUUGCUAGUCCUCGAGCAAAACAAAGAAAACAUGAAAAAGUACUAACAUGAAAAACAUUAGUUUCCCCCUAUGUGACCCUCAUAGAGUUUCAUUCGAGAAAACAAAUCAUCAAGAACCAUAGCUAGCACCAAACAAACUAAUCCAAGUUCAUCUUCCUUAUUCAAAUAUUAGCAGUAAUCUUUGAAUCAUCCUUGAAGUGUAGUGUGUGAGAUAGCCAUGCUAAUGCAAUUUCAAGUUUUUAUUUUUAAAAUCAUCAUAUGCAAACUAGCAACAUUCUCACGGGAUAUGCACUCAAUCACACAUGUGUUUAGUUUUAAUGUGUUUCGCUCAAAGAAUCAAAUGUGAACGUUCUACCAUAAGCUUGCAUAAAGAUCACUUCUCCACAGUCAUAAUUGCAAAACUUAAAUCGAGAGGACUUUUAUUGGAUGUAAUGAGGCUUAGGGAUAGGAUUAUUGAAACGAAAGAAUAGGAAAAUACAAGUUCCAAGCUACAUUGCAAGCAAUUCUUUUGUCUAGAUUUAUAAGAACUCAAGCUCUCCAACGAUUCUUCUGAAACCUCCAAUCACACCCUUAAACUGAAACUUUAAAAACAUUUUUUUUUUUCUUUUCUUCGUAUACAAUCUUUCUUUUUCUUUUUCUUUUUUUUUUCUUUUUUUUUUUUUUAAUACAAACAUGAAAUACCCCCACACUUAUUUUUUUGCCAAACACCUUCAAAGUACUUUACAAACAUUUCUCAUAAGACAAUCUCACAUUGCUCACUAGCUUGCUUGGAAAGGGUAAGGAAAAAAAUGUUUCAGGUAUAAGGGUAGACAUAUUUGGUGAUAAGAAAUAAAAGGUUCAACAAACACGGCUCAAAUAGGCAAUCUAAUGAUAUCAUUUUUCUGUUGGGAAACAUGGUUAUUUGGGCCAUGGUGGUAAACCUAAUGCCUCUAUCAUUUCCAAGUUCAUGUAAUCAAUGACAAACAUUUCGAAAGAUCGUUACGCAAGUUCUAGAGAUGCAUCUCACAUAAGUUCAGCACACAUGAAAGAAUAGGAGUGUAUGAAAAAUGCACACACUUUCAAUAGGCUCAAAAACUCACAUAGGAUGUAUAUGGUCACUAAAUUCACAUAUGAAGCUUUACGUUAUGCUUUAGUUUCACAUCAACAAGGCUAUGUGCAUUUGGUUUUUCAAAGAUGAUCAAACAUGUACAAAACUAACAAAAGAAUUAGGAAUUUCACAAAACACAUGUUAACUAAGUUCUUGAUGAUCAUGGUUCAAAUUUUAUUCAAUUAUAUCAUUGGGUCGGGAAACUAACAAAAAUCUAAUUCAUAACAAUAAGGAAAACAAGACAAUAUUUUUGGAUUUUUAAAUUUUCCGAAUUUUUUUUUUUUUUUUUUUUUAAAGAAAACAAAAAGCAACAACACAGAAACAAAUGAAAUUCUGGAGAUUUCUACCCCCACACUUAAACUUGACAUUGUCCCCAAUGUCAGAAAAGAUGAUCAAACAUGUACAAAACUAACAAAAGAAUUAGGAAUUUCACAAAACACAUGUUAACUAAGUUCUUGAUGAUCAUGGUUCAAAUUUUAUUCAAUUAUAUCAUUGGGUCGGGAAACUAACAAAAAUCUAAUUCAAAACAAUAAGGAAAACAAGACAAUAUUUUUGGAUUUUUAAAUUUUCCGAAUUUUUUUUUUUUUUUUUUUUUAAAGAAAACAAAAAGCAACAACACAGAAACACAACACAGAAACAAAUGAAAUUCUGGAGAUUUCUACCCCCACACUUAAACUUGACAUUGUCCCCAAUGUCAGAAAACACUAUAACGCAAAAUAAAAAUAAAAUAAAAUAAAUAAAUAAUAAGAAACAAAAUAAAGCAAUUAGACUGAAAACUUCCCUAAGUUGCAGUAAAAUCAAGUGAUUACCCCCCACGCUAAAAUUCUGCAAUCAACUUCAAGGGUGGAAAUAACCAAAAGUUCCUGCAAAGAAAAGAAAUAAUUCAGUUAAGUAACGCAAGAAAAUGUAAAAAAAUUGCAAACGAAAAAUUGAAAAUCACAAUAAAAGACAAUGAAUAGAAACUAAUAAGUGAUCAGUGGUCAUGCUUGUUGAUUUUCCACAGCGUUCCUCUUGAACAGGGUGACACUUAACUUUUUACUUGCAAGUGAUGAUUUUAUGCUAUUGUACGGCGAGGCUUUGCUCUUUGGCGAAUGUGCCAUCCAAAUGUUGUUGAAGCUUCUCGAGUUCUUCAACUCGGACUCCUUGUGCUGGGUUGAUUGAUUAUGCAGUCUGCAUUCUUCUCUGCUUGUUUCCUCAGCACGGCGGGCAGGCACGAGGUAGAGGUGUUUUGGUCUGAUUCUUUCUUCAAUCUUUCCAAGUGCCCACCUCUUGCUUUCUUUCUCCUUGUCCCUAGCUGAGGAUGAAUUGGCAAAUUGUCUCCACAUGCUUCGAGGUAUCAUCUUCACUUCCCUUACUUGCCCCCCAGACAGAUGUGAGACGAAGCGGAAACACAAGAUGUUGAAGAUGAGUACUCGAGAGCAAGGCUAGGUAAGCAAUCAGGACAAGGAGAAGGAAGGAGAAAGCAUGAUAUGAGAUACUCUUGCUUUCAACCUUUAUGAUAUGAAAUACUUUUGCUUUGAAUGGGUUGUUCGCAGGAGUAUCCCAAGGAAUGAGGAACACAGAGUGACUCGAGAGGGUUAUUUGGGAAUGCAUUUUCGGAGAUGAAGAAGUGUUGAGAGGGUGUGCUGAGAGAGUGUGCUUUUGUUGUGGAAGGCGAAGGUAGAAACUUAUAGGACUUGUCUUCAC